UUGGCGACACGGAGAGAAAGAUUAUAGCCAUCUGUGUUAUACUCCUGAAGACUACCGAGAUCUUCAGACCAAAUCCAGCACUUGGGAGGGGUGCUAGCACGGCCCCUUCGUAUCGUUCCAACUCCAGCAUAAGCUUGACAGCGACAGGUCUUAAGGCACUCUCUUCGGCAUUCACUUUCAUCCUUACCCGAAAACUCAAUGUCAUACUUUCUUACUUUAAUCAUCUUCAAGAUCAAGAAUGUGUCCCCACAGAGGGUUGUCUUUUUAGAACACCCACCUGAAAAAUCUCCGUUAGUCCAUCUCUCCAGCGAGUUAGGCUCGAAUCCAGGCAAACAUUUGCACAUAAAUGCAUUGUUAACAUUGCAAGAACCGAAAUUCCCACAAGCAUUCAACACACUGCAUCGGUCUUGCGGCGCCCACCAGAAUGCAGACCACUCCUCCGUAUAAUUAUCCCAAACUAGAUAUCUUAUUUCCCCGGUGAAAUUCAUCACCAACCGUGUAUAAGAACUGCGGACAAAUUGAGACCCAGUUGGUUUUCGGGUCUUGCCAAAAUUGGAUAAGAGCUCGGCUGCUGCAGAACUCAUUCCUUCUGAUUCCUCACUUCUCCAAUAUUUAACAAUUGAAUCUUCAAAUAUGAUAUACUGAUCUUUAUCAUCAUCUUGCUUGAAAGUAUAGCUUCCAGGUGCAGGGUCAACGGGGCUUACCCAUGAAGUCAAUGUUAAGUUUCCCUCCAUAAUCAUCCCAGGAAGAAAAGUAUCAGUUGGGUUCUUGAAACUCUCCCAAAGAAUCUUCCCAGAUCUGUUGUCCCUUAAAACAAAGUUCCCAGAAUCCAUGACCUUGGCCACCCUACCCAUGGAAGAUGAGCUUCCAAGAUUAGUAAACCAGUAAGCUGCUCCACUUUCAUUCACUAGCUUGAGGUUACCGUCAUCUGCAAUGGCAAGAGCUCCAACACUGUCUUCAGGAAGGGGGUUGUCUCUAUUGGCUACCCAUACAACUGUUCUCUCCUUCAACCCGUAGUACCAUAUGCCAAUGUAUUUUCCAUUGUUGAACCCUCCCUUGGGAAUAAAGAAGCCCAAUUCAAAAGUUUGAUUGGCUGAAACAAGAGUUCCUCUACCAUCAUCAAUAAGCAAAUUGUCUGGUGUGAUGGUAUCUCUAGCAGAGCAGCACAGGAUAGAACACAAGAAGAAAAAGAUUGCAUGUCGCAUUGAGUUGCAGAGACUGAAACCAUUAAUUUUCAUCUAGUCCUUUGCAGGAUAGAACCCAAGAAGAAAAAGAUUGCAGACAGCAUAUGAGUUGCAGAGACUGAAACCAUUAAUUUUCAUCUAGUCCUGUUGCCCACCAUUUUUUUUAAUGGUAAGAGUAUGAAAAGUUUGGUGGCACUGUUGAGUGUGGGGUUGCUGCUGCUGUAACGCACUCUCAAUAUUAUCAUAAAUAAAUAAAUAAAGAUUAUUAAAAAAAAAAAAACCUCCAUUGUAUCUAGGUUGACAUCUUAUUAUGGGAAAAGAAAGGAAAAAAAGCACUGCAGAAUUAAAUUAUAAAAAAUCCAAAAAAUUAAAAGUGAAAUGGAAAUUCUGCCCUCCCUAAAAAAUAUAAAUUUAGUUUUAAUUCUUUUUUUAAUAAAAAAAACAAUAAUGAUAAUUAAACAUUAUUAAUAAAAAAUAAUACUUACCUUUGAGUAUUAAUGAUAUAUUAAGAUUUAAUUAAAAUUUAAAAAUAUAUUUUAUGUUAAUACCUAUUUCUUCCCUUUUUAUCCUAUCUUUAUCUUUUUUUUUAGUGGAACCAUUGUUCCAAUUUAUUUUGCAUUAAUUCAAAUUAUAUGAGCUUUUUUGUUUUAUAAUAAACCCUUCAAUGAAAUUGACUUUUUAAAAUUUUGUAUUUGAUGGUUUAUAAGCUUUAAUUUAACGGUGGGUUAUCUAUAGUUUUAAUCUUAAUAUUUUAAAUUUUUAAAUUUUUAAAAUUUGUGACAUUUAAUUAAAUAAUAAAUUUUGCUUUCUUUAGUUUUUGAUGAUUUACUCUUAUUGAAUUGUUUAUAUGAAGUGAUAGCUUAUGUUUUAUUUUAAUUAUAAAGCUGAUGCACCUUAAUAAAAUAUUUUGACUAUAAAUAAUAUCGGUAAAGAUCUCUACACAUAUUGUGUAAUAUAUUUGAUGAAGACCUCUACAUAUAUUGUCUACUUUUGAGUCCAUUAGCUUUUCUAUUCCUACUUAUAACAUUGUUUACAUAUUCCAAAUAGCUAAUGGGUGGUCAUCCUCAUGUUUUCAAUUAGGAAUUAGUUUUAAUAUCACUUAACCCAACUCAUGUAACCUUAUUUUCUUUAAACCCAUUAAUCCUCGCAACUUACCCUAACAACAAAUGGGUCACCCCUUAAGUACUAAAAAUUUCUUAUUCAAAUGAUAUGAAAUAUUAUAUUCGAUCAUUUAUAUAGACACAUUGUUCUCAUCAUGACCCAUAGGGUUUAUGGAUAGUCAAAACUCUACAUAUUUUUUAUUAGGGAUUAGCACAACCUACUAGACUUCUUGAUUUUACGUAUACUAAAUGCAUCACUCUUAUAAGUAUUACAAAUUCUCGUAUGAGAAUUUGAAAAAGGGAAAAGUGGGUUUUUCCUCACUAAUUUAAAGAUAUAUAGAAAAAAAAACCUCAAAUUUUAUAAAUAAGUUUUACCUUUAUCAAUUUAAAAAUAUUUUAAAAUAUAUACACUUUUACAUAAAUCAGAUAAUUAUUUUCUAAAAUAGCACUUUACUUGAUAAUAUUAAAUAAAAUUAUCAAAAAAUAUUUAUCAUUUUAAGUUAAUAAAAGUACAUUACAAACAAAUAUAUUAUAAAUUUUUAUUAUAUAAUAUAAGGUACAAAUCAAUAUUCCUCAAGUGAUAAAUAAAUUUUUUGCUAAUUCUCUAGGUAAUAAUAAUUUUAUAUUUUAUAUUAUAUAAAUCCCUUCAUCUUCUUACCUUUUUAAAAAAAAAAAAAUUGAAUAAAAUUUUUGUUGAUUUACAUCAACAAUAAAAUAAGAAACUUUAAAAAAAAAACCUAAAAGUUAAAAAUAUAAAAAUAAAAUAUUGACUUUCACUUCGCGUACAUUGGUUAAAAAUCUAGAUAUAAAAAAAAAAUACAAUGGAAGUCAAUAUUUUAUUUUAUUUUAUUUUAAAUUUUUAAAUAUUUUGGUUUUAAUUGCCUUUAAUUUUUAAGUAUUUUAGUUUUAAUUGUAUUUUUAAAAAUUUAAAAUUCUUAUUUUAUUGUUCCUAAGGAUGUUUGUUUCUAGAGAGAGAAAAAAAAUCUUAAAUCAAGUCUCACAGUUAACAGAACAAAAACAAAACUAAAAGAAAAAUUAGUUUUUUUCAAUUAAAUAUUUAUGUAUGUACUUGUUAAUUGGAAUUAUUGAUAUAGUAAGUGCAAGUAAAAGGUUAUUUCAAAAAAUAAUUAUAUGACUUAAAAAAGUGUAUGUAUUUUAAAAUAUUUUUAAAUGAAAGAAGAUAAAAUUGAUUUAUAAAAUUUAGGGUUCUUUUUUCUAUAUUUUUUUCAAACUAGUGAGUUAUAACCCACUUUUCCCAAAUCAUCACAUUUACACCAAUUAAAAUAAUGAUAUAAAUAACAUUUUUUUUUCUUAACUUUCAUGUUUUAUUAAGAUAUUAUGUUUGGUACCUAAAAAGAAUGACAGAAAAUAAUUUUAUCACAUUUGGAUGUAAUAGAAAAAGAAAAAUAGUAAGGAAAUGAUGAGAGAAAAUUUAAAAGAUUUUCUUUUCCAUUUUCAUUAGAUAAAAGCAUGAAAAAUUUAGGAAAAAAAAAAUAUACUACUCAAUAAUUCAAUUUUCUAGAAACCAAAUAUGGUCUAAUAUUGCUCUACGUUCAAAGUCAAUUUUCAACGAUGAAUUCUCCUCUUACAGUGAUUCUUCUUAACUCGAUUGUGACAAGUGUUGUCAUAUGAAUUUUCUUCCCUCAAUCUACCUACUGAGAAAUGUAAUUUAAAAAAAAAAAAAGUACUCCUAAUGGAAUAAUGAGUAAUCACUAGAGACUUUGGAGUGUAGCAUGCAUCCUAUUCUUUUAAUUCUUGUCUCUCAAACCAGUCUUAAUAUUUUUAUUCAUUGAAUUAAAUUAUUAAAUAUACAAAUUAUUGACUGGUGUCUAAGUUUUUUCUUUCUUCAAUUUCUAGCUUUAAGUUCCCAAAUGAAAAAAAAAAAAAAAUUGUCAAGAUCUUGAUUAGAAAAACCUAUUGUUUAAUUGGAAAUAAAGUGGACUCAGUCUCCUUUCUUGUUGAUACAUUGCUUUCAUCUCUUUUCCUUCUGGCUAGCUACUAUGCUUCCCGCUCUCUUCCAAAGCCUAAAAGAAGGAUAACAUUUUGUUUGUUCCCCCGCCCCCCCUAUGAAUACAUGUGACUAGCUAUGAUCAUGAUGAUGUUCAUUUUUUAAAACAAAGAAAAAUGAAAAAUAUGAGCAUCAACCAAUAAAUUUUAGUACCCUUUCUCCAACUUGGAGAAGUUCCAAAUGGGUAAUUUUUUUAUAUUUUUGUUAUAAUUUUUAUGUUUUUUAUUUUAAAUAAACAAGACAAUCCAUUUUUCUUCUGAACAUUUUUUCUUUUGCCCUUUAGCCCUAAUGGCAGUCCACUUCAAAUAUUUUUGUGCCCAAAGGGUCAAAACUAAGGAAAGAUUCACUUCAAGAAAAAAUUAGGAGAAUUAAAAAUCAAAGCCCAAAAAGGGUUCCAGCAAGUGGAUGAUUUUUCUCAGUCAACUACUGCAAUUUGGGUCUUCCUUCCUCUACUUCCUAUUUUAUUUCCCAUAGUAAGGUUAGGCACAUUGACAUCUUUUUAUCCAUUUCUGUUUGCUUUUGUGCUUUUUUGGGAAAUCAUAAUCUGAUGUAGAUCUUGAUGGAACAGGUUUCUAUAGAAAAAUCAACAAGGGCUUUUUUUUUUACUUUAAGUUAGAUUCUGUUAUCUCAUUGGUAUGGCAUGGAAGAAUCUAUCCUUCACUGAAAAAUUGAGAGGAAAAAAAAUAGAUGUUUAUUUAUUUUUGUAUUAUAGCUCCUUUACACAUGUCACAAUCCCAUUUGCCUUAAUUUGUAGGCAUGACAUCCAAAAAUACUUUUCAGUACCAUAAUUUGAUGGAAAAAAUAGGUUUUGACUCAUUAGUACGAAAAUUUAUGAAAAAAAUACUUUAAUUUUUUUAAAUCAGUAUUAUCUUCAUUUAUUUCAAAAUCAACAACCCUUUUUCUUAUCUUUUAGGAAAAUUCUAUAUUACGUCAUGGGUAUGACAUGGAUGAAUUGACCAUUCAAUGAAAAUUAAGGGGAAAAAAUAGAUGUUUAUUUAUUUUUGUGCUAUAGCUCCUUUACAUAUGUCACAAUCUCAUUUAUAUUAAUUUGUUGGCAUGGCAUCCGAAAAUAAUUUUCGAUACCAUAAUUUAAUGAGAAAAUAAGUUUUGAUUCACUAAUAUGAAAUAUAUAGAUAAAAAAAAAUCUUAAUUUUUCAAAAUCAAUAUUAUCUUCAUUUAUUUAAAAAUCAACAAGGGGUUUUUUUUAUUUAAUUUAUAGGAAUAUUCUAUGUUACCUCAUUGGUAUGGCAUGGAAGAAUUGACCAUUCAUUGAAAAUUAAGGGAAAAAAUAGAUAUUUAUUUAUUUUUGUAUUAUAGCUCCUUCACACAUGUCACAAACCUAUCUAUGUUAGCAGCACAUGUGAUGCUUGCAAAUAAACACAAAUAGGAGAAGGUGCAGAGUUAGCAUCACAUGUUCAUGUAUUACAAUAUGAUUGGUUCUUUCUCUUUCCUCCAUAAAAUUCUCUUAUAUAGUUGACUGGUUCUUUCUCAUAUAUGGUUGUAGAUAUGAUUUGAUCAAACCGCAUUAAAACCCGGGUAACUUAGUUUGCUUUAUUUAUGUUAUUCUGUUCAAUCUGGCAUUAUAGUUUUUUAUCUUGCAAGGAUUCCAUUGAAAAACAUAACUGAAAGGGCUUUUAAGAUUUGGAGUAUAAAUAUAGUUUCCAAUAUCUUCCAAUAUAUGUUGUGGGCUCAGAAAGAAGUCCUCCCAAUUGUACUGAAAAAUCAGUGCAUUUAUGCUGCAAUUUGUUAAUAUAGUUCAGUCAGAAACAGAGCAGAUAAACAGAUAUAACAACAAAAUCCUGGGAAUUGGACAAUUUAUUAGCAGCCUUCACCAUGUACAGGAUCCCAUAGAGACGUCCAAAACAGAGCAUCAAAUGGGAACUCCUCCUGGACUAUCGACCUUCUUCUAUGGUGGCUAGGAUUUCACUGUUCCAGGAUGCUUCAGGUUUGCUAGAAGAAGAAGCUGUCCUAGAAAGGUCUCUUUUUAGGACAAAAGCCGGUUGUUUAGGAACCGGCAUUGUUGCAAUGUCACUGCUGAGCAUUACAACUGCAACUGCCAUGGUGGGACGGUCACUUGGGUCUUCUUGCACACACAACAGCCCAACAUUCACACACCUCAAAAAUUCUUUUGUGUUGCAUGUUUCGCAUAGUGUCUGGUCCAUCAGCUCCAACACCUUGUCUUCUUUCAAUAGCUUCCAUGCCUGGGAAGUUUGAGAAUAGAAAGUUAAGUAUGGUAUGGUAUAUCAUUGAGAACGACUAAAAGAUCAAGGCAAAUGAGAGAUUCAAAGCCCUCACUUGACCCAGAAGGCUCAGUGUUUGGUCAGACUGAUAAAAGCCAGUGUUCCUCUUCCCACUGAUGAUCUCAAGCACCAUAACACCAAAGCUAAAGACAUCAGACUUCUCUGAGAAAAACCCAUCCAAUGCAUACUCUGGAGACAUAUAGCCACUGCAUUGAACCAGUUAAAAGCACUACUCUGUUAAUUGGGGAUACGAUCAUGCAACUGCUUGCUUUUUUCUGUACACAAUAUGCAAUACUUACUAAGUUCCAACUACUCUGUUUGUGCUUGCCUCUACUUGCUUACUGUCAAAAAUCCUCGCCAAGCCAAAGUCUGAAAUUUUGGGAUUCAUCUCAUCAUCAAGUAGAAUGUUGCUUGUUUUCAAGUCCCUAUGAAUAAUCUUCAAUCUUGAAUCUUGGUGAAGAUACAGCAGCCCUCUAGCAAUUCCCAUAAUGAUGUCAAACCGCUUCUCCCAGUUCAGUAACAUGCAUAGGGUUCGAUCUUGCAAGGUUCCCAUUGGAAAGCAUUACUUCAGAUAUGUAUACAAGAAUGUAUAUGUUACAUGAAAAAGAAAAGGGCUUUAAGGCAGGUUUAGAGACAAACCAAAUAUGAAGGAAUCUAAGCUUUUGUUGGGCAUAUAUUCAUAGAGUAAAAUCUUCUCAUCACCUUCAACACAAUAGCCCAAAAGUCUAACCAGAUUCCGAUGCUGAAGUUUGGCAAUUAAAACAACCUCAUUCUUAAAUUCCUGUAGGCCUUGUCCUGAAGCUCUAGAGAGUCUCUUAACUGCAAUUUCUUGCCCCUCUGGAAACUUGCCCUGGAAGCCACAGUGCAUAUGCAUUGGGCAUAUGUUAGAACUUGGUGACUUGAAUUCUAUUUGGUUCGACUCCAGAAGCUCGCGAUGUGAUAUAGGUAGUAAAGCUAAAAUUAUGAAUUUUUUUUUGGGUUUGUGGUAGUAACAGAGGGAUCGGACCUAUUACUCUUUCAUGUAUAUACAUACAUAUAUAUACAUACAUAUAUAUAUAUAUAUAUGCAUGCGAUGAUGUAUAGUUUUCAGGGUUAUGAUGAUUAUGUUUUUGCUAUAGGGGUCCGUAUCUCUUUCCUCUUGUACUAAUUUUUUAUAUAAUAAAAUUUCUUCUCCUCGUGGUCUUUCCUAUCUAGGGUUUUCCAUACAAAUUUAUGUGUUCUUAUCCUGUUUUAUUUCUUAUUGCAUAUUCUCAUUAUUUUGUAACAGCAUAGAUGAUGAUAAACCAGUUGAAAAUGAGAGGAACAUGGAAAUUAAGAACAAUUACCUUGUAAACUGGCCCAAAACCCCCUUGUCCAAGCUUAUUUGCAUCUGAAAAGUUAUUUGUAGCAGCCAGUAUGUCUUCUAAGUCGAAAAACGGUACAUCAAUGCCUUUCUUAUCCUCUUCUUUGAAUUGCUCCGAGUCUAUUAAGUGUUUCACACGACUCUCACUAUCAUAUAAGUGAAGCACUUGAUUUGCUCUGUUCUCUGAACUCAAAAAAAACAGAAAAUAUUGUAUACAAGACCCUGAAAUAUUCUCAAUUCAGCCAAGCACAAGUCGAAAAGAAAAGACCAGAAGUUAUAGGCUAGUGCAUAUGGCACAAAGAUUACCUUUCCUUUUGGUGAUGGUUCUUUUGCGCAAAUAAGCAAUAUAACCAAUGAUGCCUAAAACCCGCACUAGAACAACAGCAAUUGUUAUGCCUACNNNNNNNNNNNNNNNNNNNNNNNNNNNNNNNNNNNNNNNNNNNNNNNNNNNNNNNNNNNNNNNNNNNNNNNNNNNNNNNNNNNNNNNNNNNNNNNNNNNNNNNNNNNNNNNNNNNNNNNNNNNNNNNNNNNNNNNNNNNNNNNNNNNNNNNNNNNNNNNNNNNNNNNNNNNNNNNNNNNNNNNNNNNNNNNNNNNNNNNNNNNNNNNNNNNNNNNNNNNNNNNNNNNNNNNNNNNNNNNNNNNNNNNNNNNNNNNNNNNNNNNNNNNNNNNNNNNNNNNNNNNNNNNNNNNNNNNNNNNNNNNNNNNNNNNNNNNNNNNNNNNNNNNNNNNNNNNNNNNNNNNNNNNNNNNNNNNNNNNNNNNNNNNNNNNNNNNNNNNNNNNNNNNNNNNNNNNNNNNNNNNNNNNNNNNNNNNNNNNNNNNNNNNNNNNNNNNNNNNNNNNNNNNNNNNNNNNNNNNNNNNNNNNNNNNNNNNNNNNNNNNNNNNNNNNNNNNNNNNNNNNNNNNNNNNNNNNNNNNNNNNNNNNNNNNNNNNNNNNNNNNNNNNNNNNNNNNNNNNNNNNNNNNNNNNNNNNNNNNNNNNNNNNNNNNNNNNNNNNNNNNNNNNNNNNNNNNNNNNNNNNNNNNNNNNNNNNNNNNNNNNNNNNNNNNNNNNNNNNNNNNNNNNNNNNNNNNNNNNNNNNNNNNNNNNNNNNNNNNNNNNNNNNNNNNNNNNNNNNNNNNNNNNNNNNNNNNNNNNNNNNNNNNNNNNNNNNNNNNNNNNNNNNNNNNNNNNNNNNNNNNNNNNNNNNNNNNNNNNNNNNNNNNNNNNNNNNNNNNNNNNNNNNNNNNNNNNNNNNNNNNNNNNNNNNNNNNNNNNNNNNNNNNNNNNNNNNNNNNNNNNNNNNNNNNNNNNNNNNNNNNNNNNNNNNNNNNNNNNNNNNNNNNNNNNNNNNNNNNNNNNNNNNNNNNNNNNNNNNNNNNNNNNNNNNNNNNNNNNNNNNNNNNNNNNNNNNNNNNNNNNNNNNNNNNNNNNNNNNNNNNNNNNNNNNNNNNNNNNNNNNNNNNNNNNNNNNNNNNNNNNNNNNNNNNNNNNNNNNNNNNNNNNNNNNNNNNNNNNNNNNNNNNNNNNNNNNNNNNNNNNNNNNNNNNNNNNNNNNNNNNNNNNNNNNNNNNNNNNNNNNNNNNNNNNNNNNNNNNNNNNNNNNNNNNNNNNNNNNNNNNNNNNNNNNNNNNNNNNNNNNNNNNNNNNNNNNNNNNNNNNNNNNNNNNNNNNNNNNNNNNNNNNNNNNNNNNNNNNNNNNNNNNNNNNNNNNNNNNNNNNNNNNNNNNNNNNNNNNNNNNNNNNNNNNNNNNNNNNNNNNNNNNNNNNNNNNNGAUUCAGUACUGUAGAAUUUCUCAAAACAAAACAAAAACAUAUACUAAUCGAAUGAUUAAUCAUUGGAGUGUAGAAUGCAAAGCUUUUUCUUUCUUCAUUUUAAUGAGACAAUGAAUAAAAAUAAGGUGGACCAUGUCUCCUUUCCAACGCACACCUUUCAUCUUUUCUCUUUAUCCCAACAUGUUUCUCAUUCCACUCCACUUUUUUCUUUGUAUGUAUAGUUUAUCUCUUUUAAGAAAUCAAGUAUGAGCAUCAACUGAUAAAUUUUUCUAUACUUUCUUCGACUUGGAGGAGCUUCAUAAUGGGAUAAACAAUCAAGAGUCUGUUUUCACAAUGUUUUUAAAAAGGGUAUUUGAGAUAACUUAAAUGUUUUUGAGGCAAAAUUUUAUUAAGAAUUCAAAUAUAAAAACUAAUUUUCUUUGUUUAUGCAUGUACGAUAUAAAAGUUUUUAAAGUGCUAUUCUCUAUUUUUUCAAUUGUCACUCAAUGAAUUCUAAAAAAAAAAACAAAACUAAAAUACCUUAAAAUCUUUCUAAAAAAUAAUUCAUUUUCAAAACAAAUUCCCAAUAAAAAAAAAUUGUGUUUUCUAUCAUAAUUUUUUGAAACAUAUUUUCUAAGUUAGAAAAUAAUUUUUUAUUCUAAAAGAUUAAUAUAUAUAUUUUCAAGAACAGAUACCAAAUAUAACCUAAUUUUUCUUCUAAGGUUUUUUUCCUUAUGUCUCCGUCUAGUUGUCAUCCAAUGAACAAUCCACUUCAAAUAUUUUUGUGCCAAAGGGUAAAACCGAAGGAGAGAAUUACUCAAACACAGGAGAAUUAAGAAUCAAAGGACAAAAGGGAUUGGAGCAAGGUGAUAACUUUUCUCAGUGAACUUCACUGAUUUGCUCAAAGGCAAGUUGCCAGCAAAAUCAAGGAUAUAAAAUGUGUAUUUCAUCUUUUUUUGUUGGACCCAUUGGGUUUGCUUUUUUUCCCUCUCAAUUUGGGAUUUAAUAUAAUAUAGAUCAGGAUUGAGCAGGUUUCUGUAAAUAAAUCAAAAUGGGCGGCCUUUUUUUAACUUGAUUCCCUCUUUGCUUUCUAGCACAUGAGAAAAAGUAGAGCUAGCCUCACAUGUGCACACUGCACAUGGCAUAGCAUUGGGUACCUAUUGAGUCAUCUCCACCAUAUGAUUAAGCACAGUGGCCCAAAUACUAGCAAUGAAGUUAGAAAAUGCAUUCUUCAUUUUCGUCUCCGAGAGAGUAGGAAAACCAUAUUCUUUCUCUGAUUUUUCAGGAAGAGAGAAGAGACUUCUCACAUAGAGAAUAAAAAAUAAAAAAAUUAUUUAUUUUUAAUAGUGAUAGUUUCUAUGUAGUUUUAAAACUCCCUAAAACUACUUCCCCAUUUUCUCAUUUAUUUGAGUCAGGUCGGGUCAGUCCACUUGGACACCCAAACCCAACUCCAACAUUGUGGAACUUGGAAGUGUAGUUUAUCUCACUGCUGAACAUGAGAACUUUGUUGGACAUGGUGGGACAUCACUUGGGUCUCUUGAACACUGAAGAGCCCAACAUUUAUAUUGUCAUUUAGUUUGCACCAUAUGCAGAGCCCAGUUCAAACAUGAUAUUGAAAAAAGUUCUAUACACAAAUACAGCUGAUGGAUAGGAGAAACAAAACAGAACAUCAGAUGGAUAAAACUUAGUAAACUAAAUAAACGGUAAAGGAUUCAUUGGAUCUCCUCUUAGCUAUCGCCCUUCUCCUAUGGAGGCUACAAGCUCAUUCUUCCAGGAGGCUUCAGCCUUGCUAGAAGAAGAAGCUGUACUAGAAAGGUUCCUCUUUACAACAAAAGCUGGUUCUUUAGGAACGGGCACUGUUGCAGCAUCACUGCUGAGCAGAAGAACUGCAAUGGCCAUGGUGGGACGGUCACUUGGGUCUUCUUGCACACACAACAGCCCAACAUUUACACACCUCGAAAAUUCGUUUGUGUUGCAUGUUUCACUUAGUGUCUGGUCCAUCAACUCCAAAACCUUGUCUUCUUUCCAUAGCUUCCAUGCCUAGAACAGUUCAAAAAGUUGUAGGUCAGAUGAACAGAGAAUGACUAAAAGAUCAGUACAAAUGAAAGAUUCAAAGCUCUUACAUGACCUAGAAGACUCAGAGUUCGGUCAGACUGAUAAAAUCCAGUGUUCCUCUUCCCACUGAUGAUCUCAAGUACCAUAACACCAAAGCAAAAGACAUCAGACUUCUCUGAGAAAUAUCCAUCCAAUGCAUACUCCGGAGACAUAGCCACUGCAUUGAACCAGUUAAAAGCAGCACUCAGCUAAUUGGGAAACGCAAUCAUACAACCGCUUGCCUUUUUCGAUACAAAAUAUACAAUACUUACUAAGUUCCAACUACUCUGUUCGUGUUUGCCUCUACUUGCUUACUGUCAAAAAUCUUUGCCAAGCCAAAGUCUGAAAUUUUGGGAUUCAUCUCAUCAUCAAGUAGAAUGUUGCUUGUUUUUAAGUCCCUAUGAAUAAUCUUCAAUCUUGAAUCUUGGUGAAGAUACAGCAGCCCUCGAGCAAUUCCCAUAAUGAUGUCAAACCGCUUCUCCCAGUUCAGUAACAUGCAUAGGGUUCAAUCUUGCAAGGUUCCCAUUGGAAAGCAUUACUUCAGAUAUGUAUACAAGAAUGAAUAUGUUACAUGAAAAAGAAAAGGGCUUUAAGGCAGGUUUAGAGACAAACCAAAUAUGAAGGAAUCUAAGCUUUUGUUGGGCAUAUAUUCAUAGAGUAAAAUCUUCUCAUCACCUUCAACACAAUAGCCCAAAAGUCUAACCAGAUUCCGAUGCUGAAGUUUGGCAAUUAACACAACCUCAUUCUUAAAUUCCUGUAAGCCUUGUCCUGAAGCUCUAGAGAGUCUCUUAACCGCAAUUUCUCGCCCCUCUAGAAACUUGCCCUGGAAGCCACAGUGCAUAUGCAUUGGGCAUAUGUUAGAACUUGGUGACUUGAAUUCUGUUUGGUUCGACUCCAGAAGCUCGAGAUGCGACAUAGGUAGUAAAACUAAAAUUAUGAAAUUUUUUUGGGUCUGUGGUAGUAACAGAGGGAUCGGACCUAUUACUCUUUCAUGUAUAUAUAUGCAUGCAAUGAUGUAUAGUUUUCAGGGUUAUGAUCAUUAUAUUUUUGCUAUAGUCGUUAGUAUCUCUUUCCUCUUGUACUAAUUUUUGACAUAGUAAAAUUUCUUCUCCUCGUGGUCUUUCCUAUUUAGGGUUUUCCACACAAAUCUAUGUGUUUUUAUCCUGUUUUAUUUCUUAUUGCAUAUUCUCAUUAUUUUGUAACAUCAUAUAUGAUGAGAAAUCAGUUGAAAAUGAGAGGAAUAUGGAAGUUAAGAACAAUUACCUUGUAAACUGGCUCAAAACCCCCUUGUCCAAGCUUAUUUGCAUCUGAAAAGUUUUCUGUAGCAGCCAGUAUGUCUUCUAAGUCGAAAAACGGUACAUCAAUGCCUUUCUUAUCCUCUUCUUUGAAUUGCUCUGAGUCUAUUAAGUGUUUCACACGACUCUCACUAUCAUAUAAGUGAAGCACUUGAUUUGCUCUGUUCUCUGAACUAAAAAAAAAAACAGAAAAUAUUGUAUAGAAGACCCUGAAAUAUUCUCAAUUCAGCCAAGCACAAGUCGAAAAGAAAAGACCAGAAGUUAUAUGGCUAGUGCAUAUGGGAACAAAGAUUACCUUUCCCUUUUGGUGAUGGGUCUUNNNNNNNNNNNNNNNNNNNNNNNNNNNNNNNNNNNNNNNNNNNNNNNNNNNNNNNNNNNNNNNNNNNNNNNNNNNNNNNNNNNNNNNNNNNNNNNNNNNNGAAGGAACUGAAUUGAACUUCUCUCACCUACCCAGAAGGCAAAUUUAGUAAGAUACUGGGAAUGUGGCAGUGUCACUGCUGAGCAUUACAACUGCAACUGCCAUGGUGGGACGGUCACUUGGGUCUUCUUGCACACACAACAACCCAGCAUUCACACACCUCAAAAAUUCUUUUGUGUUGCAUGUUUCGCUUAGUGUCUGGUCCAUCAGCUCCAACACCUUGUCUUCUUUCAAUAGCUUCCAUGCCUGGGACAGUUUGAGAAUAGAAAGUUAAGUAUGGUAUGGUAUAUUGUUGAGAACGACUAAAAGAUCAAUGCAAAUGAGAGAUUCAAAGACCUCACUUGACCCAGAAGGCUCAGUGUUUGGUCAGACUGAUAAAAUCCAGUGUUCCUCUUCCCAUUGAUGAUCUCAAGCACCAUAACACCAAAGCUAAAGACAUCAGACUUCUCUGAGAAAAACCCAUCCAAUGCAUACUCUGGAGACAUAUAGCCAUUGCAUUGAACCAGUUAAAAGCACUACUCUGUUAAUUGGGGAUGCGAUCAUGCAACUACUUGCUUUUUUCUAUACACAAUAUGCAAUACUUACUAAGUUCCAAAAAUAAUUUAUGGUGUCACUUUUAAAAUAAUGACCCAUAUGACUUAAAAUCCAUAAAGGUGACACCUCAUAUAAAAAUUUUCAAUGAAGAUAAAUGAUAUUAAUUUUAAGUUUAUAGUGUCAGUUUUUGAAAAGUAACACUAUAUAAAAUAAAAAUUUUAAAAUACUAUAACUUAAUGAGCCCGAGAAUAAUAAUAGUAUAUAAAAAACUCAUUAUUUCCACAUACCCACAAUCCAAAAAUCUCAUUAUAUAACCCUAACCAUAAUUUUCUUCUACCUCUUCUCACACCCAUAGUUAACACACAACUGCUCUUCUUUACUUCAUGGAUUCUCAAGUAAUCCAAAAUCUCUUAGAUCUAUCAUUUUCAUUUUUUUUCAUUAAUGUCAAAAUCUUUAUUAGCACAAUUGAUUUAUAUUCAUUGAUUUGGUAUAUCUGUGAUGUGGAUUAUGUAAAUAGUGUUUUUUUAUUAAGUUGUAAGAAAGUAAAAAUUAAGUUUAACAUUACACCAUAUCUUCUAUUUCAUUGUUAAACCUAUAAACCUCAAAAUGAAUGAAAAUAAGAUAAAUGAAUGAUUUUUUUUAAUUUAUUUCAUACUCAAGAAUGAGGGAUAAACAUUUUACAGUAUGAAAUUUUCUUUUGAUCUUACAAGAAAUUUCCUUUGAUGCGACUUUCUGUUUGUUUUCUAGGAAUAUUAUAGUAUAUUGUGAUGACGAUAUGUGUUGGUGAUAUUUGAAAAAUAAUUUUUAGAAAGUUAUUCUUAAUAUUGUUAUCUCCCACAAAAGGAAAAAUGAAAUAGUUUCCAUAUCAUGUUGGAGUUGGUUUGGAAUGUUGGAAUUAACAAUGAAAAAUUAAUUUUUUUUUAUUAAUGUAAAAGAAUUGUUUUUUAAAAUUUAAAUAGGAAUGAAAAUUUUUAUAAUUAUAAGAAUGAUCAAAUCUUAUAUUUUAAUUUUUUUAUUCUUUUACAUGGUAUUAUGGUUAAUAUCUUAUCUUGUUCUAUUCAUAUUGUUUCUAUUCUUAAAAUGUGUUUUUUGUUUUUUUGUCUUUACCUUUUUUUAUAUGCGUCGACCAAAAUUUAUAAUUUCCGUUUUAAGGUUAGAAAAUUUCUAUAAAAUCCUUUUACUACAUAAAUUUUUUCAAUUACUUCCAUAAAACUCUUUUUUUUUUUUUUUUUUGGAAAGAAGAAGAAGAAGAUGUUUUAUCUUUUGAUUUUCUAUGAAAUUUCCUUUAAUUGGACUGUUUGUUUAUUUUCUAAGAAUAUUAUAGUAUGUUGUGAUGAAGAUAUUGGUUGGUCAUAUUUGGAAAAUAAUUUUUGAGAAAAUUAUUCUCAAUAUUGUCAUAUCUCGCAAAAGGAUUAUUUUUGCUUUCUUUUCUUAUUGUUUUUAUAUGCAUUGACCAAACUUUGGAGCAAUUUGAAAUUGAUGAUGAAAUUUUCCUUUCAAGGUUAGGAAAUUUCUAUAAAAUCCUUUUAUUACAAAUUUUUUUCCAAUUCUUUCCAUAAAACUCUUCAUUUUCUUCAUUUUUCUUUUUUCUGAAAAAGAUGUUUGAUAAUUUAUUGAUCUAAAGAAUAUUAAAAGUAAAAAAAAUAAAAAUAUUGAAUAUAUUUUCCUUUGAUGUUUUUAAUUUUUUAUUAUUUGAACACAAUUUCAUAUCCAAAUUUUUUAUUAAUUAUUUUAAUUAGAAAAAAGAAAUAUCAAUUGGAGUUUUGACUGAAAAAUCAAUAAUUUUUAUGAAAAGCUCUUUAAUUCUUUCUCAUACUAUUUUUUCUCUUAAUAUUUUUUAAUAAUGAAUUAGGUUUUUUGUCUUAUAUACACAAUUUUCAUGCUUGUUAUAAUAUCAUGUCCUAUCAUAUUAGUAGUUGAAAACAUUUUGAUAUUUUGUUACUAAAAUUUUAUUUUAUGUAAUUGAGAUGAAAUUUAAUGGACAUUGUUAUUUCAUAAAAUGAACAUUAAAAAAAUAUUGAAAUUAAGAAAAUCCUUCCAAGAAAUAUAUAUAUAUAUAUAUAUAUAUAUAUAUAUAAUGUUAAAAAUGAUUUUUAAAAACAUAAUGAAUUAUAAAAAAUAAAUUUAAAAAGUGCAUAUUUUAAGUGGAAGAUUAGUAUUUUCUAAAUUUUAGAUUUAUAUUUUGAUUUGGUAGUUUUGAUUUAUUUUUUAUUUUCUUGAAUUGUUUUUAUUUGAAUUCAAAUGUGACUACUUUGUUAUGAGAUUCAUUAAAGAGAUAAUUGUUGAUUCUAUAGUUAUUGCAUUAAAGGUUUUACUCAUUUAAUGAAUUGCACAUAGUUUCAUACUUCCAAUUAUUGUGAUAUUAAUGUUAUUAUCAUUUGAUUUUAGUUUGAUGAUAAAAAAAAAACAUAUUCUUAAGUAGAAUGUGAUGAAAUUAGAGGAGAAUUGACUACUUUUAUAUUAUAACUAAUCAAGAAUCAUGUUGAUGUAUCGUGAUCAUGCAUGGUGAGUCCCUUAGUUGUUGUAUGAAUUUUCCAUUGGUAUUGUAUAACAUUACUUAUUCUUUACAAAUUAUAUUUAUAUCAAAAUGGAAAAAAGAAAAAAAGAAAACAUUAGUAGUUAGAUUUGUUUAUUUUUUAUAACAUUAAUUAAUUUUUAUUUUUAAUAAAAACUCUAAAACUCAUUAAACUAUGAAAUGCAAGUAUACACUCUUGGAAGGACAGUAUGAAGAAUAAAAAGAAAGGAGAAAGAGACAACAAGAUUUUGGGUUUUUAGAUGUAACUUUUAUGUCAUAUAUUAUAGGACAUAAACGUUACUUUAUUUGGUAUUGAGAAUUUUGGGUUUUUGGAUGCAACACUUGUGUCAUUUUAUGGUUAGCCAGUUUUAUGCAUAUGAAUUGUAGGUAUACAUGAAUGUUGGGAUGCUUAACAUUUCUAUGUCAUGUUUUAAUGUGCAUUCACUUUUCCUUUUUAGUUUUGGUGGGUUUGAUGUACUAUCAUUUUGUGAACAUUUGAUAUACAAAUAUUAUUGGAUGAUUUAAUGUAUUACAGGUUGAUCUUAUUUAUUAAUAAGCAUUACAAAAAUCUAUAGGCUAAUCAAUAAAAAACAACCAUAUAUUCCAUAAUCAUUUACAAUGAUGUGACACCAUAACUCAAAGGUGAUGCAUUUAACGUGACACCAUAACUCAAAGGUGAUGCAUUUAAUAUGACACCUUAUAUAUCUCACACAACUCUAUAUCAAAUUAAGCAUUACUAAAAAUAUAUGGUGCCGCUUCUGAAUGUGUCACCAUUUAUCUACAUUGGUGUCGCUUCCAAAUACAUCACCAAUUGGUACCCUCUAUGGUGUCAGUGGAUAAGGUGACACUAUGUUGUAGUGACACCUUAUGUUUAUAGUGACUCAUUAUAAAUGUCACCAUAUAUCUUUUUCCUUGUAGUGUAUUCACCCCCUCCCCCUCUAGGUGUAGUCCAUUAUUGAGAUUCACCUUUUCAUCAUCCAUCCACAUGCCAGGAAGAAAAGUAUCAGUAAGAUUAUGGAAGCUCUCCCAAAGAAUCUCCCCUGAUCUGUUGUCACUUAAAACAAGGUUCCCGGAGUCCAUGAGCUUCAUCACCAUGCCUGUAGAUAAAGAUGUCUCAGUAUUAGAAGACCAAUGAACUUUCCCAUUUUCAUCCAAUAAUUUGAGCUUACCAUCGUCUUUAAUGGCAAAAACUCCAAAGGGGGGAUCAAAAAGGGGAAGGGGGCUGUCUCGGUUGGCCACCCAUACAACUCUUUGUGGUUUCAACAAGUAAUACCAUAUGCCAAUGUAUUUUCCAUUGUUGAACCUUCCAUCCGAAUUAAAGAAGCCAAGUUCAAAAGUUUUGCCUACAGAAACAAGAGUUCCUCCAUCAUUUCUAAGCCAAUCCUCUGGUGUGAUGGUAUCUCUAGCAGAGCAAUAUAGGACAGAACAUAAGAAAAAGAUGGUUGAUAGCAUGUGAGUUGUAGAGACAGGAACCAUGAAUUUUCUUCUUAUCAUUUUGCCCUCUAUUGUUGUUAGUCAAAGAACCAUGAAGAGUUGCAGAGACAUGAACCACGAAUUUUCUUCUUAUCAUUUUGCCCUCUAUUGUUGUCAGUCAAAGAACCAUGAAGGGUUUGCUACUGUUGUAUUGCACUCUCAUUUUUAAUGGAGACUUUUCCUUUUAACUCUUGAGUGGAGAAAAUUCAUAUCAGUAUUCUUAUCUUGAUUUCCCUUUUUGAUGCAUAGCUUUCAUCUCUGGACUUUUGUGGCAACUUGAGUCUUUAAGAUGGCAACUUUAAUAUGCUUCCUGGUGUCUUCCAAGUAUUGACGUUUUGUAUGCAUCACCCUCCUCCUUCUACACCAAUUUGUUUCUUUGUAUGUAUAGUUUUAUCUCUUCUAAGCAAUAAAGCAUAUGGCAUCAACCAAUAAAUUUUUCUGUACUUUCUCCAAUUUGGAGGAGCUUCGUAAUGGGACAAACAAGAAAAAUUAGAAGUUUAUUUGGCAAUGCUUGUAGAAACAGUUUUUCAUAACAAUGCUAAGAAACAGUUCUCAAAUGUUUCGACUAACUCAAAUAUAAGAACUAGUUUUCUUUGUUUAUUCUCUUACGUACAAAGCGAAAGUUUAAAAAAUAUUCUUUAUUUUAUAAAUUUUUAUCCAAAGAACUCCAUAAAAAUGAAAAAAAUUACAAACACCUCAAAAUGAUUCUAAAAUAUAAUUCAUCUGCAUAACAAAUUUGGCAAAAAAAAAAAUCAUUUUUCAUCAAAUGUCUAUCAAACGUGUUUUCUAAUUAACAAAAAAAUUUUCUGUUUAAAUAAAAAAAUCUAAAAUAACUACUAAACAUACCCUGAUUUUUGUUUUAAGCUUUUUUCCUUCUCAUGUCUUCUAAUUGCCAUGCAAUGAAUUAUCCACUUCAAACAUUUUUGUGCCAAAGGUAAAGCAAAGGAGAGAAUUACUAAAACAAACCCAGGAAAAUUAAGAAUCAAAGGACAAAAGGGGUUCAAGGAAGUGAUAAAUUUUCUCAAUGAAUUAACUUCACUAAUUGCUCAAAGGCAAGUUGUCAAUUGUUACAGAAUAGUGAAUAUAGGAAAUAAGAAAAACAAAAUAUGAACAUAUAGAUUUGUGUGAAAAAUCCUAAACGAGAAAAACCACGGACGGAUGAGAAGAAGAUCCACUAUAUCAAAAAUUGGUAUAAGAGGAGAGAGUUACGAGCGUCUAUAGCAUAACCCUAAAAAUACAUCAUCACAUAUACACACACAUAUGUAUAUAUAUAUAAAGCAGGUUCAUACUUUUGAAUUCAUUUAAUCUUUAUAUAAUGAAGGAAAGUAAAAUAAAUUAGAAAAAACAUAUGAAAUAAUUUAUUAACUUCGAAUUUAUUUUUUUAUUUUCUUUUGUUUUUUCCUUUCUUCUAUUUUUCCUCUCUAUUUUUUUUUUUCCAUAUUUUGCCUUAUAUUUUUUGAGAACCAAAUAUAGUCUUAAAGUUUCUUGGAAACUUUGGACUUUAGAAAAAACUUAACCUUUUUUUCUUGGGAAUAAUUUUCUAGAUUUGAGGUACAUUAUCUUAGGGGUGUACUAAGCAUGCCAAAAUACUUUCAAAAUCUAACUCCUAUUUUUUGGAAAGUUAUGAAUUAAUAUUUCUAUUUUUUUUUUUUUUUUUUACUCUUUCCAAAUCUAAUUUUACUAGGAACCAAAUUUGUGAAUUUUUGCACAAAAUCCUAUCCAAGAGAGGAUCUUUUAGAAAUCUCAUCCAUUCUAUAUUUAAUUGGUAGAGAAUUAAAACCACGGUUGUGCAAAAAGCAUAUGAACAAAUAAAAUUAGACCAAGAUAUAUAUCUAUAUAUCUAUAUCUAUAUAUAUAUAUAUAUAUAUAUAUAUAUAUAUAUCAAUGAUUCAACUUAGAAGAAUAAUGCAUUAGAUUUCUACACUUUGAGUAGUUGCCUUGAUUAAGUCCAAUUACUAGAAGCCAAGGUCAAGGUCAUCGAAGUUUGUCCAUUCUCUUUCAUAAUUUCUUUUUUCCUCACUAAAGGAGAGAAUAUCUCUUUUACAAAUCUUGUCUAUUCUUGAUUGAUUUGGUAGAGAAUUUAAAAAAGGGUUGUGCCAAAAGCAUGUCAACAAUUUAAAAUGGACCGAGAGACGAAACUUCUCAAUGAGUGGAUGUAUAUCUUUGUCAAUCCUUCAACUUUGAAGAAUAAUGCAUUAGACUUCUAUGCUUUAAGUAGUUUCCUUGAUUGAGUCCAAUUAUUAGAAGCCAAAGUCAAGGUCAUCGAAGUUUGUACAUUCUCUCUUGUGGUCCCAUGGUAUUUGCUCUUUUUUACCUCAUUAGAGGAAAAAACAUUAACACAGCUUCAUGUGGGAACCAACCUUUCUUUUAGCAUCCAUGAUAGUUUUUCUUCCCAAUAAUUAGAAAAAGAUUCAUGAGGACCCCAUAUGAGAACUAUUAUUGGUGAUUGUAUAUAGAAAUAAAGAGAAUUCAUUUAUCCUAUAAAAAACAACCCCUUCCUAACGAUUAUAUAAUUUAUUGGUAACAAUGUGAUAGAAAAUUUUGAGACACAUAUUAUAGAUGAAUCUUGGUUAUGGAUUAUAGUUAGAGGGGNNNNNNNNNNNNNNNNNNNNNNNNNNNNNNNNNNNNNNNNNNNNNNNNNNNNNNNNNNNNNNNNNNNNNNNNNNNNNNNNNNNNNNNNNNNNNNNNNNNNNNNNNNNNNNNNNNNNNNNNNNNNNNNNNNNNNNNNNNNNNNNNNNNNNNNNNNNNNNNNNNNNNNNNNNNNNNNNNNNNNNNNNNNNNNNNNNNNNNNNNNNNNNNNNNNNNNNNNNNNNNNNNNNNNNNNNNNNNNNNNNNNNNNNNNNNNNNNNNNNNNNNNNNNNNNNNNNNNNNNNNNNNNNNNNNNNNNNNNNNNNNNNNNNNNNNNNNNNNNNNNNNNNNNNNNNNNNNNNNNNNNNNNNNNNNNNNNNNNNNNNNNNNNNNNNNNNNNNNNNNNNNNNNNNNNNNNNNNNNNNNNNNNNNNNNNNNNNNNNNNNNNNNNNNNNNNNNNNNNNNNNNNNNNNNNNNNNNNNNNNNNNNNNNNNNNNNNNNNNNNNNNNNNNNNNNNNNNNNNNNNNNNNNNNNNNNNNNNNNNNNNNNNNNNNNNNNNNNNNNNNNNNNNNNNNNNNNNNNNNNNNNNNNNNNNNNNNNNNNNNNNNNNNNNNNNNNNNNNNNNNNNNNNNNNNNNNNNNNNNNNNNNNNNNNNNNNNNNNNNNNNNNNNNNNNNNNNNNNNNNNNNNNNNNNNNNNNNNNNNNNNNNNNNNNNNNNNNNNNNNNNNNNNNNNNNNNNNNNNNNNNNNNNNNNNNNNNNNNNNNNNNNNNNNNNNNNNNNNNNNNNNNNNNNNNNNNNNNNNNNNNNNNNNNNNNNNNNNNNNNNNNNNNNNNNNNNNNNNNNNNNNNNNNNNNNNNNNNNNNNNNNNNNNNNNNNNNNNNNNNNNNNNNNNNNNNNNNNNNNNNNNNNNNNNNNNNNNNNNNNNNNNNNNNNNNNNNNNNNNNNNNNNNNNNNNNNNNNNNNNNNNNNNNNNNNNNNNNNNNNNNNNNNNNNNNNNNNNNNNNNNNNNNNNNNNNNNNNNNNNNNNNNNNNNNNNNNNNNNNNNNNNNNNNNNNNNNNNNNNNNNNNNNNNNNNNNNNNNNNNNNNNNNNNNNNNNNNNNNNNNNNNNNNNNNNNNNNNNNNNNNNNNNNNNNNNNNNNNNNNNNNNNNNNNNNNNNNNNNNNNNNNNNNNNNNNNNNNNNNNNNNNNNNNNNNNNNNNNNNNNNNNNNNNNNNNNNNNNNNNNNNNNNNNNNNNNNNNNNNNNNNNNNNNNNNNNNNNNNNNNNNNNNNNNNNNNNNNNNNNNNNNNNNNNNNNNNNNNNNNNNNNNNNNNNNNNNNNNNNNNNNNNNNNNNNNNNNNNNNNNNNNNNNNNNNNNNNNNNNNNNNNNNNNNNNNNNNNNNNNNNNNNNNNNNNNNNNNNNNNNNNNNNNNNNNNNNNNNNNNNNNNNNNNNNNNNNNNNNNNNNNNNNNNNNNNNNNNNNNNNNNNNNNNNNNNNNNNNNNNNNNNNNNNNNNNNNNNNAGUCCAAAUACAAGCGAUGAGGUUUGACAAUUUUAUGCUAUGCAAUUAAUGAUAAUGUAGAGAGGACCAAAAAAACAGAAGAGCUUCCUAUUGACACUCAUUAGGAAAAAAAAUUACAUUGAAGCAUAAGAAUAAAUACUCCAUAAAAUUCAAUUUUAAUGAAAUUAUAUAAUACAAAUGAAAAUGAUGUUGUUAAAGAGCAUGGUAUAUAUUGUGAACUCAAAUUCUACAAGUUAACCUUUUAGAAAAAUUGGUAAUUGAGUAGAGCUUGGUUUGACGGGAGGUCAUGUGUUCAAGAGUCGCUUCUCCCCAAUUUGCAUAUUUAUUUCCUCCUAGGCUACCAAUGAUCUCAUUCUUGGAGCAUGUGUUUCUGGUUUGGUAGAAGAAGCAGCAGCCCUACUAUAGAACAGUGGAAGAAGCAUUGGAAUCUUUGUCCCUUCUUCAAGGUCUUUAGAUUUUUUCAAUUUGUUUUCUUUUCAAUUCUCAUGCAUACAUCUAAUUUUCCACUUCCAUAAUAUUUCAACCUCUGGAUGUGAAAUAGUAUUUGUAGAUCAAUCAAAAGUAUUCCAACGUAAUAUGUCACUAUAUAAUAAUCCAAUAUUUCAACCUCUAUAUCUGAAAUAGUAUAUGUAGAUCAAUCAAAAGCAUCCCACCAUGUAUAUUCAGCUAAUGUAAUCGUUACCACCAACAAAACUAAUUAUUGGUUUCAUUUUAAGAUGUUAUAGCUAAUAAAUCCCUACUUUCCUUACCAUCAAUUACUCAAUAGAUAUCAUGCUUCAAUUUAUUCUUAAUUCCAACGGUAAAUCACUGGUAAUAGAAGGCAUGAUAUACAUAUAUAGGGUCAUUUCUUUGAGUGACUUUACUCAAAAGGAUGGUCUUGAUUACAACUAGCAAAUUCUGUUUAUAAGAAGACCCUAUACAAAACUCACAUGGCUAUGAUCAUUACUUGAGUCACUAUCACACAGAAUUCAUACCAGUUUUGUUUACAAAUUGUUCUUAGGAAGAACAUAUUCCAACUGGGGGCUAAUACAAGUAGAGGUUCCAAGCUACAGACCAAGAAGGUAUGUACCAACAGAUACCUAGCUAGGAUUGCUUCUUCUAGUAACGGUUGGUUAUUAACACAUAAAAAUGUGAGCAGGCAACUAAGUUGGAACCUUAUAGACACCGUUAGUCUCCCUAGCUUAUGAUAAAGAAUCUUUAAGGCCAUUAAGUCAACAGUUCACACUUACUAACUAGGUUUUUCUCUUUGUCGUGACUUUUUUUUUUUCUUAUGCUUUUGGUAGAGCCUUGGUUAACACAUCUGCAAUUUGAUCCUCAAUCUUGCAAUAAAGCAGUUUAACUUCACCAUCCUUUUGUUCUUCUCUUAAGUGAUACAACUUGAUCUUGAAAUGCUUAGUCUUGCCAUGAAAAACAUAAUCAUUUGAAAUUGCAAUUGCAGCUUGGUUAUCUACAUGAAUCUGUGUUGGCUCAUUUUGCUUCAUGUGUAGAUCUGCAAGUAUUUUUCUGAUCCAAAUUGCUUGAUUUACAGUAGCAUUGGCUGCUAUAUAUUCUGCAUCUGCUAUACUUUGAGCUAUCACAUCUUGCUUCUUUAAGGACCAUGAAAAAAUUCCAAAUCCGAAGCUGAAACAAAAUCCUGUGUACUUCUCAUGUCAUCAAUAGAACCUGCCCAAUCACUAUCAGAAUAACCAUGACGUUUUAAAUUNNNNNNNNNNNNNNNNNNNNNNNNNNNNNNNNNNNNNNNNNNNNNNNNNNNNNNNNNNNNNNNNNNNNNNNNNNNNNNNNNNNNNNNNNNNNNNNNNNNNNNNNNNNNNNNNNNNNNNNNNNNNNNNNNNNNNNNNNNNNNNNNNNNNNNNNNNNNNNNNNNNNNNNNNNNNNNNNNNNNNNNNNNNNNNNNNNNNNNNNNNNNNNNNNNNNNNNNNNNNNNNNNNNNNNNNNNNNNNNNNNNNNNNNNNNNNNNNNNNNNNNNNNNNNNNNNNNNNNNNNNNNNNNNNNNNNNNNNNNNNNNNNNNNNNNNNNNNNNNNNNNNNNNNNNNNNNNNNNNNNNNNNNNNNNNNNNNNNNNNNNNNNNNNNNNNNNNNNNNNNNNNNNNNNNNNNNNNNNNNNNNNNNNNNNNNNNNNNNNNNNNNNNNNNNNNNNNNNNNNNNNNNNNNNNNNNNNNNNNNNNNNNNNNNNNNNNNNNNNNNNNNNNNNNNNNNNNNNNNNNNNNNNNNNNNNNNNNNNNNNNNNNNNNNNNNNNNNNNNNNNNNNNNNNNNNNNNNNNNNNNNNNNNNNNNNNNNNNNNNNNNNNNNNNNNNNNNNNNNNNNNNNNNNNNNNNNNNNNNNNNNNNNNNNNNNNNNNNGUCAUUCUUUCAAUCAUUCUAAGCUCUCUUUCAUUGCUCAGUCCACUUGUCAUCUUCUUUGCCUCUUCAAAUUCUGCAGGCUCAAAAACAACAACAUUACUUCUUUCAUAAACAUCAGAUAAGGACCUUGUACCUCUAACUAGGGCAUCAUCUAUGUUUUCAUCAAAGUAUUGCGGAACCUCUGGUAGUUGCAUCUUUAUUGACUCCUCCCAAUUCCAUUGUCUAUCCUCUAUGAACUUGACAUCUCUACUUACAAGAAUUUUUCCAUUUUGUGGUUGGAAAAUUCUGUAAGCCUUGGAAGAGUUGCUAUAUCCAAUGAAAACUCAUGGUUCUGCCUUCUUAUCAAGUUUGUCUCUUUUCACCUGUGGCACAUAAGAAAAACAAAGACAACCAAAAGUUCUUAGAUUCUGCAAAUCUGGUUUAUAACCAAACCAGGCUUCAAAUGGAGUUUUUUUUUUUGCAAAACUCUAGUUGGCAGCCUAUUCAGCAAAAAACUGCAGUGUUUGCAGCCUCUGCCCACAAUUUCUUUGGCAACUCCUUCUCAUGUAGCAUACACCUUGUCAUCUCCAUAAUACUUCGAUUUUUUUCUCUCACUUACUCCAUUUUGUUGUGGAGUGUAAAGUGUUGUGAGUUGGUGCUCAAUACCGGCUUCUUCAUAGAACUUAUCAAAAAUUUCAUUUGUGUAUUCUUUCCCAUUAUCUGACCUUAUCUUCUGCAUCCUGCAACUGCUUUGAUUCUCCACCCAUGCUUUAUAUUUCCAAAAUACAUUAGGAACCCCAUAUUUGGAUUUGAGGAAAUAAAUCCAACAAAAUCUGGUAUAAUAAUCAAUAAAUGCAAUGUAGUACUUAUUACCAUUUAAAGAUGGUGUUUUCUGAGGUCCUCCAACAUCUGUAUGUACCAGUUGCAGCUUGUGCAUUGCUCUCCAUGUUGUUUGAGGGAAGGGUUUUCUAGUUUGCUUUCCAUAUUGGCAAGCCACACAAUCAGCUAGCUUGUCUUGUAGCAAUGGCACACCUUUCACCAAAUUAUGUUUCUGCAUAUAUAGAAGUCCAACAUGGUGGAAAUGCCCGAGCCUUCUGUGCCAUAAUUUUGCAUUGCGUUCAAUGCUUGAAAUGCUAUUUGCUCAUCCUCCAUUAGAUUUAGAGCAAAGCUUUUUGCUCUCAUUUUCACUUUGAAUACAUCUCUACCUUUCGCGUCUUUGAUCAAGCACCAUUUGUCUUCAAAUAUGACUUUGAAACCUUUUUCAGUUAGCUAUCCAACACUAAGCAGGUUUUGAUCAAUGUCAGGCACAUAUAAAACAUUAGUAAUAUACUUCAAACCUAUUAAGCUUUCUAUAGCCACAGUUCCUUCCUUUACCCUUAACUGAAAUAAAUUCACCAUUUCCAAUUUUUAGCUUGGAGAUAAUAGUUUUAUCAAGCUCCUUAAAGAGCUCUUGGUCAUUGGUCAUGUGGUUUGUGCAGCCACUAUCAAUCAACCAAGAAUUGCUAGAGUUGUUACUUGUUGUGAAGCAUGUUGCAACAAAAAGUUGCUCUUCUUGAUGUUGCUUAGUAGAAGCUGUAGGGACUCCUCCCUCUGAGAACACGUGGCACGCAUCUUACAGUGACACGUGGCACGCAUCUUACAGUGACACAUGGCACGCAUUGUCAUCCGGGUCAUCCUCAUCCGGAUCUUCCUAUAAAGCACACAUGGCGCACUUUUUAUCCGGACUGCCUCAAGGAAGGGCAAACGACGCUUACAAAGCAUAGACAUCCGGACGACUUCCAUUAAUGCGUCUGCUCCACAAUACAUCCGGAUAACCAACAUGGACUAUCCGGAUAUGAUUGUCCGGAUCAUUAACUAAAGUAAAGCAAAUCUUAUACUGAUUCGAUGCCCAGCCGGGUCUUUUAAUCAAAAACAUUUAUAAAACCUAUGACCUUAUACUGGUGUAGCAAAGCUACUAUAGUAUAGUAGUUCUAGGGUCGAACUCAGGGAUGGGUUUUCACUCUAUCAAUGACAGACUCUAAAUUAGAAAUUGAUUCUGAUGAUUUCCUUUAGCACAAACUUGAAAUUUAAAAGAAAAUAAAAUUGUUUUGAAAGUGAUGAUUUAAACUAAACUCACAUAGAACUAAGUAAAAAGUGUAAGAAAGAAAGUCUCCCGGAGCUGAAGGUUGCUAGGUUCAAGUGCCAGAUGCAAAGUGGAAAAUUUCGGAUUUUUCUCCUCACAUUGGGGAUUUAACCUAUAGUUAUUUCCUGAACCGGUAUAGGUUUGACAAUGAAGUUUUAAUCCAUAAAAAGUCACUAGAGAUGGUAGUCAAGGUCCAUUAAUGGCUUAAGACACUAUGGGCUAUCACCUUGAAUCACUUUCCAAUGGCUCGUACAUGAUAACUAAUGGACUGAUAUGGAUCUAGUAAUAAGCAUCCACAGAGACCUUAAACUUACCAUGUAUUGGCCAGUCAAAGUGAUUCAAAGGAAUUUAAGGCAAAACCUUGGCUUUAUAAACCAUNNNNNNNNNNNNNNNNNNNNNNNNNNNNNNNNNNNNNNNNNNNNNNNNNNNNNNNNNNNNNNNNNNNNNNNNNNNNNNNNNNNNNNNNNNNNNNNNNNNNNNNNNNNNNNNNNNNNNNNNNNNNNNNNNNNNNNNNNNNNNNNNNNNNNNNNNNNNNNNNNNNNNNNNNNNNNNNNNNNNNNNNNNNNNNNNNNNNNNNNNNNNNNNNNNNNNNNNNNNNNNNNNNNNNNNNNNNNNNNNNNNNNNNNNNNNNNNNNNNNNNNNNNNNNNNNNNNNNNNNNNNNNNNNNNNNNNNNNNNNNNNNNNNNNNNNNNNNNNNNNNNNNNNNNNNNNNNNNNNNNNNNNNNNNNNNNNNNNNNNNNNNNNNNNNNNNNNNNNNNNNNNNNNNNNNNNNNNNNNNNNNNNNNNNNNNNNNNNNNNNNNNNNNNNNNNNNNNNNNNNNNNNNNNNNNNNNNNNNNNNNNNNNNNNNNNNNNNNNNNNNNNNNNNNNNNNNNNNNNNNNNNNNNNNUGUUAAUGGGGUUAAAAGGUAAUAAUUACUACUCAAGGGUGUUUAAAAGAGCUAAUUACAAGCUACAAAAUAGCAUGUUUUGAGUAGUAAUCAUACACGCUAUCACAACAACCAACCAUGGCCCACGUCCCAUCACCUGCAGAGUGAAAGGACGGGUUGAGGUGACAACAAGUCACUUCCCACGAUCGUUCUACAUGAUCACUUUCUACAAUCUCUGAUAGCCGCAUCACCUACCACGGUUUCUGACAGCCGCCCGUAGGGUGGUGAUGACCCUGCUUCCAUCUAAAUAUCAUCAUGACAACAUGAAAUAUCUCCCCACCAUUAAUGAGAGGAACAGUACUCCUGGCACUAUAUAUAAACCUUCACACGAAGAGGAAGGUAAUCGCCUGAUACCUAGAAAAAGGCCAACUGAUUUAUAUCUCCCUCUCUAACCAUGGCUAACAAAAUCAUCGGAGGGUGCGUCCGGACACCCUGUCCGGAUGCCUUUUGCAGGUAUAACGACUGAAUCAAGAACCUAUUUUGGUUGAGGUCGCGCAUCCAUCCAUUUGGCAACUACGUGGAACACCAGGAGCGCGAGGUAUCAACAUAAGUUUUUGCCUCUUCAUGUUGUCGUGACUUGCAAAUCCACUCCAUGUGUCCAAUCUAACCAUAUUUCUUGCACUUGACAUCAGGCCUCCACCAACACUUCCUUUGUGGGUGAUUUGUCUUUUUGCAGUGUAGGCAAGGUGGAUAGGUUCCAUCCUUGUUUUUGUUGUUGUUGUCAGUCUUGUUGAUCUUCUUCUUAUUGUUGUUUUUCUUGUUUUUGCCUCAUCUUGAAUUUUAUGCCUUUGCUUGAAGAGCACCCUCCAUCGAUUCUUCUUUUCUUAUCAUUCUCCUUUGCUCUUGUGCCUGCAAUGCAUUCACCAAUUCUACCAAGGAUAUGCUUGACAAAUCCUGCAUAUAUACUUGAGUGUUGCAUUUACAACACACUGAAAGAGAAGUUCACCUAUAUCAGAAACUGCCACACGCACAUAGAGAUCAUGGCCGCCAUCCAAAUACGCCUCCUGAAUGUCAUUAAGAUUUUCCUCCCAAAUCAUACUGAUGGCGGUGUCUGCACGAGUCUCGGCUUCAACAUAGGCAUAAGCCUGGCAGUUGUUACAGUCUCUGUUGCAGUGAUUUUCGCAUUCUUUUUCAUUUGUAGUACUGUUGAACUGUGUGUCUGAUUUUUUCACUCUCAUCAUCUCUAGCCUCAAAAAAGUGUCAUUCUUGCUGCACAGGGGUGAAAUUCUUCUACAGCCCCCCGAAAAAUCUCCACCAUUCCACUUUGCUGGAAAUUUUGGUUGGAAUCCUGGCAAACACCUGCACAAAAUCCUAUUUCUAGUACUGCAGCUGCCAAAACUUCCACAGGGAUUAUUCCCAUCGCAUCUGUCUUUUGGUUCCUUCAAAAGCGAAUACCAAGCCCGUCUGAUUACGGAUCUGUAGAUACUCUAUCUGGCCGGAAAAUUUCAUCACCAACCUCCUAUAAUAAAAAGAGGUUGUUGGUUGGCUACUAUUAAUGCUGGAAUUUGAUAACAUUUUGGAUAAUUCAGAAUACAUCUUAUGGUCCCAACCGGAUGUAAUGAAAUCAUCUGAUAUCCCACUCUUCCAGUAUGUAUUAGGCCCAUUCUGGAUGAUGUACAGGUUCUGUGCUACUUGAUCUUUCCUGAAAGUGAAGUUCCCCGAACCCGGGUCACUGCUGCUUUUCCAUGAAGUCAACACCAAGUUGCCAUCCAUCUUCAUACCUGGAAGAAAAGUAUCAGUUGCGUUUCCAAAGCUUUGCCACAGACUUGUUGGCAGCUGAUCAUUCUUCAGAACCAGGUUCCCGGAAUCUAUGAGCUGCGCUAGCUACCUUUUCUGUAGAUGACGAUUUCUGGAGAGGGGUUGACCAGAAAGGUCUCCCUCUUCCAUUCGAAUUCAACACGAGGUUACCAUCUUGAAUGGACAAAUCUCCAGUGGAAUCAGGCAGUGGGUCGUUUCUAUUGGCUACCCACACAACGGUUUUCGUCUCCAACCUGUAAUACCAUAUACCAACAUAUCUUUGGUGACUAGACUCCCAUUAGGGGUGAAGAACCCCAAUUCAAAUGUCUUACCAGCAGACAAGAGAGUUAUCACCAUCACCAUCACUGAUCGGAUCAUUCUGCCUUAUGGUAUCUCUUGCUGCACAUGUUUGAUAACAACACAACAAUGUUGGGUACAAGAUGAAGAUGGUAGAUACCAUGUGAAANGUUGUUGACCAUNNNNNNNNNNNNNNNNNNNNNNNNNNNNNNNNNNNNNNNNNNNNNNNNNNNNNNNNNNNNNNNNNNNNNNNNNNNNNNNNNNNNNNNNNNNNNNNNNNNNNNNNNNNNNNNNNNNNNNNNNNNNNNNNNNNNNNNNNNNNNNNNNNNNNNNNNNNNNNNNNNNNNNNNNNNNNNNNNNNNNNNNNNNNNNNNNNNNNNNNNNNNNNNNNNNNNNNNNNNNNNNNNNNNNNNNNNNNNNNNNNNNNNNNNNNNNNUCUUAAAAUCUUGACUAAACACAAAGUCAUAGUUUAAAAUUUUAUCGAAUGCCUCUAAUACUUUAAAUCAAGUGAAACGUGAAUGAAAUUAACAAAUAAGAAGAAUAAGAAAUAUAGUUUCACACUUAAGUAACAACUAAUACUAUAGAGAAAUGACCACAAGUUGGAAAGUCUUGACCAAUUUGAAAAAUCAUUUGAUGUAGUUGAAAUAAUUGAAUUUUGGAUAAAAUUCAUAACUGUCUCAACAUUAUUUUUUUUCCCUUUUUAUUUUUAUUGUUUGAAUAUUCAAGAGUUAAAACCAUUCCAAUGCUCCUUUUUGCCAUGUAUAAUUAAACUGAACCAACAAUUAGGAUAAGCACGAAAAAGAAGGAACCGAGAAGAAGAUAUCAACAAUAUUAAUCGGUUUUAUUAUGGGACAACUCAUGAUGUUCAUAUUGAUCUAUUAUGCGCCUUUGCAUCUAGCAUUAGCUAGACUCAUACUGUCCUAGCUCUACUAUAUCUUUUAUUUCAUUUCGAUCUUCUGAAACAAUCACAAACACUUUUCAUUAUUAUUAUUAUUAUGAAUCAAAUGGGACAUAAAUGAAAUUAACAAAUGAGAAGAGUGAAAAAGGUAAUUAACAAAAUUUCAAGCUCAUCGUUGCUAAAUAUUUUAUAAAUUAAAAUUGCCCAAGAAACGAGCCUUUAAAAGUGUACCUUUAUUUAAAAAUAAAUAAAGGUAAAUUAAAGUAUUGACUUAGUACAUAAAUAUCAACACGAUUCCAAUCCAACGCAUUUUUUUGUGGGUUUUGGUUGAAUAUAAUUCUAUUUAUAUCAAAUCCGUAUCAACUUGUGUAAUAUAUUUUACUAAUAGGUUAUUUUUAAAUCAACAUACAUAACACGAAUUUGACUCAAGUUAACCUUUAUAUUUAAUAAUCAUACCAAUUAACCUAAUUAUAAUUCUAACCGUUUAAUUAAUAUUUGAUUCAUUUUAAAUUUAUUUUUGAACAAAUAGUUAAUUAAAUUAUAACUAUAUUAACUUGUAAGAUUAAUUAUAUAAAUUUAUACAAAACUUAACUCAAUUAAAAAUUUGAUUUAAAUGAGUUAAAUAAAUUACAAAACAUGUUAUUUGUUUAAUAAUUACAUUGUAUUUAGGUUUAUGCUUUUUACUUUAUUAAUAUCAUUAUUAUGAUUGAGUCAACCUAUUUAGUAGAAUGUUUUAGUCUUGAUAUCACACAAAUUGUCAUCCCUAUCUCUAAUCUUGUCAAACAAAUAGUUUGAAGGACAUAUUUUUUUAACUAAAGAAAAUUAUUACCUUACAUAGAGUUUUAUUAAAAAAAAAAAAAAAAAAAGCCAAAUAAAAAAAUGUAAUUAAAAAUAAUUAGAAAUUUAUGCAUUUUCAAAUUAUUUAAUAAAUUUAAAGAAGUGAAAUGGAUUUAAAUUGACUUAUAAAAAUAAGUUAUCAACUUCAAUUUUUUUUUCUUUCUAAUUUUUUUUUAAAUUUUUUUCCCUCACAUUUUUUUUCAUAGUUAUAGGAAACCAAACAUAACCUAAUUAGGAUCCUACUAUCAUGUUUUUUUAUUCCCAAAAGUUUUUGGGUCUAACCUUUUUCUAAACUUAUUUCAAAGGGCAUCUAUAACACAAGAUAUUAAGUGUGCUUGCUCGACAUGUAGUCUUUCAUUGAUUUCCUUUUCGAUUAAAAACUUUUAGACAAGUCAGAUAUAUAGUUUUUGCUUUCUUAACAGAAACCAAAGUCUAAGGUGGUAUUUGUUUUUUUACUUAAUUCUAAAUAGAACCUUAAUACUUAAUAGUAUUAAAUAUUAGGUUGUUUGUUUUUGUAGUAUUUUAUUUUUAUUAAGUAUUAAAAAGUAAAAAAAAUCAUUGUGUUAUUUUUUCUAUUUAGAAAAAGCCACAUAUUUUGGCUUUUUCUAUUUAGUAAAAAGUUUAUAAUAAGUAAUGAAAAAGUAAAAAAACAAACAACCUAAAUUCUAAAACUAAAUGGUUUUCAGCAAAAAGCCAAAAAAACAAACACCACCUAAGUCUUUGCACAAAAUCCUAAUCAAAGAGAUCUUUUAGAAAUCUUAUUGGAAGAGAAUUUAAAACCAGAGUGGUGACAAAAGCACACGAACAAAUAAAACUGGACAAAGAAAUUAAGCAUCUCGAUGAGUUGAUAAAUAUCUUUGUCAAUACUUCUACUUGAGAGAGAAAUACAUUAGAUUUCUACACUUUUGAAUAGUUGCCUUGAGUGACUCCAAUUAUUGGAAGCCAAGGUCAAGGUCGUUGAAGUUUGUCCAUUUUUUCCCCUUGGUCCCACAUUAUUUGCUUCUCCUUAAUUUCCUCCGGUUUGGGAAAAGGACAUUCACACGGUUUGGUGUAGGAACCACCCUUUCCUUUAGUAUCCAUGAUUACUUUUCUACCCAAUAAUGAGGAAAACAUUUAUGAAGGCCCCAUGUGAGGACUAUUAUUGGUGACUCUAGAAAUAGAGCUAUUCAAUUUCCCUCAUAAAUAGUGUAACAUCCAAAAUAAACUUUAGAGACAAAAUAGUAAAUUAUUAAUUAAUUAAACUCAUUAAAAAUAAACGAGUCAUUUUACAAUUAAAAAUCGUAUCAAUUAGAUUUUCAGUUUAUCUUCUUUAUUUAGAAAACUUUAUUAACAAAAAAUCAAAGAAUUGAAGAACGUAAGGUUAAAGAUUUGGAAGUCUAUAGUUUGAAGUUCAAUUAUUUUUUUUCAAGUAAGAUUCUAACUCUAGAUUAAUAUAUUAUAUUCAUUAGUUAGUUUUGACUGUGUUAGAUAUUUUUAGAAAAUUUUAAUUUAGAUUAUAAUUAGUUUAUUUAAUUUAUUUUAAGAUAUAAAAAAUUGAAAUUAUGAAUGUUGUUUCAUUGAUGAAAAUAGAGAAAUUCAAAAUUUUUUUAGAUGAAUAAAUCUAAACAAUGAAAUUUAAAAAAAUUAAAUGAUUAAAUAAGUAUAUGAUUAUAUGUGGCUUAAGGGAUUGAAAAAUAAUAAAAAGAAGAAUAGCAUGUUUUUGGAUUUUGGAUUUGAGGAACUUUUUAAUAAUAAAAAUAAUUAAGGUUUAUGAUUAAUAAGAAUAAUGAUAAUAAUGAUAUUAAUAAUAAUAAGAAGAAGAAUUGUGUGAAGAAUAAUUUCAUUUUCAACGUAGAAAUGUGAUUGUCAAGGCCUCAGUGAAGAGAACGGUAACGGACCCUGCUGUAAACGACGAUGGGUCACGAGCAAAUGGUGAAAUUGCGGAUGAACCCCAUAACUGUAAAGUGCUUUUGACGCGUAAUGGGUUCCACCACUACCAUUAUUGGGGAAUCUUUCUGGUGGAUGAAAAGCCGCUUUUGGGUUCACGGUUGACUCAUUAAAUCUCCUACCUAUCUCUGAGUUUGUCAACUGAGACCACCGAGUUUUAUUUAUUUAUUUAUUUUUUUCUUUUCCUCGGUUCAAUUUUUGUUUCCAAUACGAGGAAAAGGGCUUUCAAGUCUGACACGUGGAAAGUCAGUGGGCUUCAUAAUUUUGUUACAUUUUUNNNNNNNNNNNNNNNNNNNNNNNNNNNNNNNNNNNNNNNNNNNNNNNNNNNNNNNNNNNNNNNNNNNNNNNNNNNNNNNNNNNNNNNNNNNNNNNNNNNNGGGGUUGCUGCUGCUGUAACGCACUCUCAAUAUAUCAUAAUAAAUAAAUAAAGAUUAUUAAAAAAAAAAAAAAAACCCUCCCCAUUGUAUCUAGGUUGACAUCUUAUUAUGGGAAAAGAAAGAAAGGAAAAAAAAGCAAUGCAGAAUUAAAUUAAAAAAAAAUCCAAAAAAUUAAAAGUGAAAUGGAAAUUCUGCCCUCCCUAAAAAUAUAAAUUUAGUUUUAAUUCUUUUUUUAAUUAAAAAAACAAUAAUGAUAAUUAAACAUUAUUAAUAAAAAAUAAUACUUACCUUUGAGUAUUAAUGAUAUAUUAAGAUUUAAUUAAAAUUUAAAAAUAUAUUUUAUGUUAAUACCUAUUUCUUCCCUUUUUAUCCUAUCUUUAUCUUUUUUUUAGUGGAACCAUUGUUCCAAUUUAUUUUGCAUUAAUUCAAAUUAUAUGAGCUUUUUUGUUUUAUAAUAAACCCUUCAAUGAAAUUGACUUUUUAAAAUUUUGUAUUUGAUGGUUUAUAAGCUUUAAUUUAAUGGUGGGUUAUCUAUAGUUUUAAUCUUAAUAUUUAAAAAAAAAAUAUUUUUUAAAUUUGUGACAUUUAAUUAAAUAAUAAAUUUUGCUUUCUUUAGUUUUUGAUGAUUUACUCUUAUUGAAUUGUUUAUAUGAAGUGAUAGCUUAUGUUUUAUUUUAAUUAUAAAGCUGAUGCACCUUAAUAAAAUAUUUUGACUAUAAAUAAUAUCGGUAAAGAUCUCUACACAUAUUGUGUAAUAUAUUUGAUGAAGACCUCUACAUAUAUUGUCUACUUUUGAGUCCAUUAGCUUUUAUAUUCCUACUUAUAACAUUGUUUACAUAUUCCAAAUAGCUAAUGGGUGGUCAUCCUCAUGUUUUCAAUUAGGAAUUAGUUUUAAUAUCACUUAACCCAACUCAUGUAACCUUAUUUUCUUUAAACCCAUUAAUCCUCGCAACUUUAAACCCUAACAACAAAUGGGCCACCCUUAAAGUACUAAAAAUUUCUUAUUCAAAUGAUAUGAAAUAUUAUAUUCGAUCAUUUAUAUAGACACAUUGUUCUCAUCAUGACCCAUAGGGUUUAUGGAUAGUCAAAACCCUACAUAUUUCUUAUUAGGGAUUAGCACAACCUACUAGACUUCUUGGCUUUACGUACUAAAUGCAUCACUCUUAUAAGUAUUACAAAUUCUCAUAUGAGAUUUUGAAAAAGGGAAAAGUGAGUUUUUCCUCACUAAUUUAAAGAUAUAUAGAAAAAAAAACCUCAAAUUUUAAUAUAAGUUUUAUCUUUAUUAAUUUAAAAAUAUUUUAAAAUAUAUACACUUUUACAUAAAUAAGAUAAUUAUUUUCUAAAAUAACACUUUACUUGAUAAUAUUAAAUAAAAUUAUCAAAAAAUAUUUAUCAUUUUAAGUUAAUAAAAGUACAUUACAAACAAAUAUAUUAUAAAUUUUUAUUAUAUAAUAUAAGGUACAAAUCAAUAUUCCUCAAGUGAUAAAUAAAUUUUUUGCUAAUUCUCUAGCUAAUAAUAAUUUUAUAUUUUAUAUUAUAUAAAUCCCUUCAUCUUCUUACCUUUUUUUAAAAAAAUAAAAUUGAAUAAAAUUUUUGUUGAUUUACAUCAACAAUAAAAUAAGAAACUUUAAAAAAAAAAAAACCUAAAAGUUAAAAAUAUAAAAAUAAAAUAUUGACUUUCACUUCACGUACACUAGUUAAAAAUCUAGAUAUAAAAAAAAAAUACAAUGGAAGUCAAUAUUUUAUUUUAUUUUAUUUUAAAUUUUUAAAUAUUUUGGUUUUAAUUGCCUUUAAUUUUUAAGUAUUUUAGUUUUAAUUGUAUUUUUAAAAAUUUAAAUUUCUUAUUUUAUUGUUCCUAAGAUGUUUGUUUCUAGAGAGAGAAAAAAAAUCUUAAAUCAAGUCUCACAGUUAACAGAACAAAAACAAAACUAAAAGAAGAAUUAGUUUUUUUCAAUUAAAUAUUUAUGUAUGUACUUGUUAAUUGGAAUUAUUGAUAUAGUAAGUGCAAGUAAAAGGUUAUUUCAAAAAAUAAUUAUAUGACUUAAAAAAGUGUAUGUAUUUUAAAAUAUUUUUAAAUGGAAGAAGAUAAAAUUGAUUUAUAAAAUUUAGGGUUCUUUUUUCUAUAUUUUUUUCAAACUAGUGAGUUAUAACCCACUUUUCCCCAAUCAUCACAUUUACACCGAUUAAAAUAAUGAUAUAAAUAACAUUUUUUUUUCUUAACUUUCAUGUUUUAUUAAGAUAUUAUGUUUGGUACCUAAAAAGAAUGACAAAGAAAAUAAUUUUCUUACAUUUGGAUGUAAUAGAAAAAGAAAAAUAGUAAGGAAAUGAUGAGAGAAAAUUUAAAAGAUUUUCUUUUCCAUUUUCAUUAGAUAAAAGCAUGAAAAUUUUAGGAAAAAAAAAAUAUACUACUCAAUAAUUCAAUUUUCUAGAAACCAAAUAUAGUCUAAUAUUACUCUACGUUCAAAGUCAAUUUUCAAUGAUGAAUUCUCCUCUUACAGUGCUUCUUCUUAACUUGAUUGUGACAAGUGUUGUCAUAUGAAUUUUCUUCCCUCAAUCUAUCUACGGAGAAAUGUAAUUUAAAAAAAAAAAAGUACUCCUAAUCGAAUAAUGAGUAAUCACCAGAGACUUUGGAGUGUAGCAUGCAUCCUAUUCUUUUAAUUCUUGUCUCUCAAACCAGUCUUAACAUUUUUAUUCAUUGAAUUAAAUUAUUAAAUAUACAAAUUAUUGACUGGUGUCUAAGUUUUUUCUUUCUUCAAUUUUUAGCUUUAAGUUCCCAAAUGAAAAAAAAAAAAAAAUUGUCAAGAUCUUGAUUAGAAAAACCUAUUGUUUAAUUGGAAAUAAAGUGGACUCAGUCUCCUUUCUUGUUGAUACAUUGCUUUCAUCUCUUUUCCUUCUGGCUAGCUACUAUGCUUCCCGCUCUCUUCCAAAGCCUAAAAGAAGGAUAACAUUUUGUUUGUUCCCCCGCCCCCCCUAUGAAUACAUGUGACUAGCUAUGAUCAUGAUGAUGUUCAUUUUUUAAAACAAAGAAAAAUGAAAAAUAUGAGCAUCAACCAAUAAAUUUUAGUACCCUUUCUCCAACUUGGAGAAGUUCCAAAUGGGUAAUUUUUUUAUAUUUUUGUUAUAAUUUUUAUGUUUUUUAUUUUAAAUAAACAAGACAAUCCAUUUUUCUUCUGAACAUUUUUUCUUUUGCCCUUUAGCCCUAAUGGCAGUCCACUUCAAAUAUUUUUGUGCCCAAAGGGUCAAAACUAAGGAAAGAUUCACUUCAAGAAAAAAUUAGGAGAAUUAAAAAUCAAAGCCCAAAAAGGGUUCCAGCAAGUGGAUGAUUUUUCUCAGUCAACUACUGCAAUUUGAGUCUUCCUUCCUCUAUUUCCUAUUUUAUUUCCCAUAGGUAGGUUAGGCACAUUGACAUCUUUUUAUCCAUUUUUGUUUGCUUUUGUGCUUUUUUGGGAAAUCAUAAUCUGAUGUAGAUCCUGAUGGAACAGGUUUUUAUAGAAAAAUCAACAAGGGCUUUUUUUUUUACUUUUAGUUAGAUUCUGUUAUCUCAUUGGUAUGGCAUGGAAGAAUCUAUCCUUCACUGAAAAUUGAGAGGAAAAAAAAUAGAUGUUUAUUUACUUUUGUAUUAUAUCUCCUUUACACAUGUCACAAUCCCAUUUGCCUUAAUUUGUAGGCAUGACAUCCAAAAAUACUUUUCAAUACCAUAAUUUGAUGGAAAAAAUAGGUUUUGACUCAUUAGUACGAAAAUUUAUGAAAAAAAUACUUUAAUUUUUUUAAAUCAAUAUUAUCUUCAUUUAUUUCAAAAUCAACAACCCUUUUUCUUAUCUUUUAGGAAAAUUCUAUAUUACGUCAUGGGUAUGACAUGGAUGAAUUGACCAUUCAAUGAAAAUUAAGGGGGAAAAAUAGAUGUUUAUUUAUUUUUGUGCUAUAGCUCCUUUACAUAUGUCACAAUCCCAUUUAUAUUAAUUUGUUGGCAUGGCAUCCAAAAAUAAUUUUUGAUACCAUAAUUUAAUGAGAAAAUAAGUUUUGAUUCACUAAUAUGAAAUAUAUAGAUAAAAAAAAAUCUUAAUUUUUCAAAAUCAAUAUUAUCUUCAUUUAUUUAAAAAUCAACAAGGGGUUUUUUUUAUUUAAUUUAUAGGAAUAUUCUAUGUUACCUCAUUGGUAUGGCAUGGAAGAAUUGACCAUUCAUUGAAAAUUAAGGGAAAAAAUAGAUAUUUAUUUAUUUUUGUAUUAUAGCUCCUUCACACGUCACAAACCUAUCUAUGUUAGCAGCACAUGUGAUGCUUGCAAAUAAACACAAAUAGGAGAAGGUGCAGAGUUAGCAUCACAUGUUCAUGUAGUACAAUAUGAUUGGUUCUUUCUCUUUCCUCCAUAAAAUUCUCUUAUAUAGUUGACUGGUUCUUUCUCAUAUAUGGUUGUAGAUAUGAUUUGAUCAAACCGCAUUAAAACCCGGGUAACUUAGUUUGCUUUAUUUAUGUUAUUCUGUUCAAUCUGGCAUUAUAGUUUUUUAUCUUGCAAGGAUUCCAUUGAAAAACAUAACUGAAAGGGCUUUUAAGAUUUGGAGUAUAAAUAUAGUUUCCAAUAUCUUCCAAUAUAUGUUGUGGGCUCAGAAAGAAGUCCUCCCAAUUGUACUGAAAAAUCAGUGCAUUUAUGCUGCAAUUUGUUAAUAUAGUUCAGUCAGAAACAGAGCAGAUAAACAGAUAUAACAACAAAAUCCUGGGAAUUGGACAAUUUAUUAGCAGCCUUCACCAUGUACAGGAUCCCAUAGAGACGUCCAAAACAGAGCAUCAAAUGGGAACUCCUCCUGGACUAUCGACCUUCUUCUAUGGUGGCUAGGAUUUCACUGUUCCAGGAUACUUCAGGUUUGCUAGAAGAAGAAGCUGUCCUAGAAAGGUCUCUUUUUAGGACAAAAGCCGGUUGUUUAGGAACCGGCAUUGUUGCAAUGUCACUGCUGAGCAUUACAACUGCAACUGCCAUGGUGGGACGGUCACUUGGGUCUUCUUGCACACACAACAGCCCAACAUUCACACACCUCAAAAAUUCUUUUGUGUUGCAUGUUUCGCAUAGUGUCUGGUCCAUCAGCUCCAACACCUUGUCUUCUUUCAAUAGCUUCCAUGCCUGGGACAGUUUGAGAAUAGAAAGUUAAGUAUGGUAUGGUAUAUCAUUGAGAACGACUAAAAGAUCAAGGCAAAUGAGAGAUUCAAAGCCCUCACUUGACCCAGAAGGCUCAGUGUUUGGUCAGACUGAUAAAAGCCAGUGUUCCUCUUCCCACUGAUGAUCUCAAGCACCAUAACACCAAAGCUAAAGACAUCAGACUUCUCUGAGAAAAACCCAUCCAAUGCAUACUCUGGAGACAUAUAGCCACUGCAUUGAACCAGUUAAAAGCACUACUCUGUUAAUUGGGGAUGCGAUCAUGCAACUGCUUGCUUUUUUCUGUACACAAUAUGCAAUACUUACUAAGUUCCAACUACUCUGUUUGUGCUUGCCUCUACUUGCUUACUGUCAAAAAUCCUCGCCAAGCCAAAGUCUGAAAUUUUGGGAUUCAUCUCAUCAUCAAGUAGAAUGUUGCUUGUUUUCAAGUCCCUAUGAAUAAUCUUCAAUCUUGAAUCUUGGUGAAGAUACAGCAGCCCUCUAGCAAUUCCCAUAAUGAUGUCAAACCGCUUCUCCCAGUUCAGUAACAUGCAUAGGGUUCGAUCUUGCAAGGUUCCCAUUGGAAAGCAUUACUUCAGAUAUGUAUACAAGAAUGUAUAUGUUACAUGAAAAAGAAAAGGGCUUUAAGGCAGGUUUAGAGACAAACCAAAUAUGAAGGAAUCUAAGCUUUUGUUGGCCAUAUAUUCAUAGAGUAAAAUCUUCUCAUCACCUUCAACACAAUAGCCCAAAAGUCUAACCAGAUUCCGAUGCUGAAGUUUGGCAAUUAAAACAACCUCAUUCUUAAAUUCCUGUAGGCCUUGUCCUGAAGCUCUAGAGAGUCUCUUAACUGCAAUUUCUUGCCCCUCUGGAAACUUGCCCUGGAAGCCACAGUGCAUAUGCAUUGGGCAUAUGUUAGAACUUGGUGACUUGAAUUCUAUUUGGUUCGACUCCAGAAGCUCGCGAUGUGAUAUAGGUAGUAAAGCUAAAAUUAUGAAUUUUUUUUUGGGUUUGUGGUAGUAACAGAGGGAUCGGACCUAUUACUCUUUCAUGUAUAUACAUACAUAUAUAUACAUACAUAUAUAUAUAUAUAUAUAUAUAUAUAUAUAUAUAUAUAUAUAUAUAUGUAUGCAUGCGAUGAUGUAUAGUUUUCAGGGUUAUGAUGAUUAUGUUUUUGCUAUAGGGGUCCGUAUCUCUUUCCUCUUGUACUAAUUUUUGAUAUAAUAAAAUUUCUUCUCCUCGUGGUCUUUCCUAUCUAGGGUUUUCCAUACAAAUUUAUGUGUUCUUAUCCUGUUUUAUUUCUUAUUGCAUAUUCUCAUUAUUUUGUAACAGCAUAGAUGAUGAUAAACUAGUUGAAAAUGAGAGGAACAUGGAAAUUAAGAACAAUUACCUUGUAAACUGGCCCAAAACCCCCUUGUCCAAGCUUAUUUGCAUCUGAAAAGUUAUUUGUAGCAGCCAGUAUGUCUUCUAAGUCGAAAAACGGUACAUCAAUGCCUUUCUUAUCCUCUUCUUUGAAUUGCUCCGAGUCUAUUGAGUGUUUCACACGACUCUCACUAUCAUAUAAGUGAAGCACUUGAUUUGCUCUGUUCUCUGAACUCAAAAAAAACAGAAAAUAUUGUAUACAAGACCCUGAAAUAUUCUCAAUUCAGCCAAGCACAAGUCGAAAAGAAAAGACCAGAAGUUAUAGGCUAGUGCAUAUGGCACAAAGAUUACCUUUCCUUUUGGUGAUGGUUCUUUUGCGCAAAUAAGCAAUAUAACCAAUGAUGCCUAAAACCGCAACUAGAACAACAGCAAUUGUUAUGCCUACCACAACCACUGGAGAUGACCACGAUGACUUCUGAUCAGCAGGUUUGACACCUGAAACAAAGAAGGAACUGAAUUGAACUUCUCUCACCUACCCAGAAGGCAAAUUUAGUAAGAUACUUGGUGAACAGAAUCCUCACCUUGUGUACAAUUUAAACUUGAGCUAUUCCAUUUGAAGUUUUCAUUGCAAAAGCACCUACUCAUUCCAUCUCGCGUUCCGCAGAUUGAAUUUGGCCAGUCUUUGCAAUCUGCUGAUGAGGUACACGCCGGCUCCGAUGGUGGAUCCCAACUGAUCUCUACUUCAAUACUAUUUUUCAAUGACAUCUCAGAGCCAAAAUGGUCAGUUCCAACCUCUUUGCACGCAUCAGUUAUGCGAAAAGGUGGGUCUAGUGGCGGAAUUAAACUUCGAGAACUGCAAUCUGCUUCUUUCAGUUGGAUUACAAAUCUUAAUGUCUCUGGGUUAAUGCUAGUUACUCGGUAGGCACCACCAGGUACCUUGAACUGAACCUGGCCUGUGGUACUGUUACACUCAAAAUUGAAGUACAUGGGAUCACCACACUUUGAUCCAGUGCUUAGAGGAUAAGGAAUCAUGCUUGAACCACAAGUUUCACAAUUCCUUACUGUUGGUUCUGCAAAGACAGUAGAAUACCAUGUGGGCAUUUCAGUUACAAAUGGAUUAAUGCUUGUUUUUUCAAAGAAAAAAUAAAAUAAAAAUUGAAAGGGACAUACUUAUAUCUGAAAUGGCCACACGAACGGAGAGGUUGUGGGCAUCAAAGGCAUACUCCUCCUGAAGAUCAGUAAGGUCUUCCGUCCAAAUCAAGCAUUUUAGGGCAUCAGUAUCACCUCUUUCUUGUUUGAUAUAAGUUUCAGCAUAAGCUUGACAUUGGCAUUUUUCAAGGCAAGCCUUUCUGCAAGGAUCACUAUCAUUUGGAUCUGCGUCAAUCUGAGAGUCUGGCUUUCUCACUUUCAUCAUCUUUAAGCUCAGGAACAUGUCUUUACUAGAAUUCUCCUCGCAUAUGGGAGACUUUCUGGUACACCCACUUGAAAAGUCUUCAGUUUUCCACUUAUCCGGCGAGGCGGGUUUGAACCCAGGUAAACAUUUGCACAUCAAAGGAUUUUUAGUGUUACAACUACCGAAUUUCCCACAAGCUUUUGACACACUGCAUCGAUCUCGAGGUGCCCACCAGUCUGGAGAUGAUGUAUUCGGAUUCAGAUAGUACUGGAUUUCCCCUGAAGAAUUCAUCACCAACCGCGUGGUAUUCUUAUACCUGCGGGACAGUAUUUCAAGGGUUCCAUUGAAGAAUUUUAUAUAGCUGGUUGGCUUACCAUUCUUGCUGAGGUUGGAUAACAAGCUGAGUAUUGCAUCUGGAAUUUCAUCAGGCGUUCCUUUCGAGUCCUCACUGCUCCAAUAUGGGACAAUUGAACUUUCCCAUAUGUUAUAAUGAUCCUUAUUGUCUUGAUCUAUCUUGAAAGUAUAGUUUCCAGGUGCCGGGUCAACAGAACUCAGCCAUGAAGUCAAUGUUAAGGUUUCAUCCAUCUUCAUCCCCGGAAGAAAAGUAUCUGUAGGAUUAUGGAAGCUCUCCCAAAGAAUCUUCCCCGAUCUGUUGUAGCUCAAAACAAGGUUCCCAGAGUCCAUGAGCUUCACCACCCUCCCUGUAGAUAAAGAUGUUUCAAUAUCAGAAUGCCAGUGAACUGUCCCAUUUGCAUCCAAUACCUUGAGCUGACCAUCUUCUUUAAUGGCAAAAACUCCAGAGGGGGUGUCAGAAAGGGGAAGGGGGUUCUUUCGGUUGGCCACCCAUACAACUCUUUGUGGUUUCGACCUGUAAUACCAUAUGCCCACGAAUCUUCCAAUCUUGGAGCUUCCACCUGGAUUAAAGAAGCCAAGUUCAAAAGUUUUGCCUGCAGAAACAACAGUUUCUCCAUCAUUACUAAGCCAGUCCUCCGGUGUGAUGGUAUCUCUAGCAGAGCAAUACAGGACAGAACACAAGACGAAAAAGAUGGUAGAUAGCAUGUGAGUUGCAGAGACAGGAACCAUGAAUUUUCUUCCUUAUCAUUUUGCCUCUUUUUAGAGCUGUGUCCUCAAAUCUAUAGUUUUUAGUGGAGACUUUUCCUCUUGACCCUGAGUGGAGUAAAGUCACAUCAAUACUGUCUGUCAUCUUUGUCUUCCUCCCGCAAACUAAAUAACGGUUGUCCUUUUGUACCCACUAUUUAUUUUGGACCUACCUACCCUCAUUUCACUCCAGUAAUAAAAUGAAAUGUGUGAAUUGCAUGUCAUUAAAUAAAAACAAAAACACGUAUCUAAUCGGUAUUAUACUGAUUCAGUACUGUAGAAUUUUCUCAAAAACAAAAACAAAAACAUAUACCUAAUCGAAUGAUUAAUCAUUGGAGUGUAGAAUGCAAAGCUUUUUCUUUCUUCAUUUUAAUGAGACAAUGAAUAAAAAUAAGGUGGACCAUGUCUCCUUUCCAACGCACACCUUUCAUCUUUUCUCUUUAUCCCAACAUGUUUCUCAUUCCACUCCACUUUUUUCUUUGUAUGUAUAGUUUAUCUCUUUUAAGAAAUCAAGUAUGAGCAUCAACUGAUAAAUUUUUCUAUACUUUCUUCGACUUGGAGGAGCUUCAUAAUGGGAUAAACAAUCAAGAGUCUGUUUUCACAAUGUUUUUAAAAAGGGUAUUUGAGAUAACUUAAAUGUUUUUGAGGCAAAAUUUUAUUAAGAAUUCAAAUAUAAAAACUAAUUUUCUUUGUUUAUGCAUGUACGAUAUAAAAGUUUUUAAAGUGCUAUUCUCUAUUUUUUCAAUUGUCACUCAAUGAAUUCUAAAAAAAAAAAACAAAACUAAAAUACCUUAAAAUAUUUCUAAAAAAUAAUUCAUUUUCAAAACAAAUUCCCAAUAAAAAAAAAAUUGUGUUUUCUAUCAUAAUUUUUUGAAACAUAUUUUCUAAGUUAGAAAAUAAUUUUUUAUUCUAAAAGAUUAAUAUAUAUAUUUUCAAGAACAGAUACCAAAUAUAACCUAAUUUUUCUUCUAAGGUUUUUUUCCUUAUGUCUCCGUCUAGUUGUCAUCCAAUGAACAAUCCACUUCAAAUAUUUUUGUGCCAAAGGGUAAAACCGAAGGAGAGAAUUACUCAAACACAGGAGAAUUAAGAAUCAAAGGACAAAAGGGAUUGGAGCAAGGUGAUAACUUUUCUCAGUGAACUUCACUGAUUUGCUCAAAGGCAAGUUGCCAGCAAAAUCAAGGAUAUAAAAUGUGUAUUUCAUCUUUUUUUGUUGGACCCAUUGGGUUUGCUUUUUUUCCCUCUCAAUUUGGGAUUUAAUAUAAUAUAGAUCAGGAUUGAGCAGGUUUCUGUAAAUAAAUCAAAAUGGGCGGCCUUUUUUUAACUUGAUUCCCUCUUUGCUUUCUAGCACAUGAGAAAAAGUAGAGCUAGCCUCACAUGUGCACACACUGCACAUGGCAUAGCAUUGGGUACCUAUUGAGUCAUCUCCACCAUAUGAUUAAGCACAGUGGCCCAAAUACUAGCAAUGAAGUUAGAAAAUGCAUUCUUCAUUUUCGUCUCCGAGAGAGUAGGAAAACCAUAUUCUUUCUCUGAUUUUUCAGGAAGAGAGAAGAGACUUCUCACAUAGAGAAUAAAAAAUAAAAAAAUUAUUUAUUUUUAAUAGUGAUAGUUUCUAUGUAGUUUUAAAACUCCCUAAAACUAUUUCCCCAUUUUCUCAUUUAUUUGAGUCAGGUCGGGUCAGUCCACUUGGACACCCAAACCCAACUCCAACAUUGUGGAACUUGGAAGUGUAGUUUAUCUCACUGCUGAACAUGAGAACUUUGUUGGACAUGGUGGGACAUCACUUGGGUCUCUUGAACACUGAAGAGCCCAACAUUUAUAUUGUCAUUUAGUUUGCACCAUAUGCAGAGCCCAGUUCAAACAUGAUAUUGAAAAAAGUUCUAUACACAAAUACAGCUGAUGGAUAGGAGAAACAAAACAGAACAUCAGAUGGAUAAAACUUAGUAAACUAAAUAAACGGUAAAGGAUUCAUUGGAUCUCCUCUUAGCUAUCGCCCUUCUCCUAUGGAGGCUACAAGCUCAUUCUUCCAGGAGGCUUCAGCCUUGCUAGAAGAAGAAGCUGUACUAGAAAGGUUCCUCUUUACAACAAAAGCUGGUUCUUUAGGAACGGGCACUGUUGCAGCAUCACUGCUGAGCAGAAGAACUGCAAUGGCCAUGGUGGGACGGUCACUUGGGUCUUCUUGCACACACAACAGCCCAACAUUUACACACCUCGAAAAUUCGUUUGUGUUGCAUGUUUCACUUAGUGUCUGGUCCAUCAACUCCAAAACCUUGUCUUCUUUCCAUAGCUUCCAUGCCUAGAACAGUUCAAAAAGUUGUAGGUCAGAUGAACAGAGAAUGACUAAAAGAUCAGUACAAAUGAAAGAUUCAAAGCUCUUACAUGACCUAGAAGACUCAGAGUUCGGUCAGACUGAUAAAAUCCAGUGUUCCUCUUCCCACUGAUGAUCUCAAGUACCAUAACACCAAAGCAAAAGACAUCAGACUUCUCUGAGAAAUAUCCAUCCAAUGCAUACUCCGGAGACAUAGCCACUGCAUUGAACCAGUUAAAAGCAGCACUCAGCUAAUUGGGAAACGCAAUCAUACAACCGCUUGCCUUUUUCGAUACAAAAUAUACAAUACUUACUAAGUUCCAACUACUCUGUUCGUGUUUGCCUCUACUUGCUUACUGUCAAAAAUCUUUGCCAAGCCAAAGUCUGAAAUUUUGGGAUUCAUCUCAUCAUCAAGUAGAAUGUUGCUUGUUUUUAAGUCCCUAUGAAUAAUCUUCAAUCUUGAAUCUUGGUGAAGAUACAGCAGCCCUCGAGCAAUUCCCAUAAUGAUGUCAAACCGCUUCUCCCAGUUCAGUAACAUGCAUAGGGUUCAAUCUUGCAAGGUUCCCAUUGGAAAGCAUUACUUCAGAUAUGUAUACAAGAAUGUAUAUGUUACAUGAAAAAGAAAAGGGCUUUAAGGCAGGUUUAGAGACAAACCAAAUAUGAAGGAAUCUAAGCUUUUGUUGGCCAUAUAUUCAUAGAGUAAAAUCUUCUCAUCACCUUCAACACAAUAGCCCAAAAGUCUAACCAGAUUCCGAUGCUGAAGUUUGGCAAUUAACACAACCUCAUUCUUAAAUUCCUGUAAGCCUUGUCCUGAAGCUCUAGAGAGUCUCUUAACCGCAAUUUCUCGCCCCUCUAGAAACUUGCCCUGGAAGCCACAGUGCAUAUGCAUUGGGCAUAUGUUAGAACUUGGUGACUUGAAUUCUGUUUGGUUCAACUCCAGAAGCUCGAGAUGCGACAUAGGUAGUAAAACUAAAAUUAUGAAAUUUUUUUGGGUCUAUGGUAGUAACAGAGGGAUCGGACCUAUUACUCUUUCAUGUAUAUAUAUGCAUGCAAUGAUGUAUAGUUUUCAGGGUUAUGAUCAUUAUAUUUUUGCUAUAGUCGUUAGUAUCUCUUUCCUCUUGUACUAAUUUUUGAUAUAGUAAAAUUUCUUCUCCUCAUGGUCUUUCCUAUUUAGGGUUUUCCACACAAAUCUAUGUGUUUUUAUCCUGUUUUAUUUCUUAUUGCAUAUUCUCAUUAUUUUGUAACAUCAUAUAUGAUGAGAAAUCAGUUGAAAAUGAGAGGAAUAUGGAAGUUAAGAACAAUUACCUUGUAAACUGGCUCAAAACCCCCUUGUCCAAGCUUAUUUGCAUCUGAAAAGUUUUCUGUAGCAGCCAGUAUGUCUUCUAAGUCGAAAAACGGUACAUCAAUGCCUUUCUUAUCCUCUUCUUUGAAUUGCUCUGAGUCUAUUAAGUGUUUCACACGACUCUCACUAUCAUAUAAGUGAAGCACUUGAUUUGCUCUGUUCUCUGAACUAAAAAAAAAAACAGAAAAUAUUGUAUAGAAGACCCUGAAAUAUUCUCAAUUCAGCCAAGCACAAGUCGAAAAGAAAAGACCAGAAGUUAUAUGCUAGUGCAUAUGGCACAAAGAUUACCUUUCCUUUUGGUGAUGGUUCUUUUGCGCAAAUAAGCAAUAUAACCAAUGAUGCCUAAAACUGCAACUAGAACGACAGCAAUUGUUAUGCCUACCACAACCACUGGAAAUGACGACGAUGACUUCUGAUCAGCAGGCUUUGUAGGCUCUGCAGGAUUGACACCUGACACAAAGAAGGAACUGAAUUGAACUUCUCUCACCUACCCAGAAGGCAAAUUUAGUAAGAUACUGGGAGUGUGGCAGUGUCACUGCUGAGCAUUACAACUGCAACUGCCAUGGUGGGACGGUCACUUGGGUCUUCUUGCACACACAACAACCCAGCAUUCACACACCUCAAAAAUUCUUUUGUGUUGCAUGUUUCGCUUAGUGUCUGGUCCAUCAGCUCCAACACCUUGUCUUCUUUCAAUAGCUUCCAUGCCUGGGACAGUUUGAGAAUAGAAAGUUAAGUAUGGUAUGGUAUAUUGUUGAGAACGACUAAAAGAUCAAUGCAAAUGAGAGAUUCAAAGACCUCACUUGACCCAGAAGGCUCAGUGUUUGGUCAGACUGAUAAAAUCCAGUGUUCCUCUUCCCAUUGAUGAUCUCAAGCACCAUAACACCAAAGCUAAAGACAUCAGACUUCUCUGAGAAAAACCCAUCCAAUGCAUACUCUGGAGACAUAUAGCCAUUGCAUUGAACCAGUUAAAAGCACUACUCUGUUAAUUGGGGAUGCGAUCAUGCAACUACUUGCUUUUUUCUAUACACAAUAUGCAAUACUUACUAAGUUCCAAAAAUAAUUUAUGGUGUCAGUAUUUAUGGUGUCACUUUUAAAAUAAUGACACCAUAUGACUUAAAAUCCAUAAAGGUGACACCUCAUAUAAAAAUUUUCAAUAAAGAUAAAUGAUAUUAAUUUUAAGUUUAUAGUGUCAGUUUUUGAAAAGUAACACUAUAUAAAAUAAAAAUUUUAAAAUACUAUAACUUAAUGAGCCCGAGAAUAAUAAUAGUAUAUAAAAAACUCAUUAUUUCCACAUACCCACAAUCCAAAAAAUCUCAUUAUAUAACCCUAACCAUAAUUUUCUUCUACCUCUUCUCACACCCAUAGUUAACACACAACUGCUCUUCUUUACUUCAUGGAUUCUCAAGUAAUCCAAAAUCUCUUAGAUCUAUCAUUUUCAUUUUUUUUCAUUAAUGUCAAAAUCUUUAUUAGCACAAUUGAUUUAUAUUCAUUGAUUUGGUAUAUCUGUGAUGUGGAUUAUGUAAAUAGUGUUUUUUUAUUAAGUUGUAAGAAAGUAAAAAUUAAGUUUAACAUUCCACCAUAUCUUCUAUUUCAUUGUUAAACCUAUAAACCUCAAAAUGAAUGAAAAUAAGAUAAAUGAAUGAUUUUUUUUAAUUUAUUUCAUACUCAAGAAUGAGGGAUAAACAUUUUACAGUAUGAAAUUUUCUUUUGAUCUUACAAGAAAUUUCCUUUGAUGCGACUUUCUGUUUGUUUUCUAGGAAUAUUAUAGUAUAUUGUGAUGACGAUAUGUGUUGGUGAUAUUUGAAAAAUAAUUUUUAGAAAGUUAUCUUAAUAUUGUUAUCUCCCACAAAAGGAAAAAUGAAAUAGUUUCCAUAUCAUGUUGGAGUUGGUUUGGAAUGUUGGAAUUAACAAUGAAAAAUUAAUUUUUUUUAUUAAUGUAAAAGAAUUGUUUUUUAAAAUUUAAAUAGGAAUGAAAAUUUUUAUAAUUAUAAGAAUGAUCAAAUCUUAUAUUUUAAUUUUUUUAUUCUUUUACAUGGUAUUAUGGUUAAUAUCUUAUCUUGUUCUAUUCAUAUUGUUUCUAUUCUUAAAAUGUGUUUUUUGUUUUUUUGUCUUUACCUUUUUUUAUAUGCGUCGACCAAAAUUUAUAAUUUCCGUUUUAAGGUUAGAAAAUUUCUAUAAAAUCCUUUUACUACAUAAAUUUUUUCAAUUACUUCCAUAAAACUCUUUUUUUUUUUUUUUUUUUGAAAGAAGAAGAAGAAGAUGUUUUAUCUUUUGAUUUUCUAUGAAAUUUCCUUUAAUUGGACUGUUUGUUUAUUUUCUAAGAAUAUUAUAGUAUGUUGUGAUGAAGAUAUUGGUUGGUCAUAUUUGGAAAAUAAUUUUUGAGAAAAUUAUUCUCAAUAUUGUCAUCUCUCGCAAAAGGAUUAUUUUUGCUUUCUUUUCUUAUUGUUUUUAUAUGCAUUGACCAAACUUUGGAGCAAUUUGAAAUUGAUGAUGAAAUUUUCCUUUCAAGGUUAGGAAAUUUCUAUAAAAUCCUUUUAUUACAAAUUUUUUUCCAAUUCUUUCCAUAAAACUCUUCAUUUUCUUCAUUUUUCUUUUUUCUGAAAAAGAUGUUUGAUAAUUUAUUGAUCUAAAGAAUAUUAAAAGUAAAAAAAAUUAAAAUAUUGAAUAUAUUUUCCUUUGAUGUUUUUAAUUUUUUAUUAUUUGAACACAAUUUCAUAUCCAAAUUUUUUAUUAAUUAUUUUAAUUAGAAAAAAGAAAUAUCAAUUGGAGUUUUGACUGAAAAAUCAAUAAUUUUUAUGAAAAGCUCUUUAAUUCUUUCUCAUACUAUUUUUUCUCUUAAUAUUUUUUAAUAAUGAAUUAGGUUUUUUGUCUUAUAUACACAAUUUUCAUGCUUGUUAUAAUAUCAUGUCCUAUCAUAUUAGUAGUUGAAAACAUUUUGAUAUUUUGUUACUAAAAUUUUAUUUUAUGUAAUUGAGAUGAAAUUUAAUGGACAUUGUUAUUUCAUAAAAUGAACAUUAAAAAAAUAUUGAAAUUAAGAAAAUCCUUCCAAGAAAUAUAUAUAUAUAUAUAUAUAUAUAUAUAAUGUUAAAAAUGAUUUUUAAAAACAUAAUGAAUUAUAAAAAAUAAAUUUAAAAAGUGCAUAUUUUAAGUGGAAGAUUAGUAUUUUCUAAAUUUUAGAUUUAUAUUUUGAUUUGGUAGUUUUGAUUUAUUUUUUAUUUUCUUGAAUUGUUUUUAUUUGAAUUCAAAUGUGACUACUUUGUUAUGAGAUUCAUUAAAGAGAUAAUUGUUGAUUCUAUAGUUAUUGCAUUAAAGGUUUUACUCAUUUAAUGAAUUGCACAUAGUUUCAUACUUCCAAUUAUUGUGAUAUUAAUGUUAUUAUCAUUUGAUUAUAGUUUGAUGAUAAAAAAAAAAACAUAUUCUUAAGUAGAAUGUGAUGAAAUUAGAGGAGAAUUGACUACUUUUAUAUUAUAACUAAUCAAGAAUCAUGUUGAUGUAUCGUGAUCAUGCAUGGUGAGUCCCUUAGUUGUUAUAUGAAUUUUCCAUUGGUAUUGUAUAACAUUACUUAUUCUUUACAAAUUAUUUUUAUAUCAAAAUGGAAAAAAGAAAAAAGAAAACAUUAGUAGUUAGAUUUGUUUAUUUUUUAUAACAUUAAUUAAUUUUUAUUUUUAAUAAAAACUCUAAAACUCAUUAAACUAUGAAAUGCAAGUAUACACUCUUGGAAGGACAGUAUGAAGAAUAAAAAGAAAGGAGAAAGAGACAACAAGAUUUUGGGUUUUUAGAUGUAACUUUUAUGCCAUAUAUUAUAGGACAUAAACGUUACUUUAUUUGGUAUUGAGAAUUUUGGGUUUUUGGAUGCAACACUUGUGUCAUUUUAUGGUUAGCCAGUUUUAUGCAUAUGAAUUGUAGGUAUACAUGAAUGUUGGGAUGCUUAACAUUUCUAUGUCAUGUUUUAAUGUGCAUUCACUUUUCCUUUUUAGUUUUGGUGGGUUUGAUGUACUAUCAUUUUGUGAACAUUUGAUAUACAAAUAUUAUUGGAUGAUUUAAUGUAUUACAAGUUGAUCUUAUUUAUUAAUAAGCAUUACAAAAAUCUAUAGGCUAAUCAAUAAAAAACAACCAUAUAUUCCAUAAUCAUUUACAAUGAUGUGACACCAUAACUCAAAGGUGAUGCAUUUAACGUGGCACCAUAACUCAAAGGUGAUGCAUUUAAUAUGACACCUUAUAUAUCUCACACAACUCUAUAUCAAAUUAAGCAUUACUAAAAAUAUAUGGUGCUGCUUCUGAAUGUGUCACCAUUUAUCUACAUUGGUGUCGCUUCCAAAUACAUCACCAAUUGGUACCCUCUAUGGUGUCAGUGGAUAAGGUGACGCUAUGUUGUAGUGACACCUUAUGUUUAUAGUGACUCAUUAUAAAUGCCACCAUAUAUCUUUUUCCUUGUAGUGUAUUCACCCCCUCCCCCUCUAGGUGUAGUCCAUUAUUGAGAUUCACCUUUUCAUCAUCCAUCCACAUGCUAGGAAGAAAAGUAUCAGUAAGAUUAUGGAAGCUCUCCCAAAGAAUCUCCCCUGAUCUGUUGUCACUUAAAACAAGGUUCCCGGAGUCCAUGAGCUUCAUCACCAUGCCUGUAGAUAAAGAUGUCUCAGUAUUAGAAGACCAAUGAACUUUCCCAUUUUCAUCCAAUAAUUUGAGCUUACCAUCGUCUUUAAUGGCAAAAACUCCAGAGAGGGGAUCAGAAAGGGGAAGGGGGCUGUCUCGGUUGGCCACCCAUACAACUCUUUGUGGUUUCAACAAGUAAUACCAUAUGCCAAUGUAUUUGCCAUUGUUGAACCUUCCAUCCGAAUUAAAGAAGCCAAGUUCAAAAGUUUUGCCUACAGAAACAAGAGUUCCUCCAUCAUUUCUAAGCCAAUCCUCUAGUGUGAUGGUAUCUCUAGCAGAGCAAUAUAGGACAGAACAUAAGAAAAAGAUGGUUGAUAGCAUGUGAGUUGUAGAGACAGGAACCAUGAAUUUUCUUCUUAUCAUUUUGCCCUCUAUUGUUGUUAGUCAAAGAACCAUGAAGAGUUGCAGAGACAUGAACCACAAAUUUUCUUCUUAUCAUUUUGCCCUCCAUUGUUGUCAGUCAAAGAACCAUGAAGGGUUUGCUACUGUUGUAUUGCACUCUCAUUUUUAAUGGAGACUUUUCCUUUUGACUCUUGAGUGGAGAAAAUUCAUAUCAGUAUUCUUAUCUUGAUUUCCCUUUUUGAUGCAUAGCUUUCAUCUCUGGACUUUUGUGGCAACUUGAGUCUUUAAGAUGGCAACUUUAAUAUGCUUCCUGGUGUCUUCCAAGUAUUGACGUUUUGUAUGCAUCACCCUCCUCCUUCUACACCAAUUUGUUUCUUUGUAUGUAUAGUUUUAUCUCUUCUAAGCAAUAAAGCAUAUGGCAUCAACCAAUAAAUUUUUCUGUACUUUCUCCAAUUUGGAGGAGCUUCGUAAUGGGACAAACAAGAAAAAUUAGAAGUUUAUUUGGCAAUGCUUGUAGAAACAGUUUUUCAUAACAAUGCUAAGAAACAGUUCUCAAAUGUUUCGACUAACUCAAAUAUAAGAACUAGUUUUCUUUGUUUAUUCUCGUACGUACAAAGCGAAAGUUUAAAAAAUAUUCUUUAUUUUAUGAAUUUUUAUCCAAAGAACUCCAUAAAAAUGAAAAAAAUUACAAACACCUCAAAAUGAUUCUAAAAUAUAAUUCAUCUGCAUAACAAAUUUGGCAAAAAAAAAAUCAUUUUUCAUCAAAUGUCUAUCAAACGUGUUUUCUAAUUUACAAAACAAUUUUCUGUUUAAAUAAAAAAAAUCUAAAAUAACUACUAAACAUACCCUGAUUUUUGUUUUAAGCUUUUUUCCUUCUCAUGUCUUCUAAUUUCCAUGCAAUGAAUUAUCCACUUCAAACAUUUUUGUGCCAAAGGUAAAGCAAAGGAGAGAAUUACUAAAACAAACCCAGGAAAAUUAAGAAUCAAAGGACAAAAGGGGUUCAAGGAAGUGAUAAAUUUUCUCAAUGAAUUAACUUCACUAAUUGCUCAAAGGCAAGUUGUCAAUUGUUACAGAAUAGUGAAUAUAGGAAAUAAGAAAAACAAAAUAUGAACAUAUAGAUUUGUGUGAAAAAUCCUAAACGAGAAAAACCACGGACGGAUGAGAAGAAGAUCCACUAUAUCAAAAAUUGGUAUAAGAGGAGAGAGUUACGAGCGUCUAUAGCAUAACCCUAAAAAUACAUCAUCACAUAUACACACACAUAUGUAUAUAUAUAUAAAGCAGGUUCAUACUUUUGAAUUCAUUUAAUCUUUAUAUAAUGAAGGAAAGUAAAAUAAAUUAGAAAAAACAUAUGAAAUAAUUUAUUAACUUCGAAUUUAUUUUUUUAUUUUCUUUUGUUUUUUCCUUUCUUCUAUUUUUCCUCUUUAUUUUUUUUUUUCCAUAUUUUGCCUUAUAUUUUUUGAGAACCAAAUAUAGUCUUAAAGUUUCUUGGAAACUUUGGACUUUAGAAAAAACUUAACCUUUUUUUCUUGGGAAUAAUUUUCUAGAUUUGAGGUACAUUAUCUUAGGGGUGUACUAAGGAUGUCAAAAUACUUUCAAAAUCUAACUCCUAUUUUUUGGAAAGUUAUGAAUUAAUAUUUCUUUUUUUUUUUUUUUUUACUCUUUCCAAAUCUAAUUUUACUAGGAACCAAAUUUGUGAAUUUUUGCACAAAAUCCUAUCCAAGAGAGGAUCUUUUAGAAAUCUCAUCCAUUCUAUAUUUGAUUGAUAGAGAAUUAAAACCACGGUUGUGCAAAAAGCAUAUGAACAAAUAAAAUUAGACCAAGAUAUAUAUCAAUGAUUCAACUUAGAAGAAUAAUGCAUUAGAUUUCUACACUUUGAGUAGUUGCCUUGAUUAAGUCCAAUUACUAGAAGCCAAGGUCAAGGUCAUCGAAGUUUGUCCAUUCUCUUUCAUAAUUUCUUUUUUCCUCACUAAAGGAUAGAAUAUCUCUUUUACAAAUCUUGUCUAUUCUUGAUUGAUUUGGUAGAGAAUUUUAAAAAGGGUUGUGCCAAAAGCAUGUCAACAAUUUAAAAUGGACCGAGAGACGAAGCUUCUCAAUGAGUGGAUGUAUAUCUUUGUCAAUCCUUCAACUUUGAAGAAUAAUGCAUUAGACUUCUAUGCUUUAAGUAGUUUCCUUGAUUGAGUCCAAUUAUUAGAAGCCAAAGUCAAGGUCAUCGAAGUUUGUACAUUCUCUCUUGUGGUCCCAUGGUAUUUGCUCUUUUUUACCUCAUUAGAGGAAAAAACAUUAACACAGCUUCAUGUGGGAACCAACCUUUCUUUUAGCAUCCAUGAUAGUUUUUCUUCCCAAUAAUUAGAAAAAGAUUCAUGAGGACCCCAUAUGAGAACUAUUAUUGGUGAUUGUAUAUAGAAAUAAAGAGAAUUCAUUUAUCCUAUAAAAAACAACCCCUUCCUAACGAUUAUAUAAUUUAUUGGUAACAAUGUGAUAGAAAAUUUUGAGACACAUAUUAUAGAUGAAUCUUGGUUAUGGAUUAUAGUUAGAGGGGGUAAAUAGUUAUUUUUUCCAACUUAGAGAUGGUUCCCAAAGAAGGCUAUCAUUCCCUUCAUUUUUCCCCCUAAAUUCCAUUUUAAUAUUUUGAGCACAAAAUCAGAAAACAUAUGCAAGAAUAGAUACACCGAUAUAUUGUCCCUACAAUGUAAACAAUGUUUAUCAUAAUGAAUCAAGAGUGUACAUACAAACACUUUGAUGUUGGAUUUGAUGGGAAAACAAAAUCAUAACAGUUCACAAGGUAUAAACAACUCAUCACCCAAAUCACAAACACAAAGGGAUACAUAAAAUACCACCCUAAAGAAAACAAUAAGGGAUAUGAAGUUAACUUUAAGAGAUACAAAGUAUAAAAAGAAAAUCAAAAUCUGCUAAAACAAUUUAUCUUUAAAAUGUGUUGAAUAUCCCUCUGAACUAGCUAGCCAAUUUGCUUCAAAUGUAGUGAUUCCAAGAGCAUAUGACAGCUAAGACAAUAAACUUUCCAUUGACAUAUGGUUGACAUAUUAAUUUAGGACCAUUUGUCCCCAGUAAAUUUUCAAAGUUGUCUCUAGUUUCAGAAUUCCCGCUCAUGCUACUAGAGUAAGAAUUUGCAACUCUUUCAACUUAUUUUCAAAGUCUAUGUGUUGGGACACUCCCAUGUCACACUCUCCCAAUAUUAAUUUAAAUAUAGAUUCAUAUUAAUUAGUCUAUGAAUGAUUUGCUUAUCCUCUUGCAAAAUAGUUAAUUUGAUUAAUGAUGAUCUUAAAAGCUUUUAAGUUAUAAACAUAUCUUUGGAUGAUUAAUGAACAUGAUUAUGUGUUCUUUACAAUUUUGAUUUGCUCAUAUAAGCUAAUAACAUGUCUUUUAAGUGACUUGAAAAGCUUGAAGAAGGGCCUUGUGAUUCCAUAAAAGCUUAGUAAUGAUCCUCAAAGUUCAAAUGCAAGCUUAUGUCUAUUUAAUAUGUCUUAAAGAAUUAGUACCACAUAAAAUGAAGUGAUGUCUAGUGUCUAUGUGUUUUGUCCUAGAGUGAAGAACAAGGGAAUUGAAGUUGCUACUUGCACUACUAUUAUCAUCCAGUACAAUCAUGAUUCCUUGAUCUAUUUCAUAAUCACUUUACAAUUGCUUGAUUCAAAGAAGUUAGGCACAAGAACUACCAAUUACAUAUUCCGCUUCAUCUAUGGAUAGUCAAACAUCAUUUUGUUUCUUACUCAUCUAAAUCAAGAUGUGAAAUAGAAAAAUGUAUACUUCAAUUGCAAAUAAAGUGGACAAUGUUCCCUUGCUUUUUAAUUAUGAGAGCUAGCCUCACAUGAGCAUUUGGUUUAGAACUAGGUAAUCAUUGAGUCAUCUCCACUAUCUAAUUAAGCCCUUGAAGUCCAAAUACAAGCGAUGAGGUUUGACAAUUUUAUGCUAUGCAAUUAAUGAUAAUGUAGAGAGGACCAAAAAAACAGAGGAGCUUCCUAUUGACACUCAUUAGGAAAAAAAAUUACAUUGAAGCAUAAGAAUAAAUACUCCAUAAAAUUCAAUUUUAAUGAAAUUAUAUAAUACAAAUGAAAAUGAUGUUGUUAAAGAGCAUGGUAUAUAUUGUGAACUCAAAUUCUACAAGUUAACCUUUUAGAAAAAUUGGUAAUUGAGUAGAGCUUGGUUUGACGGGAGGUCAUGUGUUCAAGAGUCGCUUCUCCCCAAUUUGCAUAUUUAUUUCCUCCUAGGCUACCAAUGAUCUCAUUCUUGGAGCAUGUGUUUCUGGUUUGGUAGAAGAAGCAGCAGCCCUACUAUAUAACAGUGGAAGAAGCAUUAGAAUCUUUGUCUCUUCUUCAAGGUCUUUAGAUUUUUUCAAUUUGUUUUCUUUUCAAUUCUCAUGCAUACAUCUAAUUUUCCACUUCCAUAAUAUUUUAACCUCUGGAUGUGAAAUAGUAUUUGUAGAUCAAUCAAAAGUAUUCCAACGUAAUAUGUCACUAUAUAAUAAUCCAAUAUUUCAACCUCUAUAUCUGAAAUAGUAUAUGUAGAUCAAUCAAAAGCAUCCCACCAUGUAUAUUCAGCUAAUGUAAUCGCUACCACCAACAAAACUAAUUAUUGGUUUCAUUUUAAGAUGUUAUAGCUAAUAAAUCCCUACUUUCCUUACCAUCAAUUACUCAAUAGAUAUCAUGCUUCAAUUUAUUCCUAAUUCCAACGGUAAAUCACUGGUAAUAGAAGGCAUGAUAUACAUAUAUAGGGUCAUUUCUUUGAGUGACUUUACUCAAAAGGAUGGUCUUGAUUACAACUAGCAAAUUCUGUUUAUAAGAAGACCCUAUACAAAACUCACAUGGCUAUGAUCAUUACUUGAGUCACUAUCACACAGAAUUCAUACCAGUUUUGUUUACAAAUUGUUCUUAGGAAGAACAUAUUCCAACUGGGGGCUAAUACAAGUAGAGGUUCCAAGCUACAGACCAAGAAGGUAUGUACCAACAGAUACCUAGCUAGGAUUGCUUCUUCUAGUAACGGUUGGUUAUUAGCACAUAAAAAUGUGAGCAGGCAACUAAGUUGGAACCUUAUAGACACCGUUAGUCUCCCUAGCUUAUGAUAAAGAAUCUUUAAGGCCAUUAAGUCAACAGUUCACACUUACUAACUAGGUUUUUCUCUUUGUCGUGACUUUUUUUUUUCUUAUGCUUUUGGUAGAGCCUUGGUUAACACAUCUGCAAUUUGAUCCUCAAUCUUGCAAUAAAGCAGUUUAACUUCACCAUCCUUUUGUUCUUCUCUUAAGUGAUACAACUUGAUCUUGAAAUGCUUAGUCUUGCCAUGAAAAACAUAAUCAUUUGAAAUUGCAAUUGCAGCUUGGUUAUCUACAUGAAUCUGUGUUGGCUCAUUUUGCUUCAUGUGUAGAUCUGCAAGUAUUUUUCUGAUCCAAAUUGCUUGAUUUACAGUAGCAUUGGCUGCUAUAUAUUCUGCAUCUGCUAUACUUUGAGCUAUCACAUCUUGCUUCUUUAAGGACCAUGAAAAAAUUCCAAAUCCAAAGCUGAAACAAAAUCCUGUUGUACUUCUCAUGUCAUCAAUAGAACCUGCCCAAUCACUAUCAGAAUAACCAUGAAGUUUAAAAUUCUGAUAGUAAGAAUAUUUAAUGCCAUAAUUUGUUGUGCCCUUGAUAUAUCUUACAAUCCUUUUGGUAGCUUGAAAAUGCACUUCACUAGCACAAUGCAUGAAUCUUGAAAGCAAGCUUAAUGAAAACAUUAUGUCUGGUUUGGUGGCUGUAAGAUACAUCAAGCAACCAAUCAGGCUCCUGUAUUGGCUUUCAUCCACUUUUUCUGCUCCAUCAUCUUUGCUAAAUUUCUCCUUCUGAUUCAUUGGUGUGUUGGUCCUUUUGCAAUCUUCCAUGUGAAAUUUGUUAAGUAUUUCCUUUGCAUACUUCUUUUGGCUUAUGAAGACUCCAUCAUGAUCUUGCUUCACCUCCAUACCUAGAAAGUAGGACAUCAAGCCAAGGUCUGUCAUCUCAAAUACUUUGAGCAUUUCAGCUUUAAACUCUUUUACCAGUUUCUCAUUGCUACCUGUUACAAACAGAUCAUCAACAUAAACAGAAACUACAAUUAAGUUAGCAUCUGUUCCUUUUAUAUAUAAUGUAGCUUCACUUGGACUUUUAACAAAUCCAAGACUUUGAAGAUGUUCAUCAAUCCUGCUGUACCAGGCCCUAGGAGCCUGUUUAAGACCAUAUAAGGCCUUUUUCAACAAGUAAACCUUCUCCUCUUGUCCAUUGACUUGGAAUCCCUCGGGCUGCUCUACAUAAAUUUCCUCUUGAAAAUAACCAUUUAAAAAAGCAGAUUUUACAUCCAACUGGUAAGUCAUCCAUCCAUUUUGUGCUGUCAAAGCAAGCAACAUUCUGAUUGUAUCCAAGCGUGCUACUGGAGCAAAAGUUUAUGAGAAAUCCACUCCAAACACUUGACUAUACCCCUUCAUAACUAAUCUAGCUUUGUAUUUAUUUAUAGAACCAUCUGUAUUAAGUUUGGUUCUAUAAACCCAUUUGACUCCAAUGACCUUUCUGUGUUGAGGUAUGUCCACCAACUCCCAGGUGUCAUUCUUUUCAAUCAUUCUAAGCUCCUCUUUCAUUGCUUCAGUCCACUUGUCAUCCUUCUCUGCCUCUUCAAAUUCUGCAGGCUAAAAAACAACAACAUUACUUCUUUCAUAAACAUCAGAUAAGGACCUUGUACCUCUAACUAGGACAUCAUCUAUGUUUUCAUCAAAGUAUUGAGGAACCUCUGGUAGUUGCAUCUUUAUUGACUCCUCCCAAUUCCAUUGUCUAUCCUCUAUGAACUUGACAUCUCUACUUACAAGAAUUUUUCCAUUUUGUGGUUGGAAAAUUCUGUAAGCCUUGGAAGAGUUGCUAUAUCCAAUGAAAACUCCUGGUUCUGCCUUCUUAUCAAGUUUGUCUCUUUUCACCUGUGGCACAUAAGAAAAACAAAGACAACCAAAGUUCUUAGAUUCUGCAAAUCUGGUUUAUAACCAAACCAGGCUUCAAAUGGAGUUUUUUUUUUUUUGCAAAACUCUAGUUGGCAGCCUAUUCAGCAAAAAACUGCAGUGUUUGCAGCCUCUGCCCACAAUUUCUUUGGCAACUCCUUCUCAUGUAGCAUACACCUUGUCAUCUCCAUAAUACUUCGAUUUUUUCUCUCACUUACUCCAUUUUGUUGUGGAGUGUAAAGUGUUGUGAGUUGGUGCUCAAUACCGGCUUCUUCAUAGAACUUAUCAAAAAUUUCAUUUGUGUAUUCUUUCCCAUUAUCUGACCUUAUCUUCUGCAUCCUGCAACUGCUUUGAUUCUCCACCCAUGCUUUAUAUUUCCAAAAUACAUUAGGAACCCCAUAGUUGGAUUUGAGGAAAUAAAUCCAACAAAAUCUGGUAUAAUAAUCAAUAAAUGCAAUGUAGUACUUACUACCAUUUAAAGAUGGUGUUUUCUGAGGUCCUCCAACAUCUGUGUGUACCAGUUGCAGCUUGUGCAUUGCUCUCCAUGUUGUUUGAGGGAAGGGUUUUCUAGUUUGCUUUCCAUAUUGACAAGCCACACAAUCAGCUAGCUUGUCUUGCAGCAAUGGCACACCUUUCACCAAAUUAUGUUUCUGCAUAUAUAGAAGUCCAACAUGGUGGAAAUGCCCGAGCCUUCUGUGCCAUAAUUUUGCAUUGCGUUCAAUGCUUGAAAAUGCUAUUUGCUCAUCCUCCAUUAGAUUUAGAGCAAAGCUUUUUGCUCUCAUUUUCACUUUGAAUACAUCUCUACCUUUCGCGUCUUUGAUCAAGCACCAUUUGUCUUCAAAUAUGACUUUGAAACCUUUUUCAGUUAGCUAUCCAACACUAAGCAGGUUUUGAUCAAUGUCAGGCACAUAUAAAACAUUAGUAAUAUACUUCAAACCUAUUAAGCUUUCUAUAGCCACAGUUCCUUCCUUUACCCUUAACUGAAAUAAAUUCACCAUUUCCAAUUUUUACCUUGGAGAUAAUAGUUUUAUCAAGCUCCUUAAAGAGCUCUUGGUCAUUGGUCAUGUGGUUUGUGCAGCCACUAUCAAUCAACCAAGAAUUGCUAGAGUUGUUACUUGUUGUGAAGCAUGUUGCAACAAAAAGUUGCUCUUCUUGAUGUUGCUUAGUAGAAGCUGUAGGGACCCCUCCCUCCGAGAACACGUGGCACGCAUCUUACAGUGACACGUGGCACGCAUCUUACAGUGACACAUGGCACGCAUUGUCAUCCGGGUCAUCCUCAUCCGGAUCUUCCUAUAAAGCACACAUGGCGCACUUUUUAUCUGGACUGCCUCAAGGAAGGGCAAACGACGCUUACAAAGCAUAGACAUUCGGACGGCUUCCAUUAAUGCGUCCGCUCCACAAUACAUCCGGAUAACCAACAUGGACUAUCCGGAUAUGAUUGUCCGGAUCAUUGACUAAAGUAAAGCGAGUCUUACACGCUAUCACAACAACCAACCAUGGCCCACGUCCCAUCACCUGCAGAGUGAAAGGACGGGUUGAGGUGACAACAAGUCACUUCCCACGAUCGUUCUAGAUGAUCACUUCCUACGAUCUCUGAUAGCCGCAUCACCUACCACGGUUUCUGACAGCCGCCCGUAGGGUGGUGAUGACCCUGCUGCCAUCUAAAUAUCAUCAUGACAACAUGAAAUAUCUCCCCACCAUUAAUGAGAGGAACAAUACUCCUGGCACUAUAUAUAAACCUUCACACGAAGAGGAAGGUAAUCGCCUGAUACCUAGAAAAAGGCCAACUGAUUUAUAUCUCCCUCUCUAACCAUGGCUAACAAAACCAUCGGAGGGUGCGUCCGGACACCCUGUCCGGAUGCCUUUUGCAGGUAUAACGACUGAAUCAAGAACCUAUUUUGGUUGAGGUCGCGGAUCCAUCCAUUUGGCAACUACGUGGAACACUAGGAGCGCGAGGUAUCAACAUAAGCUUUUGCCUCUUCAUGUUGUCGUGACUUGCAAAUCCACUCCAUGUGUCCAAUCUAACCAUAUUUCUUGCACUUGACAUCAGGCCUCCACCAACACUUCCUUUGUGGGUGAUUUGUCUUUUUGCAGUGUAGGCAAGGUGGAUAGGUUCCAUCCUUGUUUUUGUUGUUGUUGUCAGUCUUGUUGAUCUUCUUCUUAUUGUUGUUUUUCUUGUUUUUGCCUCAUCUUGAAUUUUAUGCCUUUGCUUGAAGAGCACCCUCCAUCGAUUCUUCUUUUCUUAUCAUUCUCCUUUGCUCUUGUGCCUGCAAUGCAUUCACCAAUUCUACCAAGGAUAUGCUUGACAAAUCCUGCAUAUAUACUUGAGUGUUGCAUUUACAACACACUGAAAGAGAAGUUCACCUAUAUCAGAAACUGCCACACGCACAUAGAGAUCAUGGCCGCCAUCCAAAUACGCCUCCUGAAUGUCAUUAAGAUUUUCCUCCGAAAUCAUACUGAUGGCGGUGUCUGCACGAGUCUCGACUUCAACAUAGGCAUAAGCCUGGCAGUUGUUACAGUCUCUGUUGCAGUGAUUUUCGCAUUCUUUUUCAUUUGUAGUACUGUUGAACUGUGUGUCUGAUUUUUUCACUCUCAUCAUCUCUAGCCUCAAAAAAGUGUCAUUCUUGCUGCACAGGGGUGAAAUUCUUCUACAGUCCCCCGAAAAAUCUCCACCAUUCCACUUUGCUGGAAAAUUUGGUUGGAAUCCUGGCAAACACCUGCACAAAAUCCUAUUUCUAGUACUGCAGCUGCCAAAACUUCCACAGGGAUUAUUCCCAUCGCAUCUGUCUUUUGGUUCCUUCAAAAGCGAAUACCAAGAGCCCGUCUGAUUACGGAUCUGUAGAUACUCUAUCUGGCCGGAAAAUUUCAUCACCAACCUCCUAUAAUAAAAAGAGGUUGUUGGUUGGCUACUAUUAAUGCUGGAAUUUGAUAACAUUUUGGAUAAUUCAGAAUACAUCUUAUGGUCCCAACCGGAUGUAAUGAAAUCAUCUGAUAUCCCACUCUUCCAGUAUGUAUUAGGCCCAUUCUGGAUGAUGUACAGGUUCUGUGCUACUUGAUCUUUCCUGAAAGUGAAGUUCCCCGAACCCGGGUCACUGCUGCUUUUCCAUGAAGUCAACACCAAGUUGCCAUCCAUCUUCAUACCUGGAAGAAAAGUAUCAGUUGCGUUUCCAAAGCUUUGCCACAGACUUGUUGGUAGCUGAUCAUUCUUCAGAACCAGGUUCCCGGAAUCUAUGAGCUGCGCUAGCUACCUUUUCUGUAGAUGACGAUUUCUGGAGAGGGGUUGACCAGAAAGGUCUCCCUCUUCCAUUCGAAUUCAACACGAGGUUACCAUCUUGAAUGGACAAAACUCCAGUGGAAUCAGGCAGUGGGUCGUUUCUAUUGGCUACCCACACAACGGUUUUCGUCUCCAACCUGUAAUACCAUAUACCAACAUAUCUUUGGUGACUAGACUCCCAUUAGGGGUGAAGAACCCCAAUUCAAAUGUCUUACCAACAGACAAGAGAGUUUCUCCAUCACCAUCACUGAUCGGAUCAUUCUGCCUUAUGGUAUCUCUUGCUGCACAUGUUUGAUAACAACACAACAAUGUUGGGUACAAGAUGAAGAUGGUAGAUACCAUGUGAAUUGUUGUUGACCAUGUAAUUGCAAUUCUUCUUCUUUUGAUUACUAUUAGGUAGUUAAGACUUCCCUUCUUCACUUGGAGCUGUGGUAGAGGCUGCUGCUGAAUUAAUCCCCAGUGUUUUCUGUCAACAACCAUGUCCGGUGUUGUUCCUAAUUCACAAAAAAUGGCAUAUCUCAUUGAUUUGGUAAACCAAUUCAAACAUUGAUCUGGUCAAAUUUUGUGAACUCAUUAUUACAACAUAGUACAUAAGACUUUGUUUGGGAAGUGUUUUAAAUUUUAAAAUUUGGCAUUUCUUAAAAUCUUGACUAAACACAAAGUCAUAGUUUAAAAUUUUAUCGAAUGCCUCUAAUACUUUAAAUCAAGUGAAACGUGAAUGAAAUUAACAAAUAAGAAGAAUAAGAAAUAUAGUUUCACACUUAAGUAACAACUAAUACUAUAGAGAAAUGACCACAAGCUGGAAAGUCUUGACCAAUUUGAAAAAUCAUUUGAUGUAGUUGAAAUAAUUGAAUUUUGGAUAAAAUUCAUAACUGUCUCAACAUUAUUUUUUUUCCCUUUUUAUUUUUAUUGUUUGAAUAUUCAAGAGUUAAAACCAUUCCAAUGCUCCUUUUUGCCAUGUAUAAUUAAACUGAACCAACAAUUAGGAUAAGCACGAAAAAGAAGGAACCGAGAAGAAGAUAUCAACAAUAUUAACCGGUUUUAUUAUGGGACAACUCAUGAUGUUCAUAUUGAUCUAUUAUGCACCUUUGCAUCUAGCAUUAGCUAGACUCAUACUGUCCUAGCUCUACUAUAUCUUUUAUUUCAUUUCGAUCUUCUGAAACAAUCACAAACACUUUUCAUUAUUAUUAUUAUUAUGAAUCAAAUGGGACAUAAAUGAAAUUAACAAAUGAGAAGAGUGAAAAAGGUAAUUAACAAAAUUUCAAGCUCAUCGUUGCUAAAUAUUUUAUAAAUAAAAAUUGCCCAAGAAACGAGCCUUUAAAAGUGUACCUUUAUUUAAAAAUAAAUAAAGGUAAAUUAAAGUAUUGACUUAGUACAUAAAUAUCAACACGAUUCCAAUCCAACGCAUUUUUUUGUGGGUUUUGGUUGAAUAUAAUUCUAUUUAUAUCAAAUCCGUAUCAACUUGUGUAAUAUAUUUUACUAAUAGGUUAUUUUUAAAUCAACAUACAUAACACGAAUUUGACUCAAGUUAACCUUUAUAUUUAAUAAUCAUACCAAUUAACCUAAUUAUAAUUCUAACCGUUUAAUUAAUAUUUGAUUCAUUUUAAAUUUAUUUUUGAACAAAUAGUUAAUUAAAUUAUAACUAUAUUAACUUGUAAGAUUAAUUAUAUAAAUUUAUACAAAACUUAACUCAAUUAAAAAUUUGAUUUAAAUGAGUUAAAUAAAUUACAAAACAUGUUAUUUGUUUAAUAAUUACAUUGUAUUUAGGUUUAUGUUUUUUACUUUAUUAAUAUCAUUAUUAUGAUUGAGUCAACCUAUUUAGUAGAAUGUUUUAGUCUUGAUAUCACACAAAUUGUCAUCCCUAUCUCUAAUCUUGUCAAACAAAUAGUUUGAAGGACAUAUUUUUUUAACUAAAGAAAAUUAUUACCUUACAUAGAGUUUUAUUAAAAAAAAAAAAAAAAAAGCCAAAUAAAAAAAUGUAAUUAAAAAUAAUUAGAAAUUUAUGCAUUUUCAAAUUAUUUAAUAAAUUUAAAGAAGUGAAAUGGAUUUAAAUUGACUUAUAAAAAUAAGUUAUCAACUUCAAAUUUUUUUCCUUUCUAAUUUUUUUUAAAAUUUUUUUCCCUCACAUUUUUUUUCAUAGUUAUAGGAAACAAACAUAACCUAAUUAGGAUCCUACUAUCAUGUUUUUUUAUUCCCAAAAGUUUUUGGGUCUAACCUUUUUCUAAACUUAUUUCAAAGGGCAUCUAUAACACAAGAUAUUAAGUGUGCUUGCUCGACAUGUAGUCUUUCAUUGAUUUCCUUUUCGAUUAAAAACUUUUAGACAAGUCAGAUAUAUAGUUUUUGCUUUCUUAACAGAAACCAAAGUCUAAGUCUUUGCACAAAAUCCUAAUCAAAGAGAUCUUUUAGAAAUCUUAUUGGAAGAGAAUUUAAAACCAGAGUGGUGACAAAAGCACACGAACAAAUAAAAUUGGACAAAGAAAUUAAGCAUCUCGAUGAGUUGAUAAAUAUCUUUGUCAAUACUUCUACUUGAGAGAGAAAUACAUUAGAUUUCUACACUUUUGAAUAGUUGCCUUGAGUGACUCCAAUUAUUGGAAGCCAAGGUCAAGGUCGUUGAAGUUUGUCCAUUUUUUCCCCUUGGUCCCACAUUAUUUGCUUCUCCUUAAUUUCCUCCGGUUUGGGAAAAGGACAUUCACACGGUUUGGUGUAGGAACCACCCUUUCCUUUAGUAUCCAUGAUUACUUUUCUACCCAAUAAUGAGGAAAACAUUUAUGAAGGCCCCAUGUGAGGACUAUUAUUGGUGACUCUAGAAAUAGAGCUAUUCAAUUUCCCUCAUAAAUAGUGUAACAUCCAAAAUAAACUUUAGAGACAAAAUAGUAAAUUAUUAAUUAAUUAAACUCAUUAAAAAUAAACGAGUCAUUUUACAAUUAAAAAUCGUAUCAAUUAGAUUUUCAGUUUAUCUUCUUUAUUUAGAAAACUUUAUUAACAAAAAAUCAAAGAAUUGAAGAACGUAAGGUUAAAGAUUUGGAAGUCUAUAGUUUGAAGUUCAAUUAUUUUUUUUCAAGUAAGAUUCUAACCCUAGAUUAAUAUAUUAUAUUCAUUAGUUAGUUUUGACUGUGUUAGAUAUUUUUAGAAAAUUUUAAUUUAGAUUAUAAUUAGUUUAUUUAAUUUAUUUUAAGAUAUAAAAAAUUGAAAUUAUGAAUGUUGUUUCAUUGAUGAAAAUAGAGAAAUUCAAAAUUUUUUUAGAUGAAUAAAUCUAAACAAUGAAAUUUAAAAAAAUUAAAUGAUUAAAUAAGUAUAUGAUUAUAUGUGGCUUAAGGGAUUGAAAAAUAAUAAAAAGAAGAAUAGCAUGUUUUUGGAUUUUGGAUUUGAGGAACUUUUUAAUAAUAAAAAUAAUUAAGGUUUACUAUUAAUAAGAAUAAUGAUAAUAAUGAUAAUAAUGAUAAUAAUGAUAUUAAUAAUAAUAAGAAGAAGAAUUGUGUGAAGAAUAAUUUCAUUUUCAACGUAGAAAUGUGAUUGUCAAGGCCUCAGUGAAGAGAACGGUAACGGACCCUGCUGUAAACGACGAUGGGUCACGAGCAAACGGUGAAAUUGCGGAUGAACCCCACAACUGUAAAGUGCUUUUGACGCGUAAUGGGUUCCACCACUACCAUUAUUGGGGAAUAUUUCUGGUGGAUGAAAAGCCGCUUUUGGGUUCACGGUUGACUCAUUAAAUCUCCUACCUAUCUCUGAGUUUGUCAACUGAGACCACCGAGUUUUAUUUAUUUAUUUAUUUUUUUCUUUUCCUCGGUUCAAUUUUUGUUUCCAAUACGAGGAAAAGGGCUUUCAAGUCUGACACGUGGAAAGUCAGUGGGCAUCAUAAUUUUGUUACAUUUUUAGGGUUUGUUGGAGCUGCAAUAGGGACAAUAAUUUUUGUAUGGAUAAGCUACAAAUCAGAUAUCGAAUCUAAAACAAAUGUUUAAUGGUGCAACUAAAAGAUGUUUUUUCAAACAUUUUAUUUAUAUUUUUUAUGUGAAAUAUGUUUUUUUUUCUCCCAAAGAAUAGAAAACUAUUUUUAAAAAAAUGUUAUUAACAAAAUCUAAGUAUAAAAUCAAUUAAAAACAAUGAGAUUUUUUUCUUAAAAUUUUCUAUGAUAAGAUAACAUUAGAAUGACACUAUUAGCAAAAUAAAAAUUUAAAGCUAAAUAUACAUUCCUACAAUGUGAAUAAUUAAAUAGCACACAAUCUAAUAUAAUUAUUUAAUUUAUUUCUAAAUUAGAUAUUAUUUAAUUAAUUACCAAAAUUUAGAAAAAAAAAAAAUCAAACUCAAAAUUAAAGAGAACCUAAAUUUUUUUAAAAAAAAUUAUUUAAUAAAAUGUCAAAUACAAAAUUACCAAAAAAAAAUUAACAUUAUUAGAAAAGUUAUAAUAAAAUUAAAAUUUACAUUUAAUGCAAGAAAGAAAAAUAAAUAAAAUGUUGAAUGCAUGAAAAAAAUUAAAUUGAACUUUUAAAACUCAAAAUUAAAUUUAUGGGGUUUCUAUUUUAUUUUUUAUUAUUCGAAAACCUUAUUUAUAUCUAUGAGAUUUUUUAGGGAACUCGCCCAUCUACUGGCUUGGUCAAUGUAAUAUAAACUUCUUUUAAUCAUAUAAAUGUAUUUUAAAAUCAUGAAUAUUGAUUGUGCUCAAAGUAAAUAAUAUCGUAAAUACCUAUUCUGUUCAAAGUGGAUAAUAUCUACAUAAGAAAGAGCAAAUUAUUAUAAAUGAUAUUAAAAUCAAUCCUUGAAUAUGCGAGACUACCUAAAUGGUCUUAGAGGGAUGUUUAUGUGUUUGACCUUUGCAUGGUAUAAGUAAUGAUAUCUAUCUUAUCACCGACCAAUCAUGAAAUAUGAUAUAAUAUCCAUAUUUUAUCUUAUUUUAUACUAUAUCCGGUUAACCAAACAUGACCUAAGGUUAAUUGUUGUAACUAGUCAAGUUUUAGCCAUGACGGAUGCAUACUCAAUCAUGGUAUUAUCUCAGCCUUUUGGGCUUCCAGGACUGGUCCUUUAAAUUUGGGCUCAAACCCAACCUAAUGGAAGAGGGCCUUAACUCAGUUCAUGGGCCUGUCUAGCCUGCCGCGCUGGUUUCCAACUGGCUCGACCCAGCCUAGACUAGGGGUCGUGCCCGUCCACUAUAUUGUUAUAAUUUUUAUAGGAUCAUAGGUGAUUUAUUCUUUGAAUUUUAUAGUAAAGAGACAAAGCUUGAUAAUAAGAAUUUGGACAUUGUCUAAAAAAUUUUAAGGGUGUUUAGCAUCUAAAUUUUGAGAAUUUCUUUGGCUAUAAAAAAAUUUGAGAAAAACUACAAAGAAAAUAAAAUAAAGAAAAAAAGUAAAAAGGAAAAAAAAUGAUGAAAAAUAAUGAAUAAAUUUAAAGUUCAUGCGAUAUUUUUAUAUGUUAUUUAAAAAAAAUUAACUCUUAUAUAUAAAGGUUGAAUAAUUUGAAAAUAUAUAGAUUUCUAAUUAUAUUAAAUUUUCUUACAUAUUUUUAAUGAUAAAAUCAAAUAUGAAAUCAAACAUGAGAAUAUAAUUUUUCUUAAUAAUUUUUAUUUUUAUUUUUUUAACAUUUUUCUUUCUUUUUAUGAUACAUACUCUUAAGUCUAAUCCAAUGAGGUAGAGGUAGUUGUACAUAUAAGGUCCAACUAAUGUUGGUUGAUGUGGGACAUUGAACUUUCGUCUGUCCUAUGUAGUGAACCUACAGAACGAGCAUCCCUAUUCAAUUGUUAAUACUCAAGUCUAGGGUGGGCUAAACCAAAUCUUAUCAUGAUAUCAAAUUAUAUGAGGCCACAUACACUCUCAUGAAAAGCCUAAGCUAAUGGGGUAAAGGUAGCUCCACGUAGAAAACCUAACCAACAUUAGUAAUCAAUUGAAAUGGGACAUUAGACUUUUGUGCUUCCUACUUAACAUUGUUUGAGUUUCUAACAAGGUAAACAACCCUAUUCAAAUAUUUAAUUAUUAGUAGAUCAAGAAUUUGUUAGGUAUUGAUUUUAGGAAUCAUUUCUAAUAUUUUUAGCACUUGGAAAUUUUUAUUAAAAGAGUUAUUUUCUAGUAUUAGAAAUACUAGAAAUGAUUCCUAGAAACCCUAUUCAUUUUAUUUUUUAUUUUUUUUGCUCUUUCUCUAUAAGAGCAAUAUAAAGAGAAUACAACAAGAAGGUAGAUAUUGUUGACAAGAAAGGGAAUAAUUUGUAUAAUGGAAUCUGUAUACACAAUUGCUUUCUUUAAAUGCUUAUAACCCAUAUAUGAUCUAAAUUUGUCUAGAAAUGUCUAAGGAAAGUUGACCUUAUAGAGUAGUAAUCUGCUCCCUUUAGUUAUGCCUGUAACGUAGGGAUUAUACAACUCAUGUCCACACUCUCCCUCAAGUUGGUGCAUAGAUGUCGUUGAUGCCCAACUGCAUACCAUCUUAGUGAGGAUGUCUGCUAGUUGGUCUUCUGAUUUGAAAAAUGGGAAUCAGAUUAUAUUAACUUCUAAGUUUUUCUUGAUAAAAUGUCGGUCUACUUCCACAUGCUUAGUUCAAUCAUGUUGGACUAGGUUAUAAGCAAUAUCAAUGGCUGUCUUGUUAUCACAAAGCAAGUUCAUCUCGCAACAAGGAGAAUAGCCAAUUUCUAUCAAUAAUCUUCUCAGCCAGAGUAACUCACACAACCCCUUAGCCAUUCCUCGAAACUCCGCCUCUGCACUAAAUAGUGCUACUGAUUCGUGCCCGAUUGGUGUUCCAAUUGAUUCAACUCAAUUGAUGUGCUUUGAUCUCAAUCCUCAAACGGGAGUAAUCAACAAAAUUUAUAAACCUAUUUCACCAUAUACUGGGGUAGCAUUUAGCUAGCAUAGUAUAGUGGCUCUAGGAUCGUCCACAGAGAUGGGUUUUUACAUCGCAAUUGAUAUUAGUUCAAAAAUUGAAUUGGUACUUUUUCUUUUCUUUGUUAGCUUUAAAAGAAGACAUAAGUUUGAAUGAAAACGGAUGGUAUUAAGCUAACCUAACAUAAAGUAACUGAUUUUACUUACAAAGAAAAGUGUUUCUUGGAGUUUUAGAUCACUAGGCUCAGAUUCCUCAUACAAAAAGGGAGUUCCGGUCACUUGCUUCUUUUCCUCGCAUUAGAGAAUUAACAUAUAGUUAAUUCUCUAACCGGUGUGGUACAGAUGCUUCCCAUUAAUGGGUUCAAACACUAAAUUUCUCUCACUGAUGCACCUUGCAAUGGGCUCAUACCUCUCACCAAGCACUUUCCAUUCAAGGUGAUCUUUAACCUUGGAUUACCCGUCAAAAGCGAACAAGAGAUAACAAUUAGACCUCCAUGGAGCAAGAUUGCAAGCAAUAAGAAUCCAUGGAAUUCGAAAGCUUACCAAAUAUUGGCUAUUCUAGAAAAUCCUACCUUCAAACCACCUACCAAAAGCUCGCAAGAGAUAAACUAGUGCAUCUCUAUGGACGGAGAUCACUUGCCUUACCAAGUGUUAGCUCAGGUGAAUUGAAGGCGUUUUAAGUUAACUAAAAAGAUAAAAACCAUUAACAGGUCACACUUUCUCUUCAUUAAAAACUAAAACAACAAAACUUCCAAUUUAUGCAUGUGGAAACUUACCCGGCUUUCCUCACUCCAAGAGACGAAGAGCCUAGCCUCUCAUCCUCUGAGGAAAAAUCCUCAGAGUUUGGUUGGCUAGAAAGAAAAAGAAAAUGAAAAUGAAAGAGAAGGAAAAACAAAGCAAAGCUCUGUAUAUUCUAUAUACUUAUAUAUCUAUAUCUUUUACAAUGGAUGCAAGGGAAUAUAUAUAGAGAAGUUUUUCCAACCUUCCUAUCUAAGAAAUCUUAUGGUUGGUGGAUUACAAGGAGAAGAAUGGAAAUUUAUACAAAAAUAUCUUAAGAAAAGAUCUAAAAGAGUUGGUGCACAAAUAUCCCAGUUCGCAUGUAGAUUUCGCACGUUGCAUGGUGACUUGCGAAAAUCUCGCAAGUUGAUUUCGCAACUUGGAAUCCAUUUUCGCACGUUGAGCUCCAAGUUCGCAAGUUGCAAAAUCACUUUCGCAAGUUGGGUUUCUCUGUGACUGUGCGGCUGUAUUCCAUUUCCAUUUCGCAAGGUAGGCUUUAAUUUCGCACGUUGGAGUUCCAAAUUCGCAGAUGCGAAUUGUCCUUCAACUGGGUGUAUUUGUCUUGNNNNNNNNNNNNNNNNNNNNNNNNNNNNNNNNNNNNNNNNNNNNNNNNNNNNNNNNNNNNNNNNNNNNNNNNNNNNNNNNNNNNNNNNNNNNNNNNNNNNUAAAAACCAUUAACAGGUCACACUUUCUCUUCAUUAAAAACUAAAACAACAAAACUUCCAAUUUAUGCAUGUGGAAACUUACCCGGCUUUCCUCACUCCAAGAGACGAAGAGCCUAGCCUCUCAUCCUCUGAGGAAAAAUCCUCAGAGUUUGGUUGGCUAGAAAGAAAAAGAAAAUGAAAAUGAAAGAGAAGGAAAAACAAAGCAAAGCUCUGUAUAUUCUAUAUACUUAUAUAUCUAUAUCUUUUACAAUGGAUGCAAGGGAAUAUAUAUAGAGAAGUUUUUCCAACCUUCCUAUCUAAGAAAUCUUAUGGUUGGUGGAUUACAAGGAGAAGAAUGGAAAUUUAUACAAAAAUAUCUUAAGAAAAGAUCUAAAAGAGUUGGUGCACAAAUAUCCCAGUUCGCAUGUAGAUUUCGCACGUUGCAUGGUGACUUGCGAAAAUCUCGCAAGUUGAUUUCGCAACUUGGAAUCCAUUUUCGCACGUUGAGCUCCAAGUUCGCAAGUUGCAAAAUCACUUUCGCAAGUUGGGUUUCUCUGUGACUGUGCGGCUGUAUUCCAUUUCCAUUUCGCAAGGUAGGCUUUAAUUUCGCACGUUGGAGUUCCAAAUUCGCAAGAUGCGAAUUUGUCCUUCAACUGGGUGUAUUUGUCUUGUGAAAGCCAUAUCUUCCUCAUUUCAGCUCCAAUUCGUACACUGUUUGAAGCGUUGGAUUCUUGACUUCCUGAGCUUUGAAAUGGUAUAUAGCAUGUAGAAAAUGGACUUCGGGAAGUGCUCCAAAAGUGUGAAAGAAGACUGAAGCUGCUGUCCUCUAUUUUCUUCACUCUAUUUUUCCUCUCUCCGUUGUUCUUUCCUUGCAUACUUUGAACGAAUUUGGCAAAGGGCUAUGGAGCUCCAAAGCUUGGUUCUUCAUGAAUUUGAGCUUCCAAAAGCUUUGCCAUGAACUAUAUACAGCUCUCCCUCAUUCUUGGAUUGCUUUGGUGUAGCUAAAAGCUAUCAAAAACACCAAAACUUAACACAAUUUGCUUAGAAACGAUUGCAAGGGUCCUUAACAUGUCAAUUGAGUUAAAAGGUAAUAAUUACUACUCAAGAGUGUUUAAAAGAGUUAAUUACAAGCUACAAAAUAGCACUUUUUGAGUAGUAAUCAGCUACUACUUUAUGUUUUUUUUACUUCGACAUGUUUUCAAGUUUCUCCAACAAAUGUGAGGUAACCUGAUGUGGAUUUCCUAUCGGAGAUAUUUCUUGCCCAAUCAACGUCGAUAUACCCUAUAAUUUCCAGGUACCCAUUCUUUGAGAACAUAAUUCUCUUCCCUAGGGUUCCCUUAAGGUAUCUUAAAAUUUGAGUCACUACAUUCAUAUGAUCUUCACUAGGGCAAUGCAUGAACUGAUUCACUACACUGACCGCAUAGACAAUAUCAGGUCGGGUAUGUGAAAGAUAAAUUAGUUUUCCAACCAAUCUCUGAUAUUUGCCUUUAUCAGUGGGAAUCUGGUCAGGGUAUUCUCCAAGCCUAUGAUUCUAUUGUAUUGGAACAACUGUCAGUUUACAGUCUAGCAAUCCAACUUUUGAUAAUAGAUCGAGAGUAUACUUUCGUUGGGAAAGAAAGAUACCUCGUUUAGAUUGAGCCACCCGAAUUCCUAGAAAAUAUUUCAACCAACCCAAACUCUUUAUUUCAAACUUUGCUGCCAACUGUUUUUUAAGUUUCGCAACUUCCUCGGUAUCAUUACAUGUGAUGAUCAUAUCAUCUACAUACACUAUUAGUGUUGUUACCUUGCCUUGUCGACGCUUUAGAAAUAGAGUGUGGUCAUAAUUGCUUUGUUGAAACCCAUACUUUCUCAUUGCUAGGUUGAGGCGUCCAAACCAAGCUUGUGGAGACUAUUUCAAGCCGUACAGGGUGGGCCACAGUUUACACACUGUCUUGCCAGACGUUUCAAUGUACCCAUGGGGAUAUCCAUAUAAAUUUCUUCUUCGAGGUCACUAUGGAGGAACACAUUCUUUACAUCAAAUUGGAGUAGCGACCAAUCAAGAUUCACUACAAUAAAUAGAAGGACUCUUAUAGUGUUCAACUUGGCUACAAGUGAAAAGGUCUCCAUAUAGUCAACUCCAUAAGUCUACGUAUAUUAUUUCGCUACAAGCCUCACUUUUUAGCACUCAAUUGACCCAUCCACCUUGUAUUUGAUGGAGAAUACCCAUUUGCACCCCACUAUCUUGUGGCAUUCUAGUAAAGAGACAAGAAUCCACGUCUUGUUUUUCAACAAUGCUUCCAUUUCUUCCUUUAUUGGUUGGACCCACCUAGGGUCUUGUAGAGCCUCCUCUAUGCUUGUUUGAAUGUGAUGCGCUGAUAAUGCAUUAGAAAAGCUCUUUAAGGGUUCUGAGAGCUUCUUUGUUGAGACGUAAUUGGCAAUUGGGUACUUUGAUUUGUGUGUCUCAAUAUUUGGAGAAUAGCAUUUUGGUAGUUUGCCAUGAUUGUGCUUGGGAGGUAACUAAUAACCAUCGUCAGUUAAAUGUUUUGUGGCAAGAGGAAAACUUACCUUAGGAACCUCUUCAGGAAUAUUCUCAGAAGUUGGGUCAUGAGGUACUUUAGAAUGAGGGGGUGUCUCAGGAAUUGGAGUUGGUGUCUCAGUAGUCAGCAUUGGUGGCUCUGUAGCUAUUCCAUAUCCAUGGUAAUUGGUGGCUCUGUAAUCAGUGGGAUGUCUGGGAUGUCUUUGAACCAAUUCAACUCUUCAUCGUGUGUCUUCCCCUUAAGAGAAGAAUUGGAUGGAUGAUAGAACAUCUCAGACUCGAGGAAUGUGACAUCCAUAGUAACAUAGAGCCGCAUGUUUGUUGGAUCAUAGCACCAGUAACCUUUUUUAUUGGUGGCAUAGCCUAGAAAGAGACAACGACAAGCACAAGGAUCGAGUUUAGUGCGCUGGUUGCAGUGAAGAUGAACAUAGACAACGCAUCCAAAGGUUCGGGGAAGAAGCGUCGUAGUCGAAAGUACUGAUAUACUCGAGGCUAAGGCCUAUAGAGGUGUUUUGAAAUCCAGAAUUUGGAAUGUCAUUCGAUUAAUGAGAUGCACAAUAAUUGUAACCGCAUUAGGCCAGUAAGGACUAGGUACAUGCGCACUUAAUAGGAGGACACGUGUGGUCUCGAGAAUAUGGCGAUUCUUACGUUCUACUACACCGUUUUGCUCUGGAGUAUGAGGACACGAGGUUUGAUGUAUCAACCCAUGUUGGUGGAAGUACUUCUGGAAUUGUCGAUUGAUGUAUUCAGUGCCAUUAUCAAAGGGAAAAACUCUGAGUUUGGCAGAAAAUUGGGUUUGAGUCAUUGUGUGAAAAGAGUAGAAGACAGUAAAAACCUCAUCUUUGUUUGUCAGUAGGUAGAGCCACAUCAUUCAAGUGCAAUCAUCAACAAAGAGAACAAAUCAGCGAUAACCCGAUAGAGUAGAUUUUAGGGAUGGUCCCCACACAUCAGAAUGAAUUAAGCUAAAAGGUACAUCACUCUUAUUCUUAUGUAAAUGAUAAAUUAUCCGGUGACUUUUGGCCAAAAUACAAGUUUCACAUUGAAAAUCUGAGAUAGAGAAAUCAGAAAAUAAACUAGGUAGUAAAUGCUUCAAAUAUCCAAAUGACGGAUGGUUGAGUCGUCGAUGCCAAAGUCAGAUCUGUUCUAUUCUAGAAUCACCCGACUAUCCCACAUGAUGAGUUUGUCCCAUUUUUAACAGAGCCAUGUUAAAAAUCUCUUAUCUUUCUUUAUUUUCAUGUGUUUGGUUUGGUUAAUGCAGGAGAUCUCCAUCCAAUCUGCAUUUCGCUUAACCAUCCGACAUCAGAAAAUGGAUACAAACUAGAAGUACUUUGCCCUUCCCUACUAUGCAGCCGCUUGUCACCAAAAAUGGCAAGUCCUGGUUGAACUCCAGAAGUCUGCUCAUGGGUGAAAUUCAUCUACAUCCCCAAAAAAUCUCCACCAUACCACUUUCUUGGAAAAUUUGGUUGGAAUCCUGGCAAACACUUGCACAAAAUCCGAUUUCUACUAUUUCAACUGGCAAAACUCUCACUGGGAUUAUUCCCACUGCACCUAUCUUUUGGUUUCUGGAAAAGCGAAUACCAAGAGGCCGUCUCAUUACGGAACUGUAAAUGUUGUAUUUUGCCGAAAAAUUUCAUCACCAACCUCCUAUAAUAAAGAGAGGUUGUAUCUUGAAAGUCAUAAUCAUAUCCUCCAAGUGAGCUUUUUCUUUUAUCAUCACUGAUAAUGGUAGAUCAAAACCAAACUAGAGCACUGAUGAAAAGAUUGAAAUUGCAUUGGGUUCUUUUAAGAUUGAAGAAGAGAACAGUGGAAAAGGCAUUAUGGGUAAAAGAAUUGUCAAACUUGCAAGAUUUGUUUCUAUUUCUUUUGGUCAUUGGUCAAGUAGUCAUUACUUUUUUAUUUUUUAUUUUAUUUUUAUUUUUUAAAAUCAACUCUUGAUUCAAUGAUUUCACAAUGCAUGUAUCAAUUGGAUGAUGAUUCUUGAAUUAGAAAUUUCCUUCCACACAAUAUGAUUAUAAAUAAAUACACAAGAAAAAUGAGCAACAGUACUACCAAAGAAUCAAACAGUUUUAGGUCUACUUCGUCUUGCGGCCUUAAGGCAAAAAUAUAGAAAAUAAGAUGGGAAGUUAGUGAUUUACAAUUGGUGUAGAGAACAAUCGAAUAGAUAUUCAUGAAAUCAAUUUACACUAAAACACACCUGUGAUUAUGUCCUAAGAAAUCCAAUUCUGAUGCAACAUAUAUGAAGUUGAUAACACCAACAAACAAGACUGAACUUAUGGCUGAUUCUCCCUAACUAUCUACCUUCUUCUAAGCUGACAGUUAUCUCAUUGUUGGAGCAUGUUUUCGGAUUGGUGGAAGAGGAAGGAGCUAAGCUGGGCGGCCCUCUUCUCACAACAAAGGCUGGUUGCUAGGGUAUUGGAAGUGUGGCUAUCUCACUAUUGAGCAUGAGAAAUGCAUUGGGCAAGGUGGGGCGAUCACUUGGGUCUUCUUGUACACACAACAACCCAACAUUUACACACCUCAAGAAUUCAUUAGUGUUGCAUGUUUCACUUAGUGUCUGGUCCAUCAAAUCAUACACCUUGUCUUCUUUCCACAAUCUCCAUGCUUGGAACAAUUCUCUUGAUAUUAAAAUUAGAUUUGCUAAAGUAAAAUGAUAGGUUGGGCAAUCAUAUCAAUUUGAUAUAUAAUAUAAAGAUUUUUUUUCUAGGGGAGGUCAUCAAUUCAAACCUCAUUGUUUGUUUAUUUUCUUUAUUUACUAAGCUUACAUGCAAAUCUAAAGAAGGCCACUUGUGAGAUAAUGUUGAAUGACAUGUCCUAGGAGCUGCUGACAUGGAGCUAAGUAGAAUGAAGUGGAAGUAGUUAAAAUAAGUUAGUCAUGUGGAAGAUUUACCUAUUCCUUAGGAAGUAUUUGUUGGUUUGUUUUUAUUCUUUAGGAAGUAUCUAUAGGUAGCAUGUUUGUUGCUAUUUUUAUGUUUUUCUGUUUUAAGCUAGCUGUAUAAAUAAGUGCUUUGAAGCUUAAUAAAAUAUAACUUCAGAUUCCUCAACAUUAUGUUGCUUCUUGAGAGUUUCUACCCUUUGUUUUUAUCAAAACCUACAAAUUGGUAUCAGAGUUGUUGUUAUUGAGUAACCUGUGAGGUGAGUGAGCCUAUACACCACCAUCUACCCUAUCCAAAACAAUAUCCAUGUUGUUCUUGAGUAACCUGUGAGGUGAGUGAGCCUAUACACCACCAUCUACCCUAUCCAAAACAAUAUCCAGAAUGACCUCAGAAGCUUCACUGAAUGCAUUGGCACCUCCAGUGUUUGAUGGAAUAAAUUAUCAACUGUGGGUUGUCUGUAUGGAAGCCUACCUUGAUGCUAGUGAUCUGUGGGAAGCUGUUAGUGAGGAAUAUGAAGUUCCUCCCCUGUCCGACAAUCCAACUAUGGCUCAGAUAAAACUACACAAUGAGAGGAGGCAAAGGAAAUCAAAGGCAAAAGCUAGUCUAUUUGUAGCUGUCUCAUCUACAAUUUUCACCAGAAUCAUGGCAUUGAAGACGAAAAAUGAAAUAUGGAACUUCCUGAAGAAGGAAUAUGAAGGAAAUGAAUGAGUCAAAGGUAUGCAAGUGCUGAACCUGAUUAGAGAGUUUGAGAUGCAAAGGAUGAAAGAAUCAGAAACAAUCAAGGAUUACUUAGACAGACUUCUUAGUAUUGUUAACAAAGUAAGACUUCUUGGUACUGACUUUUCUGAUUCUAGAAUAGUUCAAAAAAAUUUUAUAACAGUUCCUGAAAAGUUUGAGACUACAAUAUCAUCUCUAGAAAACUCAAAAGAUGUGUCAAGUAUCACCUUGGCAGAGCUGUUGAAUGCAUUACAGGCUCAAGAACAAAGGAGGCUUAUGAGACAAGAAGAAUAUGUGGAGGGUGCAUUUCAGGCCAUAUCUCAGUACAAGAAAGAAAUGCAAAGCAACAAUAACAGCAGCAACAACACUCAAAAGUUUCCACCAUGUCCUUACUGUAAAAAAUCCAAUCAUCCACAAAAAAAGUGUUGGUGGAGGUUGGAUGUAAAAUGUCACAAGUGUGGUCAGCUAGGGCAUGUGGAAAGAAUAUGCAAAUCUCAACAGCAGCUAGGAGAAGUCAAGGCUGCUGUGGAAGAACUUCAAGAUGAGCAACUGUUUGUGGUAUCAUGCUUUUUCACUAGCAGCUCCCUAGAAACUUGGCUUAUAGACAGUGGUUGUACAAACCAUAUGACUUAUGAUCAAGGGCUCUUUAAGGAACUUGACAAAACUGUUACUUCCAAAGUUAGAGUUGGAAAUGGAGCAUAUCUUGCAGUAAAAGGCAAAGGCACCAUGGCAAUUGAAGGCCACACAGGUUUGAAAUUAAUCUCUAAUGUCUUAUAUGUUCCUGAGAUUAAUCAAAAUUUGCUGAGUGUUGGUCAGCUGUUGGAAAAAGGCUAUAAGGUGUUGUUUGAGGACAAUCAUUGCAUGAUUGCUAAUGGACAAGGCAGAGAGGUAUUUAUAAUCCAAAUGAAAGACAAAAGCUUUGCCUUGGAUUUGAUGCAAGAAGAGCAAGUUGAAAUUCACAAAGAAAAAACAAUACAAUGCUUUGGCAUAGGCGUUUGGGGCACUUUCAUCAUACCGCCCUGCUCUUUAUGAAGAAGAAGGAUCUUGGAAAAGGCUUGCCUGAAUUAGAGGUGAAGCCUCCUACUUGUGUAGCUUAUCAAUACGGGAAACAAACAAGACUUCCUUUCCCACAAAACAAGGCCUAGAGAGCUACUCAGAAAUUGCAGUUAGUACACACUGAUGUGGAAGGACCUCAAAUAACACCAUCACUAAAUGGCAGUAAGUUCUAUAUUGCUUUCAUUGAUGAUCACACAAGAAUGUGCUGAAUUUAUUUCAUGAAAUUUAAAUAUGAAGUUGCUAACAUCUUUUGGAAGUUUAAAGCUUGGGAUGAAAAUCAAAGUAAAUGUAAAAUGCAAGUGAUCAGGUCUGAUAAUGGAACUGAAUACACCUCGGAGAAAUUUAACAAAUUUUGUGAAGAUGCAGGCAUUGAGCACCAGCUUACAACACCUUAUACCCCUCAACAGAAUGGAGUCGUUGAGAGGAAAAAUAGAACACUUAUGGAAAUGACAAGGUGUUUGCUGCAUGACAAAUGGCUGCCAAAGAAAUUCUGGGCUGAGGCUGCACAUACAUCAAUCUUUCUGCUGAAUAGACUGCCAACAAAAGCUUUGCAACAAAAUACUCCAUUUGAAGCAUGGUAUGGCUAUAAACCAAGGCUACAAAAUUUAAAAACAUUUAGUUGUCUUUGUUUCUCUUAUAUUCCACAUGUUAAGAGAGACAAAUUGGAUAAAAAAGCUGAAGUUGGGAUCUUUAUAGGCUAUAGCUCAAUAUCAAAGGCCUAUAGAAUCUACCUUCCAGAAAAUAACAAAGUGAUAGUUAGCAAAGAUGUCAAAUUCUUUGAAUCAGAAAGUUGGAGUUGGGAGAAUGAUAAGAAGCUUGAGUUUAAAGAGAAUCUUGAGUUCCAAAAGGACCUUGAGUUUCAGGAGGAGCAUGACAAUAUUGAUGAUGAACCUAUCAGGGGAACCAAAUCACUCUCUAACAUCUAUCAGAGGUGCAAUGUUGCUAUAAUAGAGCCUGCAGGGUAUGAAGAAGCUACAACUGAUAAAAAAUGGAUGGCUACAAUGAAGGAGGAGCUUAAAAUGAUUUUGAUGGACAAACCGACACACAAAAGGGCAAUUGGAGUCAAGUGGGUUUAUAGAACCAAACUCAAUUCCGAUGGUUCUAUAAACAAACAUAAGGCAAGACUAGUUGUCAAAGGAUAUGCUCAGAUGUUUGGGGUGGAUUUCUCUUAGACUUUUGCCCCAGUUGCUAGAUUGGACACUAUAAGAAUGUUGUUGGCUCUUGCUGCUCAAAAAGGCUGGAAUAUACAUCAGAUGGAUGUCAAAUCAGCCUUCUUGAAUGGAUACUUGGAGGAAGAAAUUUUUGUGGAGCAGCCUGAAGGUUUUAUUGUUCAAGGAAUGGAGGAGAAAGUAUAUUUGCUGAAAAAGGCCUUGUAUGGUUUAAAACAAGCACCAAGGGACUGGUACAGUAGGAUUGAUUCACAUUUGUUAGGCUUAGGCUUUACAAAAAGCCUAAGUGAAUUUACUCUAUACUUCAGGAAGGUUUGUGAUGAAACACUUGUGGUAUCCUUAUACAUUGAUGAUCUACUUGUGACAGGAAGCAGUAUGGAGCAAAUUGUUAAUUUCAAAAAGGAAAUGAAUGAUGUUUUUGAGAUGACUGAUCUUGGAAGGAUGACAUUCUUUCUUGGCAUGGAGGUACAACAAAAAUAGAAUGAGAUCUUCAUAUGUCAACAAAAAUAUGCCAAGGAAAUCCUGAAAAAGUUCAAGAUGGAAGAGUGCAAUCCAAGUGCAACUCCAAUGAAUCAAAAUGAGAAGUUUUGCAAAAAAGAUGGAGCUGCAAAAGCUGAUGAAAGGCUUUACAAGACCAUUAUUGGGCGCUUGAUGUACCUAACAGCAACUAGACCAGAUAUUAUGAAUGCAGUAAGUUUACUCUCAAGGUACAUGCAUUGUGCUAGUGAAAUUCACUUUCAAGCAGCAAAAAGAAUUGUUAGAUAUGUCAAGGGUACAAUUGACUAUGGUUUGAGGUUUUGUCAAGUUAAAAACUUUACUCUUCAUGGUUAUUCAGAUAGUGAUUGGGCAGGUUGUGUUGAUGACAUGAGAAGUACUUUAGGUUAUUGUUUCAGCUUUGGUUCUGCUAUUUUUGCAUGGUGUUCCAAAAAGCAAGAAGUCAUAGCCCAAUCCACAGCAGAAGCAGAAUAUGUAGCUACUGCUGCUGCUAUGAAUCAGGCUUUCUGGAUCAGGAAAUUGAUGGCUGACUUGUUUAUGGAGCAAAAGAAAAGCACACAAAUACUCGUAGACAACCAAGCUGCAAUUUCAAUUGCAAAUAAUCCGGUGUUCCAUGGCAAAACAAAACAUUUCAAGCUAAAACUCUAUUUACUAAGAGAGGUACAGAAAGAGGGAGAAAUACAGUUGGUCUACUACAAAACAGAAAGUCAAAAUGUUGAUAUCUUAACCAAACUACUUCUCAAAGCUAGAUAUGAGUUCUUGAGGCAAAGACUUGGAGUCUGCAGCUCCAGAGACAAGGAGGAGUGUUGAAUGACAUGUCCUAGGAGCUGCUGACAUGGAGCUGAGUAGAAUGAAGUGGAAGUAGUCAAAAUAAGUUAGUCAUGUGGAAAAUUUACCUAUUCCUUAGGAAGUAUUUGUUGGUUUGUUUCUAUUCUUUAGGAAGUAUCUAUAGGUAGCAAGUUUGUUGCUAUUUUUAUGUUUUUCUGUUUUAAGCUAGCUGUAUAAAUAAGUGCUUUGCAGCUUAAUAAAAUAUAACUUCAGAUUCCUCAACGUUUUGUUGCUUCUUGAGAGUUUCUACCCUUUGUUUCUAUCAAAACCUACAGAUAAGGUAUUGGCCCACCAUCACAUGAUAGUUUAAGCUUUGGGUUGAAUUGAUAAUUUAACAAAGAAUGACUAAAAGAUAAAUCAUCAUGAGAUAUUCAAGCCACUUACAUAACCUAAAAGGCUCAUAGCUUGGUCAGAUUGAUAAAAUCCUGUGUUCCUCUUCCCACUGAUGAUCUCAAGUACAAUAACACCAAAGCAAAAAACAUCAGAUUUUACUAAGAAAAACCCAUCUAGCACAUAUUCUGGAGACAUAUAGCCACUGCAUUACAUGGAAUGUUAAAAAGUAAUCAGUUGAUUAGGUAUAUGCCAAGGCAAAUAUCUUUCCCCAUGCAUACAAUACUUACUAAGUGCCCACUACUUUGUUUGUGUUUGCCUCUGUUUGCUUGCUCUCAAAGAUCCUGGCCAAGCUGAAGUCUGAAAUUUUGGGAUUCAUAUCCCCAUCUAAUAGAAUGUUGCUCGUCUUCAAGUCCCUGUGAAUGAUCUUCAACCUUGAAUCUUGGUGAAGAUAAAUUAGCCCUCGAGCAAUUCCCAAAAUGAUGUCGAAGCGACUCUCCCAGUUUAGUAACACGCAUAGCAUUCGAUCUUGCCCAGUUGCCAUUAGAAAGAAAAAUUUUAGUGGCAUGGUUCAUUCAGUUAGAUCCUGUCUAUCAGUUCAUGGCACGUAUGCAAUGAUACAACAAAAGUAGGGACUUGACGUAGGUUUAGAGGCAAACCAAAUAUGAAAGAGUCUAAGCUUUUGUUGGGCAUAUAUUCAUAAAGUAAAAUCUUCUCAUCUCCUUCAAUACAAUAGCCCAGAAGUCUAACCAGAUUUCGAUGCUGAAGUUUGGCAAUCAACACAACCUCAUUCUUAAAUUCCACUAGGCUUUGCCUUGAAGCACUUGAGAGUCUCUUCACAGCUGCUUCUUUCCCAUCUGGAAAUUUGCCCUAGAAGCCACAAUGCAUAUGCAUUAGACAUUGAUAAUCAGAAAUCAGUUGAAAAUAUGAGCAUUGUUUGAAAUAAGUUAUAUUACCUUGUAAACCGGCCCAAAGCCCCCUUGUCCAAGCUUAUGCGAAUCUAAAAAGUUAUCCGUAGCAGCCAGGAUGUCUUUUAAGUCGAAAAAUGGUACAUCAAUGCCUUUCUUAUCCUCAUCUUUGAAUUCCUUCAAGUCUAUUAAGUGUUUCACACGACUUUCACUAUCAUACAAGUGCAGCACAGGAUUUGCCCUGUUUCCUGAAUUAAAAAAAAAAGAAAAUAUUAUAUAGAAAACCUCUGCAAUUUUCUCAAUUUUGCCAGGUACAAUUUGAAAAGAAAAUAGCGGAAGAUCCAUGGUAGAGCUUAUGGCACAAAGAUUACCUUUCCUUUUGGUGAUGUUUCUUUUGCGCAAAUAAGCAAUAUAACCAAUGGUGCUUAAAAGCGCAACUAGAACAACAACAAUUGUUAUGCCUACCACAACUACCGGAGAUGAUAAUGACGACAUCUUAUUGCCAAGGUCUAAAACAAAGAAGAACCACUCUCAUUCAUGGAAAAGGCAAUGCAUCUAUCAUUACUAACCUCUAUGUCUUUCAUUGGAAAAUAAGUUUAAAUGACCAAAACCAAGCAAAAAGAAAGUAUUGAGUUCAACUUCUCACAUACCUAGAAAGCAAAUUUAGAAAUAUACUAGGUCUGUAGCUCACCUUGUGUAAAAUCUAAACUUGAUCCAUUUCACUUAAAUUUUUCACUGCAAAAGCACUUAGUGGUUCCAUUUUGUGUUCUGCAAUUUGAAUUAGGCCAAUCCUUGCAGUCUGCUGAUGAGGUACACACUAGCUCCAAUGGUGGAUCCCAACUGAUCUCUAUCUCAAUGCUAUUUUCCAAUGACUUCUCAGAGCCAAAAUUGUCGAUUUUGACCACUGUGCAGACAUUGGUCAUGUGAAAAGGCAGGUUUAGUGGUGGAAUUUUGUUGAUAAGACUUCGAGAACUGCAAUCUAAUUCUUUAAGUUAGAUUACAAAUGUUAAUGUCUCUAGAUUAAUGCUAGUUACCCGAUAGGUGCCACCAAGUACCUUGAACUGAACCUGGCCCGUGGUAAUGUUGCAUUCAAAAUUAAAGUACAUGGGAUCACCACACUUUGAUCCAGUGCUUAGAGGAUAAGGAAUCAUGAUUGAGCCACAAGCUUGACAAUUUCUUAUUGUUGAUUCUGCAAAUAAAAUGUAGAAUCCCUUGUUAAAGGGUAUUUCUUCCGAUUACAGUUUCUUCCUAAUGUCUAUAAAUGGAUUUAUGCUUGUGUUGAUCAAUAAACUAAAACAUGAGGUACUUCUUCUCAAGAAAAGGGGAAAAAGAAAUUGGAAAGGGACAUACCUAUAUCUGAAAUAGAUACACGAACAAAGAGAUUGUCAGCAUCAGAGUCAUACUCCUCCUGAAGACCACUAAGGUCGUCUGUCCAAAUCAAGCAUUCUGGGUUAUUGCCCCUUUAUGUUAUUUAGUUUGAGCAUAAUGUCACGGACUUAGUCGUUCACUAAGCUCUUGUGGCACUUAGGCAAGUCAAGACGCUUGAUCUUGCUAAGUCAGCCUUGCUCCCAAUGCUUAGCUUGCUAGGCUAAGACACUCACGACUCGAAAGCUUAAGAAGCUUAGUAAGCAACUCUUUAAAGGAAGCUCUUAUUAACUCAUGGAAGCCUUUACAAGUGCUUGGAAGCUCACUUGCUUGGUACCUUGGCCAAAUGAGGCCUUCACCUAUUUAUAGGCACCAAUGGAACUCUCUGGAACCUUGGAGGGUUCCUUACAACUUAAGUAUAUUCUAGAAUGUCCUACAUCAUUCUAGGUACAAGCCUAUGUACAAGGAUAUACAAGAGACUUCUGGAAUUCUCUAGAAAGCCCUGGACUCCUCUCAUGCCUUCCACCAUAGUGUAGAAUUGUGUGGAUUCCUCCAGGCUUCUCCACAACCUUCCACACUCUUCCCACUCUAGGAGUCUCCAGAAGCUUCCUGGCUCUAUAUAAGCCCAUGGGGAGGCUCAUUUGAAUCAGCUUGUGACACUCUCCUCCACCUAAGCCGCAGACGUUCUUGUCGCGCCUUCUGCCCGGAAUUGCUCAAUUUGCUCCUAUAACUGCCAUAGUGCAUCUGUUGGCUCCCAGCUAGCCUCACUUUUUGGUAGUCCUUUCCAUUUCACUAAGUAUUCCGUACCAGGAGGUACACCUCGUCUCCUGAUGACCCGAUCUACGAGAAAGUGUUCUAUCUCCUUAUCAUAGGAGAUCACGACCGUUGUAGGUGCCCUCUUAGACAACCCUCGGCUUGGAUCAUCUUUGUCUUCGUGAUAGGGUUUCAAGUAGUUUACGUGGAAGACAUGAUGAAUCUUCAACCUUGGCGGUAGCUUAACUCUAUAGGACACCUUGUCGACAUUCCCAAGUACGGGGAAGGGUCCUUCAUACCUCCUCAUAAGGCCCUUAUGCACUAACCUUAGGGAUUUGAAUUGUUGAGAAAUGAGCUUGAAAGCACCAUGUCUCCGACUUUGUACUCCGUGUGUCGUCGCUUCUUGUCAGCCCACUUCUUCAUUUUCUUAGCGGCCUUGUCCAAGUAUGAGCGUGAUAUGUCAGCUUGCUCGUGCCACCCUUUCGCGAACUUGAAAGCUGCUGGACUUCUCCCCGUAUAGCCUAUCGUUAGAGUGUGAGGAGUUAACGGUUGCUGCCUUGUGGCCAACUCGAAUGGGCUCUUAUUGGUUGCCUCACUCCUUUGCAGGUUAUACGAGAAUUGGGCUAUGUCUAGCAACUUAGCCCAAUCCUUCUGGUUGGCACUCAUGAAGUGCCUUAAGUAUAGCUCCAAUAAAGCGUUCACCCUCUCAGUCUGCCCAUCCGUCUGUGGGUGAAAGCUUGUGGAGAAGUGAAGCUCCGAACCCAUAAGCUUGAAGAGCUUCAUCCAAAACUUCCUAGUAAAACGCGGAUUGCAAUCACUUUAGGCAACCCCCAAUACUUGACUACGUGCUUUAGGAAUAGCCUCGUCGUCUCUUCCGCAGUGCGGUCAGUCGGGGCUGCUAUGAAGGUUGCAUAGUUAGAGAACCUGUCCACUACCACUAUGAUAGAACCGUUGUCCUCCGACUUGGGUAGCCCGAUGAUGAAGUCCAUGGUGACGUUGUCACAUGGGCGCUCUGCUAUAGGUAGUGGCUUCAACAGGCCUCUAGGUUGUUAUUGUUCCACCUUGUCUUGUUGGCACACAAGACAAGUCCUCACAUAGGCCUCUACCUCAUCCCGUAUUUGAGUCCAAUAAUAAGCCGACUCGAGUAGUGCCCUCGUGCGUCGUUGCCCAGGGUACCCAGCCCACUUGGUGUCAUGGCACUCAUUUAUCAGAUUCCGUCUUAUGUUCCCCCAUUUAGGCACAUAGAGUCGUCUCCCCUUAGUGUAGAGUAGGUCGUUCUCCACCCAGAACCGCUUAGUCUUCCCUUCAUGAGCUAGGACGAUGAGGCUCUUAGCCACUGGAUCAUGUUGCAGUCCCUCCCUUAGAAGAUCCAUUAUGUCUCCUUGGGGCUGACUCGUCAUGGAUGCUAGCUCCGUUUUACUGCUUAGGGCGUCAGCCACAUGAUUAGCACUCCCUGGCUUAUACUCCAACGUAUAGUCGAACUCAGCCAGGAAGUCUUGCCACCUAGCUUGCUUAGGACUCAACUUCUUCUGUGUUUGGAAGUAGCUAGUGGCAACGUUAUCGAUCUUCACUAUGAAGUGAGACCCUAGAAGAUAGUGCCUCCAGGUGCGCAAGCAGUGGACGAUGGCGGUCAUCUCUUUUUCUUGCACCGUAUAGCGCAUCUCUGUGUCGUUUAGCUUGCGACUCUCAAAUGCGAUCGGGUGUCUUUCUUGCAUAAGGACUCCCCCAAUAGUGAAGUGUGAGGCAUCUGUGUGUAUCUCAAAAACCUUGGUGUGGUCGGGUAGUGCUAACACCGACUCCUCAGUCACAGCCUUCUUAAGAUCUUUAAAGGCUUGUUGGCACCUUUCGUCCCAUUCUCAUGCCUUAUUCUUCUUAAGGAGAUCAGUGAGAGGAGCGGCCCUUGCUAAAUAACCUUUGAUGAAUCGCCGAUAGUAAUUAACUAAACCAAGGAAAUAUCUGAGCUAAGGUACCUUGGUUGGUGGAUCCCAUUCCUGGAUGGCUUUCACCUUGCUAUCAUCCAUCUUCAGCUUGCCAUCCUUGAUGCGAUGCCCUAGGAAGCUCACUUCUUUUUUAACAAAGGAGCAUUUUUCCUUCUUCACGUAUAGCUCGUUCUGCCUUAAGAUCUUAAAGACCUUCCUCAAGUGCUUUACGUGCUUCUUUAGGGUGUUACUGUAGAUGACUAUGUCAUCCAAGUAUACCACCACGAACUUGUUGAUUACUACUCAAAAAGUGCUAUUUGAUAGCUUAUAAUUAAUCCUUUUAAACACUUUUGAGUAGUAAUUUUGGCAUUUUAACUCAAUUGGCAUGUUAAGGACCCUUGAAAGCAAUUUUAAUCAUUUUGUGUAAGUUUUGGUGUUUUUUGUUAGUAAUUUGAUCACCAAAGCAAUUCAAGAUUGAGGAGAUUUAUGAGGAAUCUUGGGCAAAGCUUGGAAGUCAUUUGCCAAGAGUAAAUCAGGAAUGCAAGGAGAAAAAGUUAAGAGAAUCUGCCAUGAAGCAUAUUCUUGAUGAUAGUAGUAGCAGCCACUUUUGGAGCACUUUUUGAAGUCCAAUUGAUGCAUGCUAUAUACCAUUUCAAAGCUCAGGAAGUCAACAAUCCAAUGCUUCAAACGGUACGCAAUUCGGAGUUGAAACGAAGAAGUUGCAGCCAUUGCAAGCCAAUCACUCCAAGCUGAAGGAAGCAUUUUCCAAAGUGUUGCGAAAUCACCCUUUUGUUGCGAAGUGAUUUCGCAGCCUUUUUGUACAGUAGGGUGUAUUUCCUUCUGAAGUUGCCCGAUAUAUGCCGCAAACUGGAAGCUGAGAACAUCAAGGUGGAAGCCAACUUCGCAGCCCUGCGAGAAUAGCUUUUUGCUGCGAAGUGAUUUCGCAGCCCUUCUUGAGUGUUUGCGAAAUCUCGCAGACACCAUUUUCUCUUGCGAAAUGGUCCCUGGAGCAUCCCGAUAUUUGCUACCGACAUUGGGAGAUAUUUUACAUCAGAUUUUUGUUGUCUAAAUCCCAAAAUACUUCUUGUAAGCCACCAAUUACAAGAUUCCUUAGCUUUUAAGUUAGUAAAAAGAGAAAAUAUCCAUGUAAUAAUUAGUUUUAUAUUAUGUUCAUAUAAAUACUUCUCGGGAGCCUGUUCUCAAAAAGGGACCCUUUUGUAAAGUUUUGGGAAAGCAAGUAAAGUUCAGGUCCUUUGUUUUGUCUUACCUUCUCACUUUGUAUUAUUUAUUUCUUACUAAGUUAUGCACUCUCUGAGGAAUUUUCCCCAGAGAAUGAGUAACUAAACCUCUAGUUCCUUGGAGCUAAGGUUGCCGGGGAAGGUUCCAAAUGCAAGAAUGCAAAGCUUUGUGGUUUCAGCCAUCAAUUAAGAGGAAGUAAAGUCUUUUAGUGAUUUCUAUGUUUUUAGUUAACUUAAAACACCUUAGAGUCACCUGGGCCAACACUUGGUAAGGCAAGUGAUCUCCAUCCAUGGAGAUGCACUAGUUUACCCCUUGCGAGCCUCUGGGAGGUGACUUUAAGGUAGGAUUUUCUGGAAUUGCCAACACUUGGUAAGCUUUUGGACUCCAAGGAGACAUCCAUUAGUUAUCUCUUGCGAGCUAGAGAAGGGAAGUCUAAGGUUAAAGAUCACCUUGAAUGGUUAAGGCUUAGUGAGAGGCUUAAACCAUUGCAAGUUGCAUCAAUGAGAGAAUUAAAGUUGAAAUCUAAUUAAAGGAUGUAUCUGUACAACACCGGUUAGAGAAUUGACUAUAUGUUGAAUCUCUAAUGCGAGGAAAUGAACCAUCUGACCGGAGCUAUGUCUUUUGCAUGAGGAACCACCCCAGUGAACCUAACUCUCCAAGGAAUGUUUUUCUUCCUAAGUUAUUCUCACUACUUAUUCUGUUAGUUAGUUUAAAUCUAAAUCUUUACCAAUCAAAAGGUUGUGUUUUAUUUUUUUAGCUAACCUUGAAAUGAAACAAGACCAAUUCACUUUGAAUUGGUAUCAUUGAUAGCUUGCUAAUCCUUCCCAGUGAACGAUCCUAAAGCCGCUAUAUUAUAGUAGUUUUUUCUUUGCUACCCUAGUAUAUGGUGUAAUAGGUUAUAAAUUUUGUUGAUUACUCCCCCAAUCAAGGAGCACCAGCUGGACACGAAUCAGCUGAGACACCAAUUGGGCACGAAUCACUUGUCUAAGCAUGGGUGGAAGAUCUUGUUCAUGAGGGUGCAGAACGUUGCUGGGGCAUUGGUGAGUCCGAAAGGCAUCACUAAGAAUUCGUAUGAGCCAUACCUGAUCACACAUGUGGUCUUUGGCUCGUCCCCCUCCGCAAUCCUUACUUGGUAGUAGCCCGACCUUAGGUCUAGCUUCGUGAAGUACCUUACCCUUCCAAGUUGAUCGAAUAAGUCAGCAAUGAGCGGGAUAGGAUACUUGUUCUUUACCGUCACCUUGUUGAGUGCCCGAUAGUCUAUGCACAUUCGUAGGGACCCAUCAUGCUUCUUCUGAAAUAGAACCGGCGCGCCAUAGGAAGCCUUGGAUGGUUGGAUGAACCCCGCAUCUAGUAACUCCUUAAGUUGUCUCCUUAGUUCCUCCAACUCCGGUGGUGUCAUUCUAUAUGUACCAUAGUAGGGGGCUUAGCUCCCGACUCCAACUCAAUCCUGUGAUCUUCCUCUCUCCUAUGAGGAAGUCUCUUAGGCAACUCGGGCGACAUCACGUCCUUGAACUCAUCAAGGACCCCCUCGAUUUCCUUAGGCAUGGGUUCUCCCGACCCAUCGUCUCUUUCUUCCUUCAGGGUGGCGAGGUAGGUCACCUCUUUCCUCUUUAACCCCUUCCUAACUUGCAUAGCUGAUAGCAUAGGGGUCUUAAGCGUACCUUCAGUGACCGUAGGGACCAUGCAUGGCUUCUCCUCCUCUAAGAUAGCCAUUGAGCAUAGGAAAGGUAGUGGCACGACCUUGACCUUCUGUAGGAAGUCCAUUCCUAGCACCAUCUUGAAGUUAUCCAUGGGUGCCACUAUGAAAUCGACCCUUCCUUCCCAUGAGCCGAUGUGCAUAGCCACCCUGCAAGCUACUCCAUGUGACGGGCUUGGCAGCUGAAUUAACUGCCUUGAGUCAUCCUCCUUCCUUGGAUGCUUGGAGCUUUAGUCUCUUUGCCUCAUCCUCCGAGACAAAGUUAUGAGUGGCACCAGUGUUCACCAAGGCCUUGGUGGCCUUCCCAUUCACAAGGGCCUCUACAUACAUUAGCCCUUUGCUUUGAGGCGUCUUAGGCAUCGGCUUGGCCUUAAGGGCAUUUAGGAGUUGCAACGAUCCCACUUUAGCAUCGCCUUCCUGCUCAUUUUCCUCAAUCAUAGCAUUUAGAGCUUUCCUUUUAGGGCAGUCUCGUGCCCAGUGUGUACCAUCGCACAGGAAGCAAUUGGUCCUGGGCAUGAACUCCUUCCACUUAUCUUUGCCUUUACCAUCCUUGCCACUAGGGUCUUUGCUUGAUCCUUCCUUAGAAGUGUGGCAUUGUGAUCCAUUGUUUCCCCCACCUUUGGCCUGGUUACCCUUGGAUGGUGGUUUUGGCUUGGAGGAGUCUCCCCUUCUAUAAUCUACCAAGGACUCUGCUACCGCCAUGGUCAUGGCUAGGUCUUAGACACCAUGUCUCCUCAACUCUUGCUCGGCCCAACUUUGCAAGUUGUCCAUAAAGUUAAAUAGUAGCUCCUCCUCAGCCAUGUUAGGUAUCUCAAGCAUAAACGUAAAGAACUCCUUGACAUACUCACGGAUCGAGCCUGUGUGCUUGAGACGCUUCAUACUCUUCCUUGCUAGGUAAGCCACAUCUUCGGGAUAGAAUUGCCUUUUGAUUUCUCUCUUAAAGGCAUCCCAUGUGUCUAUGGUGCACGUCUCUUUCUCUAUGUCGGAAAACUGUCGACGCCACCAUAGAGUAGCAUUAUCGGUGAGGUAAAGGGUCGUGGUGCAUACCUUAGUGGCUUCAUCCGUCAAUGCAAUGGCCUCAAAGUAACGCUCCAUGUGCCACAAGAAGUUAUCUAGCUCCUUAGCAUCCCUCUUUCCAUUGAACGAGUGUGGCUUGGGCACCUCCACCCUUGGUGCCUCAUGAGUGGCCAUGACUCAUGUUGAUAUCGCAGUCUUGUAGAUGGCUAGCUCUUGAUGAAUCUCUUGGUCUCGGGUCUCCAUGAGCGCAGCCAAGGCCUCCAUCCUUGAUUCCACACUAGCGAACAUGAUCAUGACCUUGUCUUGGAAGGACAUGAACUCCUUGUGUGACACAGUUGAACUUGUGAGCCUAGCACCCCCUCGCGAAGGUCUUGGAUCUGCUCCCUUAGAUCCUCUAAGCCUUUCUCCAUGCCUUGCUCGAUCAAGUCCACCCCUUCCCGGGUGUCCGUCAUGGCUAGCUCCACCUUAGCUAGCCUUGCCUCCAUGUUGGCUAAGGCAUCACGAGACUUAUCCUUCCUGCCUCGGCCCCGUGCAGUAUGCUCCAUCUCCCUUCCACGGGUUUGCUCGCUAGUCUCCUCCACGUUAGAGCCCGACAUGCUUCCUUUGCUAUGCCCACUUCGUAACCGCGCUCUAAUACCACUUGUCACAGACUUAGUCGUUCACUAAGCUCGUGCAGCACUUAGGCAAGUCAAGACGCUUGAUCUUGCUAAGUCAACCUUGCUCCCAAUGCUUAGCUUGCUAGGCUAAGAUGUUCACGACUCGAAAGCUUAAAAAGCUUAGUAGGCAACUCUUUAAAGAAUGGAAGCUCUUAUUAACUCAUGGAAGCCUUUACAAAUGCUUGGAAGCUCACUUGCUUGGUGCCUUGGCCAAAUGAGGCCCUCACCUAUUUAUAGGCACCAAUGGAACUCUCUGCAACCUUAGAGGGUUCCUUACAACUCAAGUAUAUUCUAGAAAGUCCUACAUCAUUCUAGGUACAAGCCUAUGUACAACGAUAUACAAGAGACUUCUGGAAUUCUCUAGAAAGCCUUGGACUCCUCUCAUGCCUUCCACCAUAGUGUAGAAUUGUGUGGAUUCCUCCAAGCUUCUCCACAACCUUCCACACUCUUCCCACUCUAGGAGUCUCCAUAAGCUUCCUAGCUCUAUGUAAGCCCAUGGGGAGGCUCAUUUGAAUCAGCUUGUGACAAUAAGCUUGACAUUGGCAGUCACUAAGGCAAGCCUUUUUGCAAUAUUGAUUAUCAUUCGUAUCUACUAAAAUAGAAGACUACGGUUUUUUGGCUUUCAUCAUUUUUAAGCGCAAGAACAUGUCUUCAAUGGAAUUCUUCUUGUAUUUGGGUGACUUUCUGGUACACCCACUUGAGAACUCUCCAAUUUUCCAACUAUUCGGCGAGAUUGGUUUGAACCCAGGCAAACAUUUUCACAUCAAAGCAUUCUUAGUGCUACAACUUCCAAAUUUCCCACAAGCAAUUGACACACUGCAUCGGUCUUUCGGUGCCCACCAGACUGGAGACGAUGUAUUCCAAUUCGCAUAGUAUUGAAUUUCCCCUAAAGAACUCAUUACCAACUGUUUUUCAACUGAUGAGUUGGGGAUAGAGCUAUGCCCUUUAUACACGUUCCUCUAGGAGAUUUUGGACAACAAGCUGCGUGUUGCUUCAGGCAUCUCAUCAAACGUUCCAUCCCAGUCCUCACUGUACCAAUGUACAUAUAAAAUUUGAGAUAUGAUAUACUGGUACUCUUUUUCUUGAUCUAGCUUGAAGGUAUAGUUUCCAAGUGUGGCGUCAACGGGGCUUAACCAUGAGGUCAAUAUUAAGCUUUCAUUCAUCUUCAUACCAGGAAGAAAAAUAUCGGUGGGAUUACGGAAGCUCUCUCAAAUAAUCUCUUCGGAUCUAUUGCCACUCAAAACAAGGUUCCCAUAGUCCAUAAGCUUCACUAUCCUGUCUUUAGAUGAAGGUGUUUCAAUAUCAAUAGACCAGUGAACUGCUUCAUUAAUUUCGGCCAACACCUUCAGCUUACCAUCUUUUUUAAUGGCAAAAACUCCAAUGGAGGUACCAGAAAAGGGGUUCUCUCGGUUGGCUACCCACACAACUCUUGGUGGUUUAGACAUGUGAUGCCAUAUGCCCAUGAAUCUUCUAUUCUUGGAGCUUCCAUUUGGAUGAAAGAAGCCUAGUUCAAAAGUUUCACCGGAAGAGACAAGAGUUUCUCCAUUAGUAAGCCAAGUGUCUAGUGUGAUGGUGUGUCACGCCCCAAGACCCACUCCAAGGGCGUGACGGUCAUUUCACACCUCAAACCCGAAGGCUUAAAGUAUAAUCUGACCCAAACAGUCAUAUUGUAACUGGAUGUUACCAAUUACCAAAUACCUGCUCAGAGUAGCGGAAACAAAGUCUAAAAUCCUCAAAAUUCAAUUUCCAAAUAACUUCCAAAUACCAAAUGAUCCAAAAUAACAUAACUAAUAGUUAAACAAAAUCCAACAUAAAAUCCUAAGUCAAAUCCUAAUGAUGACCAUUCCUCAGCCUAGCCAUCACUCCUCACCCGAACUAAGAGUACCUGAAAAAUUUUCAACGAUUGGGAAUGAGCUCACAGCCCAAUAAGGAAUAUUAAUGCAGUUCAUGGAUCAAAUAUUUUCAUUUCAAAUAGGAGAUAUCAAUUUUUUUUUUUUUCAUCAAAUAUCAGAGUUUCAAAAAUGCCAAUAUAUUCAAAAUUCAACCAACCAAUUUCAUAUCAAAUUCAAACACUUUCCCAUCAGACUUAAUCAAAUCCAUUCAAUUUUUCAUUACUCUGGUUAUCAAAUAUCAAAUGCCCAGUUAGGUGGGACUUUUCAAAUGGGUGGCUAGCCUCAAAUUGUUCCUGGUGGACGGAACCAAACACUACUAGUACUAGUAACCUCUAAACAAACCCCUAGAGGUUGGGGUCCAAAUCAAUUACAUUCCCACCAUGAAAUGUAAAGGUCAACUAUUAUAUCCCAUUGACAGGGCCGAAUAGUCAACUAUUAUAUCCCGUUGACAAGGGCCAAAUAAACCAGAGUGAUGUUUUUUGUUCAAGUAUUCAAAUUUACACAACAUAAUAUCUCCAUAUUUUGUGUCAUAAAUAAAACAAAAUAUUCCAACAUAACAUUUAGUGCAAAACAAUUUGAUCCAUGCAUGGUAACAAAAUAUCAUUUUAUUUUCCACAAUUCAAAAUAACAUAUAAAAUAAUUUUAUUUUAUAAAUAUUACAUUAACUUCCCUUACCUCAAAAGAAGUCCUUGAAAGCUUGGGAGAAGAAUGAUUCUGAAAAAAAAUAUAAUCUACUCUUCACCUAAUAUAACAUAAGAGAAACAAUUAUUACUAUUUAUUUAUAAUUUAACUAAUCUAUUCCUUAUUUAAAUAAAACUAAUAAAUUCUCAAUUUGUUUCUAAUAACACAUUACUAAUUUAAUUAAAUUACAAUUUUAUGUCAUUAUAAAAUUCUCUAUAUAUAUAUAUAUAUAUAUUUUGCUAAAUCUAUUAUUACUAUUAUCUUAUUCAUUAAUCUAAAACUAAAUAUUAUUAUUUUAAUUAACCAAUUCAAAAGCCACUAGAUGUCUCGAGUACACCAAACCACCAAACCAAAAAGCAAGUUUUUUUUUUUUUUUUUCCAUUGCAUCAUCAUUCAUUAUAUAUAUAUAUAUAUAUAUAUAUAUAUAAAAGGCUUCCUUCCAUUUGGCACAUGCCUAUUUUUUUUUUUUUCCUCCUUGCUUCCAGUAGCACAGUACACGUACACCCCCCAUAUAUUUUUUUUUUUCUUCCUUCCUUCCUUCCAGUGCUGUGCACACGCGUUCUCCCUCUUUUUUUUUCUUUUUUUUUUUUAAUUAACCCUAACCUAAAAUCGAAAUAUUCCAAGGAAUUUUUUUUUUCUAAUAAAACUUAAGAUCUCCCAAAUUCCAAUGCUAAAAUCAAAAUAUUAAAUUUUCACUAUUUGAUAUUAAAACGAAUUAAAAAAUAAUCUAACCCUAAUCUAGAUUUGGGGUUUUCCAAAAAAAUAUAUCUAAUGUGUUUGAAAUUAAUCAAUGAAUCUAAAAUAUUAAACUAGGGGUUAGAAUCUUACCUAUAGAGAUCUGUUCUUCAACCCUGAAAUCUGACUCCAACCUUACGUUCUCUGGAAUUCUGCGAACAGGAACUCUAUUCAGAAAAGAAGGGAAAGAAUAAAAUUUCUAAUUUAUACCUAGGGUAUUUAUUCGUAAAAUUACUCUUUUACCCCUCUUCUUUUUUUUAUUAAAUUAAUUAAUUAACUAAUUUAAUUAUUAAUAACAAUUUCCUAAAUUACCCUUAAAAGAAAAUGCUUGGGCGUUACAUGGUGUCUCUAGUAGAGCAACACAGAAAAUAACACAAUAAGAAAAAAAUGGUAGAUAACAUUGUGAAUUGCAGAGACUGAAACCCUGAAUUUUCUUGUCUUUUUCCUACUAUUUUUGUUAAUCCGAGAAUCUCUUUAGUUUUGGUGCCACAAAUUCACUGUGGGAUAGCGUGCUACUUCUCUAGGUUGACCUUCUAUAUGUGGCGCCUAAAACAUUGGCCCCUUAGAUUAACUUUUUAAUUGUCUAAAACCAUUUUUACCGCAGGUCCAUACUCCGGGACAAGCCCCCACACCCCCAUCGGAUCAGUGGUGAUAGGCCCAAUCCCCCUGUUAGACCCUAAAAAAAAUCUCAUAGUUUUUUUUUCACCAUAUAUAUUGUAUUGCGAAAUUUUCAAGUCUGACAAAAUAAAAUUCGAGUCACGAAUCUUUAAUAGUUAUCAUCAAGAAAUGAGAUGGAAAUGUUUCAGCUAGUGAAAAUCUACAUCAAGAGGCUUUUUGGGAAGACAAAUAUAAAAAUACAUCUAAACAUCAUUAAACUUCAUGAUUCUAAUACACAUCAUGGGAUGAAUUCUCAAUCAUAUAUAGGUGAGUAUCACAUAUAUAUAUAUAUAUAUAGGUUUAACACACAAUGCUACAUAAUGUGGUGGAUAAAUAUGCAUGUCAAAUUGAUCAUAGUUGUAAAAUUGUUAGCUAGAAACUAAAAAUUUCUAAUCUGAUUCCUAAGUGCUUCUUUUUUUUUCUUUUUCUUUUUUUAAAAAAAAAACAAAAAAUGAUAAUAAUUUCUACAUAAAAUGUAAAAAUUAUCGUAAAAAAUUAAUAACAUUCAAUUUAGAAAAUUUUAAGAUAUUAUAUAAAACAAAUUCACCAUCUUAACAUUUAAAAGUAAUUUUUAAAGAUAUAAGAUAAGUUCAUAUUAUUUAUAUAAAAACUAUUUUAUAAUUUACAUAGAAAUUAUAUAUAUAUAUAUAUAUAUAUUGAAUUGGGUUAUUUCACAAUAUUGGAGCAUAGUUUACCUUAGGUGAUUAAAGAUGUGAUACAGUAUAGUUUUUAGGAUAGAUGUGAUAAUUUAUAAUUGAAGUUUUGAUAUGGGUUAAUUAGUAAUAUUAAACAAAGGAUAAUGCUUUUUCAUAUUCUUAGAUUUAAUUUUUGGUGAAAAUAAUUAAGAGUAAGUAUUUGAUAGUGAUUUUAAGAAAUGUUUUUAGUCUUUUUAAUACUUGAAAAAGAAAAUUUUUCAAGUGUUAGAAAAACCAAAAAUACCUUUUAGAAACAGUACUAAACAUAUUCUAAAUAUGUACUCAAUAAUCGAUUUAAUAAAUUCACGGGUGUCAAAAUAAAUAUGACAUCAAGAUAUGUUAAUAAAUUUUUUUUUUUUUUUUGAAAAAUAAUUCAACAUAUUUAUUGAAUUCACAUUCAAGACAAGGUCGCCUGUAACAUAGGUGCAUGGCUGUCCAUUUAUUCCCAAUUGCCUUAGACAAACAUCCCCUUACUCUUAAGUCAUUUUGUUUUUUUUUUUUGUGAUUGCAUGUUGAAAAUUUGAUUUUAACAUGAGUCCACUAGGAGUUCAGGACAUCUAUUAAUUAAUGGGGGCAGUUCUCGACCUCCAUGGCCUGCCUACUAAUUUUGGUGGGUUGCUCACAGGUGACGUCUGACUUAAAAUACGUCCAUCGCCCAACUUACUAUUCAUGGACAAACAAAAUAUUAGUAAUGUACCAAUCAUCUUGUAUAUGUAGUAACAUUUUCAAAUUUUUAAUCUAAACCUUGGUGUAAAUAAUUAAAUUUAAAUAAAUUAAUUAAAAUGUAUAUUUAAUUUUUUUUCACCCGCAAUUGAAGGCCGGUGGAGUGGUGAAAUCUUGGAAAUGGAAGCCAACCAUGCAGCAAAUAAAGUGACCCAAAGUCCAAGACCACGUUUAGAGCAUUUGUCCAUUUUUACUUGUUUUCAACGGCUUCUAGUCUUGAAGUUGAAAUCUGCGGUUUCAUAAACGGUAUUCUGAAUUUUCUCUCUUGCGUUCUGUUUUUCACAUUUUCCAGGAAAUGGGACCUAUUUGUUUGGCUAUCAGCAAUGAGUUUCUUGUCAGAAUCUGUAAAAGAACUAGAACUUGCAGAGAAAAAAUAAAUAAUUUGAGAGUUACGAAUUGAAGGAAGGCACACAUCUAUUUCACAAAUGAGAAUGCCUAUUUAUAGGCUUACAACCAAACGAAAAUUGCAAAAAAAAUCUUAGCUACUUUCAAAUUUUAUUGGCAUUACUUCUAUUAACUGAAAAUAGAAAAUUAUGGAGUAAGAAUCUGAUAUGAAACAAUAACAAAGACUAAGUCUAACUAAGACUUUUUCAAACUUCAGAGGCAAACUCUCAUGAGUUCUAACACUCCUCCUUGAGAUUUGCCUUGGACAUGCCAAGCUUCAACCUUAGAAACUCCAGCCUUGAUUUAGGAAGUGCCUUAGUCAUUAUGUCAGCAAGUUGCACAUCAGUUGAGCAAUAAUGCAACUUGACAAGUGAAUUCUUUUUAGCUUCCCUUAUAGAAUGAAAUUUUACAUUUAUGUGUUUGGUCUUGCCAUAUUAGACAGAAUUUUGAGCAAUGGCAAUGGCUGACUUGCUGUCACAGUAAAGCUCUGUUGGUGAGCUUUAUUCCUAGCCUAGAUCAGCAAGCAAUUUCCUUAACCAUAUCCCUUGAUUUGCAACAGCUGCUAAGGAGAUAUACUCAGCUUCUGCAGUUGAUUGUGCCACUACUUCUUGUUUUCUUGAAUUCCAGCAAAUGACACCUGAACCGAUUGUAAAUACAUAACCUGAAACGUUCUUCAUGUCAUCAACACUUCCUGCCCAAUCACUAUCAGCAUAGCCAUCUAGCUUAACUCCUCCUGUCUUUAAAUACCAAAUGCCAAGAUUUGUUGUACCUCUAACAUACUUCAGCACCCUUUUUGCAACUCCCAUGUGAACAUUGCUAGGUGAACUCAUGAAUCUUGAAAGUAAACCAGCUAGAAACAUCAAGUCAGGUCUGGUUGCUGUCAAGUAUAGUAGGUUGCCUACCAAGCUUCUAUAUGCAGAGGGUUCCUUAAGUUUCUCACCAUCAUUCUUUGAAAUUUUCUCAUUUUGUGCCAUUCCAAGGAAGUAGUUCAUGAUGCCAAGGUCAGACAUCUCAAAUACAUCUUGCAUUUCCAUUUUGAACUCAGCCAGCAAUCGUACAUUACUUCCAGUCACUAGCAUGGCAUCAACAUAAAGUGACACUACCAAUUGCAAACCAUUCUCAUUUUGUUUCAAAUACAAAGUAGCUUCAUUUUCACUCCUCCUAAAUCUAAGUUGGAUCAGGUGAGAGUCAAUUCUGCUAUACCAGGCCCUUGGUGCUUGUUCCAAACCAUAAAGAGCCUUUUGCAACUUGUACACUUUGUGUUCAUGCCUAGUAACCUCAAAGCCUUCUGGUUGUUGAACAUAAAUUUCUUCAAGAAGUAUGUCAUUUAGAAAAGCUGACUUGACAUCUAAAUGGUACACUUUUCAUCCCAUUUGACCAGCAAGUGCAAGUAACAGCCUUAUAGUGUCAUGUCUGGCUAUUGGUGCAAAUGUAUCACCAUAGUCCACUCCAGCAACUUGAGCAAAACCCUUCACAACCAAUCUAGCCUUGUGCUUGAAGAUUAAACCAUCUGAAUUCAAUUUGGUUCUGAAAACCCAUUUUACACCAAUUGUCUUCUUAGCUUCAAGUAAUUCUGUCAACUUCCAAGUUCCAUUUCUUUCAAUAACAUCAAUUUCAGCUUUCAUAACCUCAAUCCAUUCUAGAAAUCUUGCAACUUCUAUGUAACAUGUAUGCUCAACAUGUACAAGAUUGCACCUCUCAUACACAUUAGAUAAUGGCCUUACCUUAAGCACUGGUAUGUCUAAAGUUGCUUCAACAUCAAGUGGAUCUUCUGCUGGUUCAAGAAUAGAUGGAGUGGUUUGAUCACAUUUAUGGACUUUCUUCAAGUCCCAAUUCUAGUAGGAAUUUUCAUCAAAGUGCACAUCUCUACUUAUCACAAUUUUCAUUCUACUCAAGCUAUAAAUUCUGUAACCUUUUGAUUCUGCUGCAUACCCAACAAAAACACCCUUCUCAGCUCUUUCAUCAAGCUUACCUCUCUUGAUAGAUGGCACAUGAAGGUAACACAAUGAACUAAACACUUUUAGGUGCUUGACAGAUGGUUUUACACUAGACCAUGCCUAUAUUGGUGUUUUGCUCUUAACAGACUUAGUCGGUAGUCUGUUAAGCAAAUAUACUGAGGUGCUAACUACUUCAGCCCAUAGAAGCUUUGGUAGCUUCUUCUCGAGUAGCAUGCACCUCGCCAUCUCCAUUACCGUUCUGUUCUUCCUCUCAGAGACUCCAUUCUACUGCGGUGAGUAUGGAGCUGUCAGUUGGUGUACAAUUCCAACUUCUAGACAAAAAACAUUGAACUCUUUUGAGGUAUAUUCACCUCCAUUAUCAGUUCUGAGCACCUUAACCUUUUGGCCACUUUGAGUUUCAACCAUUUUCUUGAAGCUUUUGAACACAGAGAGCACUUGUGAUUUGGUUUUUAGAAAAUAAACCCAAGUCAUUCUAUUGAAAUCAUCAAUAAAUAGUGCAAAAUAAACAUUGUUGCUCAAUGAGGCUAUGCUCAUUGGUCCACAAAUAUCUGAAUGAACUAAUUCCAUCUUGUGAGUAGCUCUCUUGGACAUAUUUUGAGGAAAUGAUUUGCGAUGCUGCUUCCCUAGCUCACAACUUUCACAAGUUUGAUCAUUAACUGUGAUUUCAGGCAUGUCUUCAACCAUACUUCUUGCAUGAACUUCAAUGACUUCAAGUUGAAAUGACCAUAUCUUUUGUGCCAAACAACACUCUCAUCAAUCUUGGCACUAAAGACAUGACCUUCAACUAAAUCAAGCUUCAAAUAAAAGUUAUUUCCAUUCAUUUUAAUUUUUCCUAUCUCUGUUCCAUGUACAUCAGUGAUAAAACAAAAAUUUUCUUUAAAAGAGACUGCAUAUCCAUUUCUUAGCAUUUGUGUAACACUAAGAAGAUUUUGAUCUAGUUUUGGAAUGUAAAGAACAUUAGUGACAAUUUUUGUACCUCUCUUGGUGUUGAUAGCAAUUGUCCAUUUUCCUUUGGCCUGCACAACUUCACCAUUUCCCAACUUGACCGUUGCUUGAAUUGAUUUAUCAAUGGAGGUAAAAAUUGAUAGAUGUUUGGUCAUGUGACUGGUGCAGCCAUUGUCAAUGAGCCAAGUAUUCAGUUCAUGAGAACUGAGUACUUGUGAUGCCAUAAAUAAAUGCUUAUCAUCUUUUUUGUCUUCUUCAAUCACAUUUGCAUGUUGUUGUGUUUGCUGUUGAGAUUGUUUUUUCUUGGCUCUACAAUACUUCUCACUGUGGCCACAUUUAUUACAGAAAUUACAAUUAAAAAGGGAUUUACCUUUGUACCAACAAUCUUUCUCAACAUGGUUGGUUCUGCUGCAAUGAGAGCAAGGCGAAAAGUUUCAUUUUCUUGAAGAUCCUUCAGCUUUCCCUUUGUUGUUCUUGAAGAACUUCUUUCCUUUUAGGUUUCCAGAACUCUUUCCCUUAUGAUUUGCUCAAAAAGCACCUUCAGUAGCUUCAACACCUUUCAUUAAGACCCUUUGCUCCUGCGCAUGAAGCUUGCUGGUUAAUUCUGCAAUUGUGAGACUUUGCAAGUCACAAGACUCUUCAAUUGUAGAGAUCUUGGCUUCAAACUUUUAAGGCACUGAAACCAUGAUCUUUUCUACCACCUUUUGAUCUGUAAAUGCCUCACCAAGAAGCCUCAUUUGGUUUACAACAUCCAUUAACUUGCUAGAAUAAUCUUUCACAGAUUCAUUGUCUUUCAUCUUCAUCAAUUCAAACUCUCUCUUCAAUGUGAGGAGCCUGACAUUUUUUACUGUCACUACCAUCAAAUUCACCUUGGAGUUUGUCUCAUACCAGUUUAGGUGUUUCCAAGUCCAUGAUUUUGGUGAAGAUGUGGUCUACAAGUCCUGAAUGUAGGCAGGUGAUGGCUUUGUCUUUCUUAAGUUUUUCCUCCUCAUAUGCUUUCAUCUGAGCAACUGUAGGAUUUGCUCCCAAUGGUGGUGGAUCAGCUUCAAACAUCACAACAUUCCACAAACCUUGAGACCUUAAGCAAAACCUCAUCUUGACAACCCAAAUGUGAUAGUGUUCACCAUUAAACACUGGAAUAACAGAGGAAGUACUGCUGGAAGUAGACAUGUUUGCACCACAACUGCCUGAAAAAAAUAAAUCACUCAACCUCACUGUGUUUAGCACUCAAAACACUCAAAGAAACUUUGCCUCACAACUCGUAGGAACAAGGCUCUGAUACCACUGUCAGAAUCUGUAAAAUAACUAGAAUUUGCAGAGAAAAAAUAAAUAAUUUGAGAGUUAAGAAUUGAAGGAAGGCACACAUCUAUUUCACAAAUGAGAAUGCCUAUUUAUAGGCUUACAACCAGACAGAAAUUGCAAAAAAAUCUCAGCUACUUUCACAUUUUAUUGGCACUACUUCUACUAACUGAAAACAGAAAAUUAUGGAGCAAGAAUUUGAAACAAUAACAAACUUUAGAGGCAAAUUCUCAUGAGUUCUAACAUGGCAUAUGGGUUUUGGGUUUUUCAAUUGAGGGAAGCCUAUCAUAGCAUUUAAAAAUGGAUCCCCAUAGUGGCCAACACCAUAGGAUGAUAAUUCAUCAUGGUUCUUAAUCAUGAUCUUUAUUAAAUAGAUCAAACCCAAGUACGAUACAGAUAAUAAUCGUAUUAGAAAAACAUAAAUUCAUCUAAUUAUUUAAUAAACAAUAAGUCGUAUAAUUCAUUUAAUUAAUCUAAUAAUCAUACAGAAUUAGGUCUUAUACAAAUCUACACGAUUAAUUUCUUAAUCUAAUAUGUUUAUAAUUCAAUUAAUUUAUUUAUUUAAAAUCAAUUUUUAAAUAAAUCAAAUAUAAGUUAAAUGAGUUAGGGUUAAUCAUAUUAAUCAGUAUGAUUAUCAAGUUGGUCAAUUAGGAUCAAAAUUGUGUUUGACUAAUUUAUUUAAAAAUAACUUAUUUAUUAAAUGAGUUAUACAUAUUAACAUAAAUUUAAUCCUUAAACCCACAAAAAAUAAAUUGAAUUUGAGUCAUGUUAACGAAAUAUAUUACACUUUUGACACUCGUAGUCUACGUAAAGAAAAGAUGUUGCAUCUUGCCAUUAGCUAAGCUUAGAGCAUCCAACAACUGACUAUAAGGGUCCAUAUCUUAGGCUAAAUUGAAUGAAAGCAUUAUAUUAUACAAAACCCCCUAUGCUGAUGAUGGUGCAAACACCAAAUUUGAUUUCCCAAAGUUGUAUAAUAAUGUAUUAGUUGUGUCUGUUGUGCGGAAGUUAGGUACAACUUAGUGACAAGUGUGUAUGGGGCUUGGAAUCUAGUGAGAAUCCAUUGGAUAGGAGUACAAAAUGUCGGCCAUGAGCAUGAUCUAGCCAUCCACAUUUCUCUGUGUCAGAGGGGUCAGGACCAUGGAAGAAAAUAUCAAAAUAUAUUACUGAUAUAGUAUUGGAGGUUAUAAAAACGAUAUUUGAUGAAAAAAAUAUUAUUCUGACAAAAUUAUUUUAAGGAGUAUCGAUAUAUUUGUGAUUACUGAUAUUUUUAUCUUUGGUCAAAUUAGUUUUUGAAUUCACCCAUGCAUGACAUUUGAGAUUCAGCUUAAAAGUUGGAUCAACCCACCUGAUCACCUAAGCUUAUAGAAUAGUUACAAUGAAAAAAAUAUAGUUAUAUGACAUGGAAACACUUGAGUCUUCAUUGAUUUCCUUUUCAGAUUGAAAACUAUUAGAAAAAUUGAUUCAAUUGUCAUGAAAUUGGUAUCCACAAAACCAAAGAAACACCCUAAAACUAGUCCAAAAUCUUAUCUAACCCACAUAAAUUACAGAAAAUUAUCUUAACAGCAACCAAAUUCCUAAGUCUUUGCACAAAAUCCUAUCCAAGAGAGAUCUUUUAGAUUUCUUAUCCACUCUGGAUUGACUGGUAGAGACUUUUAAACCAGGGUUGUGCCACAAGCUCAUGAACAAAUAAAAUUGGACAAAGAAUUGAAUGAGUGGAUAAACAUCAUUGUCAAUGUUUCUACUUGAGCGAGAAAUACGUUAGAUUUCUACACUUCUAAAUAGUUGCCUUGAGUGAUUCCUUGGUCCCACAGUAUUUGCUUCCCCCUUUCCUCGUGGUUUGGGAAAAGGACAUCCACACGGUUUGGUGUAGGAACCACCCUUUCCUUUGCUAUCCAUGAUUAUUUUUCUUUCCAAUAAUAAGGAAAACAUUCAUCAAGGCCCCAUGUGAAAACUAUUAUUGGUGACUGUAGGAAUAGAGCUAUUCAAUUUUUCCAAUAUACAGGACAUUGGAUGGAUACUGAUAACAAAAAAGAAUUACAUUAAAAUGUAUAAGCGAUGUAUUAUAAUUCAUUUUCUCAUCUAUUUUCAUGUUUUGAUUAUUUUAACGAGAUGGGAUGAAAUUAAAUAUGAUUUUAACAGAAGUGAAACUUGUCUCGUAAAUAGGAUUCCAUGUUGAUUUCAACAGAAGUAUGUGGAAGGAUAUCGUGGUUAAUUUAUUUAUUUUUUCAUUUUCAUUUCUAUUAUUUUUAAAUAUUGAAAUAACAACAAAUACUCAUUUCAAAUUUAUAUUGCUAGAUGCAUACAAAUAUAAGAACUGAAGCACCAAAUUCACUCCUAUUCUAAGAGGAAUAAGAACAUUGAUUUUCAUUCCCUACAGUCAAGUACCGAACAUGGCCUAAAACGUAAGGGUUCAUGGGAGAUCCUUCUCGCCUAUCGACCUUCUUCUAUGGUGGCUAGGAACUCACUAUUCAAGGAUGCUUCUGGUUUGCUUGAAGAAGAAGCUGAGCUGGAAAGGUCUCUCCUUACGACAAAAGCUGGUUGUUUAGGAACUGGGAGUGUGGCAGUGUCACUGCUGAGCAUUACAACUGCAACUGCCAUGGUGGGACGGUCACUUGGGUCUUCUUGCACACACAACAGCCCAACAUUCACGCACCUCAGAAAUUCAUUUGUUUUACAUGUUUCACUUAGUGUCUGGUCCAUCAACUCCAACACCCUGUCUUCCUUCCACAGCUUCCAUGCCUGGGAAAGUUUGGACGUACAAGGGUUUCAUGGCAUAUAUAUAGAAUGUCCAAAGGAUCAAUGCAAAUGAGAAAUUCAAAGCACUUACAUGGGCUAGAAGGCUCAGAUUCCGGUCAGACUGAUAAGAUCUGGUGUUCCUCUUCCCGCUGAUGAUCUCAAGUACCACAACACCAAAGCUAAAGACAUCAGACUUUUCUGAGAAAAACCCAUCCAAUGCAUACUCUGGAGACAUAUAGCCACUGCAUUGAACCAGUUAAAAACACUACUCAGUUAAUUGGGGAUGCAAUCAUGCAACUACUUGCAUUUUACCAUACACAAUAUGCAGUACUUACUAAGUUCCAACUACUCUGUUUGUGCUUGCUUCUACUUGCUUACUCUCAAAAAUCCUUGCCAAGCCAAAGUCUGAAAUUUUGGGAUUCAUCUCGUCAUCAAGUAGAAUGUUGCUUGUUUUCAAGUCUCUAUGGAUAAUCUUCAAUCUUGAAUCUUGGUGAAGAUAAAGUAGCCCUCGAGCAAUUCCCAAAAUGAUAUCAAAUCGCUUCUCCCAGUUCAGUAACAGGCAUAGAGUUUGAUCUUGCAAUGUUCCCAUUGGAAAGCACGACUUCAGCAUGUACACGUUGUAAUAUGGGAGAAAAAAAAAGGAACUUUUAGGCAGGUUAGAGGCAAACCAAAUAUGAAGGAGUCUAAGCUUUUGUUGGGCAUGUAUUCAUAGAGUAAAAUCUUCUCAUCUCCUUCAAUACAAUAGCCCAAAAGUCUAACCAAAUUUCGAUGCUGAAGUUUGGCAAUUAACACAACCUCGUUCUUAAAUUCCUGUAAGCCUUGUCCCGAAGCUCUUGAGAGUCUCUUUACUGCAAUUUCUCGCCCUUCAGGAAACUUUCCCUAGAUGCCAUAGCGCAUGGUAUUAGACAGACAAACCAGAAACCUUGAAAUGAGACUAAUGUGGAAAUUAAGGACUAUUACUUUGUAAACUGGCCCAAAGCCCCCCUGUCCAAGCUUAUUUGCAUCUGAAAAGUGAUCUGUAGCAGCCAGUAUGUCUUCUAAGUCGAAAAAUGGUACGUCAAUGCCUUUCUUAUCAUCUUCUUUGAAUUGCUCAGAGUCUAUUAAGUCUUUCACACGGCUCUCGCUAUGAUACAAGUGAAGCCCUGGAUUUGUUCUGUUUUCUGAAUUCAGAAACAAGACUACAUUAUGAAGAAGUCCCCUAAAAAUAUUAUCAAUUCUGCCAAUCAACACGAAACAAAAAAAGACCAGAACUUAAACGGUGGCGCAAAUAGCACAAAGAUUACCUUGCCCUUUGGAGAUGGUUCUUUUUCGAAAAUAAGCAAUACAACCAAUGAUGCAUAGAAGUCCAACUACUACAACAGCAGUUACUAUGCCUACCACAACUACCAGAGCCGAGGAUGAUGAUGAUGACUUCUGGUUUGCAGGUGUUGGAGCCUCCGCAAGAUUGCCACCAUCUGAAACAAAGAAAGACCACUCUCAUUCAUGGAGAAGGCAGCGCAUCUGCCAUUACUAAUCACUGUGUCUUUCAAUGCAAUUUAGCAAUAUGCUUGCUGAAAAGCAUCCUCACCUUGUGUACAAUUUAAACUGGAGCUGUUCCAUUUGAAGUUUUGAUUACAAAAACACCUUCUCGUUCUAUUUUGCGUUCUGCAACUCGAAUUUGGCCAGUCCUUGCAGUCUGUUGCUGAGUUACAAACCGGCUCUGGUGGUGGAUCCCAACUUAUUUCAAUUUCAUACUGACCUUUCAUAGGCAUGCUGGAGCUAGAAUUUCCUGUGUCAGCAUUGCACCAGCUAGUUAUCCUGAAAGGUGGAUUGAGCUGCAGUAUCUUCGUGUCUUGUGAAUUUCGUGCUUCGCAGUUAUCAAUAUCAUUCACUUGGAUGAGAAACUUCGAUCUCUCUGGAGUGAUGCUGGUUACUCGGUAGCUGCCAUUAGGUAAGGCGAACCAGACUUGGUCUGUGGCCUUGUCACAUCUGAAACUGAAGUACAUGGGAUCACCACAGUUUGGUCCAGUGCUUAGUGGAUAGGGGAUCAAGUUUGUGCCACAAGUUUCACAAUUUCUUACUGUUGAUUCUGCAGAAUUAGAAUGAAUUUCAAGAUUUUCCUCAUUAACAAUCAAUUAAAUUCAGAAGUAGAAGGGGGCAAGCAGAGAGGAUACCUAUAUCUGAUUUGGCGACACGGAGAGAAAGAUUAUAGCCAUCUGUGUUAUACUCCUGAAGACUACCGAGAUCUUCAGACCAAACCAGCACUUGGGAGGGGUGCUAGCACGGCCCCUUCGUAUCGUUCCAACUCCAGCAUAAGCUUGACAGCGACAGGUCUUAAGGCACUCUCUUCUGCAUUCACUUUCAUCCUUAUCCGAAAACUCAAUGUCAUACUUUCUUACUUUAAUCAUCUUCAAGAUCAAGAAUGUGUCCCCACAGAGGGUUGUCUUUUUAGAACACCCACCUGAAAAAUCUCCAUU
rnacentral:lncRNA from 1 species